UCCAACAGUUUGUUUCCAGAUUUCCAAUUUGUUUGACAAAGAACUUAAUUGAACACAUCAACUUAGUUCUGACCGGGCCCGGUACAUAGGUCAAAACAAAAUCAUCGAGGGGCCUAGAUAUCAGCUUCUAAUCCAAGAAGGAACAGAUAAACUUCGACUCAUGUGUUUGAUCUACUACUUAUUGAAUCAUACACAACAUCACGUUUUAUAACAUCAAGUUACGAAUGCGUUUUCGUACAAUCAAUGCAUAACCAACUCAUAGGCACAAAUCAUAUCUCUAGGUUUGAAGACUUGUAUGAUAUUACCGUCUCACGAUCACUCAACAUAAAUUCCAUGAAGUCAUUCCAGUAAGCAUGGGUUGAGUCCAAUGCUAAGAACUUAUGAGCACUCAUGAGUGUUGUAGCCAUGUCCAGCAACUUAGACCUCUGCAACCAAUCAUGACAGUCUUGAUUCAUACCUACGUCCGACAUAUGACCCACUGUGGAGGUUCGAAUAAUAUGAUAUACCAAACAUAAUUAUUCUGGAAGUCAAACCAUGCAAAAGAAAUAUAGUAAACGAUCAACAAGAGAUAGUAACACUUUACUCAUAAAUAAAACACUUUUAGUCAUCAUCUAAUGUCAAUUACACUUUACAAAUUUCAAGGUUAUCUAACUACUAAAUCUAAUAUCAUCCUUCGGCCCUAUGCUCCGAGCAUGCUGGAGAUGCUUAUCCCAACUCAGUCUCUUCGUGAGGGGAUCUGCUGGAUUCUCAUCCGAUGAUACCCUCUUUGCCACGAGGAAUCCUUCUUCUAUUCGAUGUCUGAUGAAAUGGUAUUUUCUUUCGAUGUGUCUGGAUCUCCAGUGAUCCCUUGCUUCCUUGGCUAAGGCAACUGCACUUUCACUAUCACCGAAAAUUUCCAUUGGCUCCUUAAUAGAUGGUACAACUCCAAGGUCUCCAAUGAAGUUCUUCAGCCAUAUCACUUCCUUUGUUGCCUCGCUAGCUACUAUAUACUAUGAUUUGCAAGUUGAAUAAGCCAUUGUCUCUUGAUUAGAACUCUUUCAAGAAAUUUCUCCUCCGUUUAAGGUAAAGACCCAUCCUGACUGAGAGCAGAAAUUAUCCCUAUCAGUCUAGAAGCUAGCAUCACUAUACCCUAUAACUCUCAAGUCUUCACUCCCACCGAGGGUAAGGACCCAGUCCUUAGUCCUCCGUAGGUACUUGAGGAUAUUCUUUACCGCAGUCCAGUGUGCCUUGCCAGGGUUCCUCUGAUACCUGGUAACCAUGCUCAAGGCAAAGGCUGCAUAAGGUCGAGUACACAUCAUAGCGUACAUGAUCGACCCUACAGCCGAAGCAUAAGGUAUUCGACUCAUUUCUGCUAUCUCAGCCUCAGUACUAGGGCUUUGUGUCUUACUCAAUCUGGCCUUACUCUGGAUGGGUAACCCUCCUUUUUUGGAGUCCUGCAUUCCGAAUCUCUUCAUCACCUUAUCCAAGUAGGUACUCUGACUAAGUCCAAUUAGUCUUUUACUCCGGUCUCUGAAGAUCCUUAUCCCUAGAAUAUAGGUAGCUUCUCCUAGGUCCUUCAUAGAGAAACACUUCCCAAACCAGGACUUAACUUCCUGCAGAGUUGGGAUGUCAUUUCCUAUGAGUAGUAUGUCAUCCAUAUACAACACCAAAAACCUAACUAUACUCCCACUAGCCUGGACAUAUACACAAGAUUCAUCUUCACUCCUAGGAAAGCCAAAUUUUUUGACAUUCUCAUCAAAAGCAAAGAUUCCAUCUGCGAGUUGCUUCCUUUAACCCAUAAAUGCAUUUCUCAAGCUUACACACUCUAUUAGGGUACUCUGUGUUGACAAAACCCCCUGGCUGACUCAUGUAAACAUCCUCAACCAACUUUCCAUUAAGGAAAGCAGUUUUGACAUCCAUUUGCCAUAUUUCAUAGUCAUGAAAUGCAACUAUGGCUAACAUAACCCUAAUAGACUUAAUCUUGGCCACUAGAGAAAAGGUCUCAUCAUAAUGAACUCCAGGAGUAUGUGAGAAACCCUUUGCAACCAAUCGUGCCUUAUAAGUGUGUACAUUACCAUCCAUGUCAGUCUUCUUCUUGAAGAUCCAUUUGCACCCUAUAGUCUUACGACCUGGUACAUUCUUAACCAAGUUCCAAACUUGAUUGUCAUACAUGGACUGUAUCUCGCUUUCCAUUGCCUCUUUCCACUUGGUUGACUCAGGCCUGCCAUGGCUUCCACAUAACUGUUAGGUUGAUCCAGACCUAUCAGUGUCUCAUCACUGAUAAGUGUAUCACCUUCUGCAGUAAUAUGGAAUCCAUAGUAAUGCUCAGGUGCAUUCCUAACCCUUGUGGAACGCCUAAGAGGUACAGACUUGUCAAUUGGCUCAACAGGAAUUUCCUCCUCAAGUUGAGUGCUAGGGUAUGAAGUUCCUGCACCACUUGACUCUUGAAUUUCUUCAAGGUCAACUUGCCUCCCACUGUUUCCUUGGCUUAUAAACUCUCUCUCUCUCUCUCUCUCUCAAGACAGCCCUUCUAGCUACAAAGACCACAUUUUCACUAGGUCUGUAGAAGAAGUAACCAAAGGAUUGUUGUGGGUAGCCGAUGAAAAUACACCUCUCGCUUCGGGGUUCGAGCUUAUCAUGAGUCUCGCGUCUCACAAAAGCCUCACAACCCCAAAUCUUCAUGUGGUCUAGUUUGGGUACUGUACCAGUCCACAUCUCAUGAGGAGUUUUUGCAACAUUAUUUGUAGGGACAACAUUAAGGAUAUGGGAGGUAGUCUCUAAGGCAUACCCCUAAAAUGAGAUUGGUAGCGAAGCUCGACUCAUCAUCGAACAAACCAUAUCCAACAAGGUUCAAUUUCGCCUCUCAGCUACACCAUUCAAUUGCGGUGUCCUAGGAGGUGUCAAUUGUGAGACAAUCUCACAUUCCUUAAGAUAGUCGAGGAACUCUAAACUAAGAUACUCACCACCUCGAUCGGAUCGAAGCAUCUUAAUGUUCCUGCCUAAUUGAUUCUCGACUUCCAUUUUAAAUUCUUUAAACCUUUCAAUAGUGUCUGACUUAUGCUUGAUUAAGUAGACAUAUCCAUAUCUACUGUAAUCAUUAGUGAAAGUCAAAUAAUAACGAUUAGCAUCCCUUGUAACAUGUUUGAAGGGUCCAUACACAUCCGUGUGUACGAGAUCCAACAAACCUUCACUCCUCUCACAAGAACCUGUGAAGGGUGACUUUGUCAUUUUUCCAAGUAAGCAUGAUUCGCAACUAUCAUCUGACUUUAGGUCAAAUGUCUCCAAGACUCCAUCCUUUUGGAAUUGGCCUAUGCGUUUCUUGCUUAUACGUCCAAGACGACAAUGCCCUAAUGAUGCUUUAUCCAAGUUAUUAUCAUUAACAAAAUCAAUACAAAAUACAUUAUUUCCUAAGUUAUCGAUCAUAGAUACAGAUUCAUACACACCAUGACAAGGUAAUGCUUUAAAAUAAAGAACAUUAUUAAAGAAAGCAUUAAUUGAACCAACUUCAUUAUCAAAUGAAAAGGUGAAACCUUGUUUAUACAAUGCAUGAAAGGAAAUAAUAUUUCUUGCCAUUUCUGGUGAAUAAAAACAUUUAUUCAAAUCUAAACCAACUACUUAGCGAUAAAGUAUAAACUCCAAUCUUGGUGACAAGCAAAGCUUUCCUAUUGCCCAUGAUUAAGUUUAUUCUUCCUUGCUCCACAUUCUCACUUCUUCUUAGUCCCUGCAAAUCAGAACAUAUAUGAAUACCACAACCGGUAUCAAGGACCUAAGAGUUAGAAUGGGGUGAUUUAUUAGAUAAGAUACUGUAAAUACCUGCAUGGUUGGGUUUAACUUUCCCAUCCUUCACAUCUUGCUGGUACUUUGGCCAGUUCCUCUUCCAAUGUGACUUUUCAUGGCAAUAGAAGCAUUCAGCCUCUUUUGGGUCAGAAGGCAGAGUGACGAAACCUUUCUUGGUUCCACUUGAAGAAGAGCCAUCAAGGUGUUGGAUAUAGUGUCUAAGUCCAUAACUAUAUUUGGUAUCUACUUGACCCGAACCGGCAUGGUCCAUUUGGGUUGCACUUCACCCGAACAAUUUAUGGAUAAUCUUUUGAGAAUAGUAUAAGUUCUAAUAUAUUAAUAUAAAAUCAUAUUAUUUAAUUAGUAUUGAUCUAUAAUUAAUCUAGGACUAAUUUAGAGAUCAAAAGUAUUAGUAAUUAAAUAUGGGCUUUUAUAUUUAUAUAGUGUGGGCUAAUGCUUAUUUGGAAUGGGCUAGGCUUGGAUGGAAAGUCCAUGGAGACCCCAUGGAGCUUUAAGCCAUGGAUCUCAUGGAAAUGAAGAGACAUGGGUAUUAGGGUUUACAUGGAUGUAACGCUAAUCCACGACACUAUAUAAAGGAGGCUUUGGUUCUUGAAUUCACACUAGUUGUGGUGAGCAAAGUAAGAGGGCCGAUUUCAAGAUAGUUGUGACUAUUCUCUCAAGGUUCCAAAGUUUGUUGUGAUUUGUGAUUUCCAUUUGAGGCAUCUACACUAUUGGUGCUAGGCUCUAAAACGCCAAGCAAUCAACUACAACUAAAAGGUAGGUAAUUCUACUAGCUUUAUUUGAUUCAAGUUCCGCAUGCCAUGCUAGAUAGGAUAAGAACCUUGGAAAAAUAAUUAUUUGAAUGUAUCUUAGUUAAACAUAGAUCCAAGGUUUCUAGGGUUUCAUGUACAUCAUAGGAGUGUUAGAAUGCUCAAAACCCAUCAGUGGUAUCAGAGCCUAGGCUUGUUUGUUUUGAUACUUGAUGCAAAAUAUUGGAAAAAGUCGAUUUUUUGCUGUCUGCCUACUGAACUCACCGAUUCCAUGGGGGGACUCGCCGAGUUCAUGUGUAACUUCAUCCUACUCGCCGAGUAGGUUCGUGCACUCGACGAGUAGGAGCCUCAUAAUGCAGAUUUUCGACUUUUGCUGCUGGAAAUGGACUAGAAACAUUACCUUAAACUGUUUUGGUGUUAUAAAACUUAUUUUAGAUGGUGUAAUGUUUAUGCUAAUCCAUUUACAAUGGCUAUAAUAAAAAGUUACAAGUUUUAUGAGUAAUUUAUGAUUCUUGAAAUGUUCAUAUUCAUGUUCUUGAACUUAUGAAGAUUAGAUGAUCAUAGGAAUUGUUUGUAACCUACUUGGUAGUUUAAUUCUUGAUCAUAAUGUGUUUUAGUGGAGUCCAUAACUAGUCCUCAAGUUAUGGAAAACCAAGAGUCACACUUGAAUUAAAACCAUUAAAAGAACACAAGAGUUAGAAAAUGAAAAGUCUUCAUUUUAAUACUCAAUUAACUUCAUAAGUUAUCAGAAAUGAAAAGUUUUGAAGGUUUACAAAACUUGCCCUCAANUUAUGAAUACUUUAAUUCCAAGUUAGCCCUUAGAAUUUUAAAAGUUAAAAUUCAACCCUUAUACUUUAUAAUAUUAUAAGUUAAUAAUAUAUAUAUGUAUAAGAGUAAAGUCAGUCUUACCGCUAGUACGCCUCAUUCACGAAGCCGGUCUAUAAGGGGGGUAUAAGGUUGUUGCCUAUAAAAUGGCAACUUAAUGGGUGUCCACUCUCACCCACCGCUUCCUUGAUCGGUGGAGGGUCGUUAGCCGAACGGGUAGGACAAGGACUUAUAAAUUCUCAUUAAAAGUAUAAUGAUAAUACUAAAGUAACUAAACUUUAUUGAAUUCCCAAUCUUAGUUAUUUUAGGAAAAUGUGAAUAAGGUGCUAAUCCAUGAAAUUACACUUUACACUUUGUUUAAGUCGUUAGUGGAGCGUGUGUGGUUUACCGGCACACUAACUUGAACAUAACAGUGUAGGUAAAGGGUGACUUAAUGUUUAUCAUAGUAUCGAUGGAGCGUAUGUGGUUUACCGAAACAUCGAUUGAGGGGUAAUACAUUGAGGGUACCAAGUAAUUUGCAUGGUUACUUCACACCUUGUUUUGUGAUCCUCGGCAUCCCAGUCACAAAACUUGAAGGGCACACUCGAGAUUGAAACAUGCCAUUGAAGAAAGUUCAAUGAAUCUCAAAGAAUCUAGGAGUUUCUAAACCAAUUAAAACCUAAUUAAAAAUUUCGUUUUUCAUGGUGGAAAUUGGUGAAUCGUCAUUCACCUACCUUCAAAUAUCUUAUAGCUUAGAUUACGGCAUCCCUCUUCUAAGUUAUAAAAUAUUGUGUUGGGUCCUAGCCUUAAUACUACAUUUGGGUGUUUUAUUAAGGACUAUCUCUAAAUCUAAUCUAAUCUAUUCCCUCUUCUGUUCUGAUGUUUUCAAAUAACAAUGCUUCUGGCUCUAACCCUACUAGCUCCUUCUCUCUCAUGAAUCUUUGUGGGAGAGUCAUCUUUGAUGGAUCCAACUUUACUGAUUGGAUCAGAAACAUCAGGAUGGUUACUCGAUAUGAGAACAAAGAAUAUGUUCUCAACAAGGAGUUGAAGGUGCCCGAGCCAACUGCUACUCCUGAAGAGCUUACUGAAUAUGAGGUACAUGAAAGAGAUGCUACAAAAGUGGCAUGCAUCAUGAUGGCCACCAUGACAGCGAGCUCCACAAGUCCUACGAGGACUAUUAUCCUUUUGAGAUGCACCAGGACUUGAUGGACCGCUACCAUCAAAGUGCUCGUCAAGAGCGAUAUGAAAUAAUCUCCUCCAUGAUAACAACCCGAAUGAAGGAUGGUGAACCCAUCACAGGCCACAUGCAGAAAAUGCAAAGGUAUGUGGACCGUUUACAAAAGCUGAAUGUGAACUUCCCCGAGGAGUUAGCAAUAGACAUCAUUUUGCACUCCUUACCAUCGUGUUAUGAUUAAAUCCGCAUGACAUAUCACAUGAACAAGGAAGAAGCCACCCUCAGCAAACAUCAAGGACUCUUGAAGACCGCCGAAAGUGGUCUAGUGGGUAAGUUGAUUGUUACUACUCCUACUCUUACUCCAACUGCGGCCAAGGUCUUGGCAAUCGGGCAUGGCAAAGGAAAGAAGAGAAAGAACCCUUCUAAGGGUACCAAGGGUAAGACCCUUGAAGGCUCUUCCUCAAGCAAAACCAAGAAAGGUUUUGUCACUCCGUCUGCUAACCCUAAUGAGGCUGAAUGCUUCUAUUGCCAUGAAAAGUCGCACUGGAAGCGAAACUGCCGAAAGUACCUGCAAGAUUUGAAGGAUGGGAAAGUAAAACCCAACCAUGCAGGUAUAUACAUUAUAUUGUCUAAUAACUCACCUCAUUCUAAGUCUUGGGUCCUUGACACAGGUUGUGGUAUUCACAUAGGUAGAGAUUUGUAGGGACUAAGAAGAAGUGAGAAUGUGGAGUUGGGAAAGAUAAACUUGAUCAUGGGAAACAGGAAAGCUUCACCUGUCACCAAAAUAGGAAUUUAUUCCUUAGUGGUAAAUAGUGGGUUUACAUUAGAUUUGAAUAAAUGUUAUUAUUCGCCAGAAAUGGAAAGAAAUGUUAUUUCCUUUCAUGCAUUGUAUAAACAAGGUUUUACCUUUUAUUUUUAUAAUAAUAAUGGUAGUAUUCAUGCUUUUUUUAAUAAUGUUCUUUAUUUUAAAGCAUUACCUAGUGAUGGCGUGUAUGAAACUGUAUCUGUUGUAGAUAAUCUAGGAAAUAAUGUAUUGUGUAUUGACUUUUCCACUGGUUUAGAUAAAGCAUCUUUAUGGCAUUGUCGUCUUGGACAUGUAAGGAAGAAACGCAUAGGCCAACUCCAAAAGGAUGGAGUCUUGGAGUCAUUUGACCUAAAGUCAGAUGAUAGUUGUGAAUCUUGUUUGCUUGGUAAAAUAACAAUGUCACCUUUUACUGGCACUUGUGCUAAGGGUGAAGGUUUGUUGGACCUCAUACACACGGAUGUGUGUGGACCCUUCAGAACCGCCACAAGAGAUGCUAAUCGGUUCUAUGUGACUUUCACUGAUGAUUUUAGUAGAUAUGGAUAUGUCUACCGAAUAUGGCAUAAUUCAGAAACCUUUGAGAAAUUCAUAGAGUUUAAGCAAGAAGUAGAUAAUCAGUUGGGCAGGAACAUUAAGAUGCUUCGAUCUGAUCGUGGUGGUGAGUAUCUUAGUACUAAGUUCCUUGACUAUCUUAAGGAAUGUGGGAUUAUCUCACAAUUUCCACCUCCUAGGACACAACAGUUGAAUGGUGUAGCUGAGAGGUGCAAUCGGACCUUGUUGGACAUGGUUCGUUCCAUGAUGAGUCGAGCUUCGCUACCAAUCUCAUUUUGGGGGUGUACCUUAGAGACUGCCGCCCAUAUCCUUAAUCCAGUCCUUACAAAGAAGGUUGCCAAAACACCUCACGAGAUGUGGACUGGAAAAGUUCCCAAUCUACUCAUAGGAAAUGACAUCCCAACCCUGCAGGAAGUAAAGUACUGGCUUGGGAAGUGUUUCGCUAUGAAGGACCUUGGUGAAGCUGCCUAUAUCAUAGGGAUAAGGAUUUUGAGAAACUGGAGUAAAGACUAAUUGGACUUAGUCAAAGCACCUACGUGGACAAAGUGUUGAAAAGAUUCAACAUGCAUAACUCCAAGAAAGGUGAGUUACACAUUCAGAGUAACGCGAGAUUGAGUAAGACACAAAGCCCUAGUACAGAGGCUGAGAUAGCAGAAAUGAGUCGAAUACCUUAUGCUUCAGCUGUAGGAUCGAUCGUGUAUGCUAUGACGUGUACUCGACCUGAUGUAGCCUUUGCUUUGAGCAUGGUUAGCAGGUAUCAGUGAAACCCUAGCAAGGCACGCUGGACUGCGGUAAAGAAUAUCCUCAAGUACCUACGGAGGACUAAGGACUGGGUCCUUACCCUCGGUGGGAGUGAUGACCUACGAGUUGUAGGGUACAGUGAUGCUAGCUUCUAGACUGACAGGGAUAAUUUCCGCUCUCAGUCGGGCUGGGUCUUUACCAUAAAUGGAGGGGCAAUUACUUGGAAAGGUUCCAAGCAGGAUACAGUGGCUGAUUCCACUUGUGAAUCAGAGUAUAUAGCAGCAAGCGAGGCAGCAAAUGACGCUAUAUUGCAAAAGAACUUCAUUGGAGACCUUGGAGUUGUACCAGCUAUAAAGGAGCCAAUGGAGAUUUUCUGUGACAGCAAUAGUGCGGUUGCCUUAGCCAAGGAACCAAGAGAUCAUGGGAGAUCCCGACACAUUGACAGANUCAUCAGACAUCGAAUAUAAGAAGGAAUCCUCAUGGCAAAGAGGGUAUCAUCGGAUGAGAACCUAGCAGAUCCAUACACGAAGGGAUUGACUCGGGCUAAGCAUCUACAGCAUGCUCGGAGCAUAGGGCUGAAGGAUGAUAUUAGUUUUAGCAGUUAGAUAAUCUUGAAAUUUGUAAAAUGUAAUUGACAUUCAAUGAUAAAUAAAAGUUGUUAUUUAUGAGUAAAUUGUUGCUAUCACUUGUCGAUCGUUUACUAUAUUUCUUUUGCAUGUUUUGACUUCCAGAAUAAUUAUGUUUGGUAUAACAUAUUAUUUGAACCUCCACAGUCGGUCAUAUGUCGGAAGUAGGUAUGAAUCAAGACUGUCAUGAUGGGUUGUAGAGGUCUAAGGUGUUGGACAAGGCUACAACAAUCAUGAGUGCUCAUAAGUUCUGAGCAUUGGACUCAACCCACGCUCACUGGAAUCACUUCAUGGAAUUUUAUCUCGAGUGAUCGUGAGACGGUAAUAUCAUAUAAGUCUUCAAACCUAGAGAUAUGAUUUGUUACUUACGAGUUGGUUAUGCAUUGAUUGUACGAAAACGCAUUGGUAACUCGAUGUUAUAAAACGUGCCUUUGUGUAUAAUUCAAUGAGUGGUAGAGCAAACAUAUGAGUCGAAGUUUAUCUGUUCCUUCUAGGAUUAGAAGCGAUAUCUGGGCCCCUCGAUGAUUUUGUUUUGACCUAUGUACCGGGCCCGGUCAGAACUAAAUUGAUGUGUUCAGUUAAGUUCUAUGUCAAACAAAUCGGAAAUCGGGAAACAAAUGUUGGACAAUAAGCAAGACCAUGUUCCAUGUAUUUGUCCGGCUGAUAUCUAGAACAGAGGAUUAUAUGAUCACUUAUCUAAAAUGGCGCGUUCUAGUUCAACAGAGUUUAAAGAGCUACGAUUGCUGAUCGGUUCCUGAAGUCAUACUUGCAACUAUAGUUAUUAGACUUAUCCAAGUGGGAGACUGUUGGAUAUAGUGUCUAAGUCCAUAACUAUAUUUGGUAUGUACUUGACCCGACCCGGCAUGGUCCAUUUGGGUUGCACUUCACCCGAACAAUUUAUGGAUAAUCUUUUGAGAAUAGUAUAAGUUAUGAUUUAUUAAUAUAUUAUAAGUUCUAAUAUAUUAAUAUAAAAUCAUAUUAUUUAAUUAGUAUUGAUCUAUAAUUAAUCUAGGAUUAAUUUAGAGAUCAAAAGUAUUACUAAUUAAAUAUGGGCUCUUAUAUUUAUAUAGUGUGGGCUAAUGCUUAUUUGGAAUGGGCUAGGCUUGCAUGGAAAGUCCAUGGAUACUCCGUAGAGCUUUAACCCAUGGAUCUCAUGGAAAUGAAGAGCGAUGUAACCCUAAUCCACCAGACUAUAUAAAGGAGGCUUUGGUUCUUGAAAUCACACUAGUUGUGGUGAGUAAAGUAAGAGGGCCGAUUUCAAGAUAGUUGUGACUAUUCUCUCAAGGUUCCAAAGUUUGUGGUGAUUUGUGAUUUCCAUUUGAGGCAUCCACACUAUUGGUGCUAGGCUCUAAAACUCCAAGCAGUCAACUACAACUACAAGGUAAGUAAUUCUACUAGCUUUAUUUGAUUCAAGUUCCCCAUGCCAUGCUAGAUAGGAUAAGAACCUUGGAAAAAUAAUUAUUUGCAUGUAUCUUAGUCAAACAUAGAUCCAAGGUUUCUAGGGUUGCAUUUAUACCAUAGGAGUGUUAGAAUGUUCAAAACCCAUCACAAGGGUCCUAGCCUUGGUACCCUUCGAAGAGCUCUUCCUCUUCUUCCCUCGACCUUUCCCGAUUGCCAAAACUAGGGCGGAGUUUGGAGUACGAGUGUUAACAACCGACUUACCCUUAAGACCUGUUUCUGUGGUCUUGAGAAGUCCCUAAAGUUUGCUGAGUGUGACCUUUUCCUUAUUCAUGUGAUAUGUCAUGCGGAAUUGAUCAUAACACGAGGGUAAGGAGUGCAAAAUGAUAUCGAUUGCAAGCUCCUCAAGGAAGUCCACAUUAAGCUUCAACAACCAAUUCACAUACCUUUGCAUUUUCUGCAUGUGGCUUGUGACGGAUUCCUCGUCUUUCAUCAUGAUUGUUAUGAUGGAGCAGAUGAUUUCAUACCUCUCUUGUCUUGCACUUUGAUGGUAUCUUUCCAUUAGAUCUUGGUGCUUUUCAAAUGGGUAGAAGUCCUAAUAGGACUUUACGACUUCCGCUGUCAUGGUGGCCAACAUGAUGCAUGCCACUUUUGUAGCAUCCCUUUCAUGUGCCUGGAAGUCAGCUAUCUCAUGGGGAGUUGCAGUGGUCUCAUCAAUCUCCUUAAGCUCCUUGUCAAGGACAUAUUCUUUGUCCAUGUAUUGGGUAAUCAUCCUGAUGUUUCUGAUCCAUUCAUUGAAGUUGGAUCCAUCAAAAGUGACUUUCCCACACAAGUUCAUAAGGGUAAAGGAGCCAUUAGGAUUAGAGCCAGAAGCAGCAUUGUUUGAAGACAUCUGAAAGAAGAGAAAAAUAUUAGUUUAGAUAAUAAGAGAGUCCUUAAUAAAACACCCAAAUGUAAUAUUAAGGCUAGGAUCCAAUCACAAUAUAAUAUAACUUAGAAGAGGUAUGCCGUAAUCUAAGCUAUAUCAUAUUUGAAAGGUAGGUGAAUGACGAUUCACUAAUUUCCACCAUGAAAAACGAAAUAUAGAUAUUAGGCUUUUAAUUGGUUCUUAGAAAUUCCUAAAUUCUUUUGAGAUUCAAUGAACUUUUCAAAGGCAUGUUUCAAUCUCGAGUGUGCCCUCAAACUUUUGUGACUGGGAUACCGAGGAUCACAAAACAAGGUGUAAAGUAACCAUGCAAUCGAUGUACAGAUAAACAAGACAGGCUCCACUGAUACUAUGAUAAACCUUAAGUCACCCUUUACCUACCUUGUUAAGUCCAAGUUAGUGUGCCGGUUAACCACACACGCUCCACCAACGACUUAAUCAAAGUGUAAAGUGUAAUUUCAUGGAAUAGCACCUUAUUCACAUUUUUCCUAAAGUAACUAAGAUUGGGAAUUUAAUAAAACAUUUAGUUACUUUAUAAUAUUCAUCAUACUUUGAAUGAGAAUUAAUAAGUCCUUGUCUUACCCGUUCGGCUAACGACCCUCCACCGAUCAAGCAAGCGGUGGGUGAGAGUGGACACCCAUUAAGUUGCCAUUUUAUAGGCAACAACCUUAUACCCACCUUAUAGACCGGCUUCGUGAAUGAGGCGUACUAGCGGUAAGACGACUUGAUCUUAUACAUAUAUAUAUUAUUAACUUAUAAUAUUAUAAAGUAUAAGGGUUGAAUUUUAACUUUUAAAAUUCUAAGGGUUGGAACUAAAGUUUUAAUCAAGACUUUACUUGUUCCAAAACUUGAGGGCAAGUUUUGUAAACUUUCAAAACUUUUGAUUUCUUAUAACUUAUGAAUUAAUUGAGUAAUAAAAAGGAAGACAUUUCAUUUUUAUAACUCUUGUGUUCUUUUAAUGGCUUUAAUAAAAGUGAGACUUUUGGUUUUCCAUAACUUGAGGACAAGUUAUGGACUCCAUUAAAACACAUUAUGAUCAUGAAGUAAACUACCAUGAAGGUUACAAACAAUUCCUAUGAUCAUCUAAUCUUCAUACGUUCAAGAACAUGAAUAUGAACACAUUCAAGAAUAAAAAAAUUACACUUAAAAACUUGUAAUUUUGAUAAUUGCCAUUGUAAAUGGAAUAGCAUAAACAUUACACCAUCUAAAACAAGUUUUAAAACACCAAAACAGUUUAGGGUAAUGUUUCUAGUCCAUUACCAAUAACAAAUGUCGAAAUUCUGAAAACUACAGCCUUUACUCGUUGAGUGCAAGAACAGACUCUACGAGUAGCUUGCAUUUGUUUAUGGACUCGUCGAGUCCCCCCAUGGACACAGCGAGUUCAUACGAGCAGAAAACAGAAAAUCGAUUUUUUCAAGCAGUUUGCAUAAAAAAUCAACAAACAAGCCUAGGCUCUGAUACCACUGAUGGGUUUUGAGCAUUCUAACACUUCCUAAGUGUGCAUGUUUGGGGAGAACACCUUUGUUUAUAUAGUGUGUUACAUUAGGUAAACCCUAAUGUAACAUGACUCUUCAUUUCAUAAUCCAUGGGUUAACUCCAUGGAGCAUCCAUGGAGCAUCCUAUGGGUGGAACCUAACUUGAUAAUCCAUGGAGCCUCUUAGCCCACUAUAUAGGAUAUGGAAGAUUUACAUAAUCUACCCAUAUAUUUAAUUAGUUAUCUUUUGAUCACUUAAUUAGUUCUAAAUUAAUUAUUGAUCAAACUAAUUAAAUAAUAUUAUUAAUAUAUUAGAACUUAUAAUAUAUUAAUAAACCAUAAGUGUUAUUUGUCUCAUCGUAGUUUAUCCAAUUGCAUGGUGCCAUGCAACCCAAAUGAACCAUGCCGGGUCGGGUCAACUACAUACCAGAAAUAGUUAUGGACUUACACACCUUAUCCAACAGCUUUGUAUGAGGUUGUUGUUGCUACAACCACCGCAGCCGUUACAGCUGCAUGGGUUGGUUCGGGUGGGGUUUUUUUUCAUGAAUUGUUAUGGAUGUUAAAGUUAUCAUGCCAGUAUUGACCAACCACCUUUUGAGAUGUUGUAUGCGAGGAAGUGUUGGACCUCGGUUUGUUAGGGCAUCGGGUCAUGAGGAAUAUUGAAGUGGUGCUUAAGCCCACUGAGUUGAUUCAAUAAGUGUGCGACAAUAAGUAUGCAGACCGACAACGCUUAGACCUCGAUUUUUAGGUGGGGACUUGGUGCUUCUGAAGCUGUCACCUUGGAAAGGUGUCAUCCGGUUUCAGAAGAGGGGAAAGUCAGGCCCCUGGUUUAUUGGUCCAUUAAGGUUUUUCACCCGAGUAGACAGGGUUGCAUACCAGAUGGAUAAUCUCAAUGAGCUCAGACAAAUCCACAACACCUUUUAUGUCUCUCAAUUGCGGAAGUGUGUAGCUGAUGAUUCGGGGGUGAUUUCUUCGGAUGAUAUUAAGGUCGCUAGGCACCUAAAUUAUUUGUAAAUUCUGAUUGUGAUUCUCAACAGAAAGACCAAGACUUUGCGUAAUAAGGUGGUGAACUUGGUGAAGCUAUAAUGGUAGCACCGGAAGGGCUCAGAGUGGAUGUGGGAGCCUGAGGAUGAGAUGUAGGAGCACUACCCAUACUUUUUUGUAAUAGCGGACUUCGAGGAUGAAGUCUGAUUCAAGUGAGGUAGAUUUGUAUAGUAUUCCAAGUAUUUUCAUUCUAUCAUUGAUUCCUUAAAAGAUUGCAUAAUUGGUCGCUACGCUGGACCUACGAGAUAGGUACGUCAGGCAUAGGUCCCUAAAGAUAGUCGUGUAUUCCCUCGCGUACACUAAGCAUACUCAUGCAGAGGGAAAACGCUAAUUUUUAGGGUUUGGAUGCUAUUUAAAUAACUUUAUGGCCUUAAAUCCUUUCUUACCUCUAGCCUCCAUCUCUCUUAGCCUCCAUCUUGAAACCUUAAUUCUUGUGUGUGAGUGUUGAAUCUUUAGAAUGACAUUUUGGUGUUGUUGGUGGUGAAGGAAGACCUUUGGAGUUGUUAUGUUGCUCUCAAGCCUUUGGAUCUAGAUUCUUCUCAUCUUUGUGCAUCUUUUGGAGGUAUAAAGUUCAAAUCUUGAUGUUUGCCUUGCUAGAUGUUGUUAGGUUGCAAGUUAUGACCUUUUUGUCCUAAAACCUUGGUCUCUUGAAUAUUGUCUACUCUAGACCGUUUGAGCUAUCCUUUCAAGCAUUUUAGAGUGUUUUGAUAAAAAUGCAAGCUUGGACCUUGUUAUUUUUCCAUCUAGUAGUUAUGGAGUUUUAGAUGGUUAGAUGAGUUAGGGUUUUGGUGUUGGUGUCCUUGUAGCCAUGCAAAGGCAUAAAUGUCGCAACUUUAUGAUUUUAAACGUUUAUUAGGCUUAGAACUGAAUUGUGGACAUUAAGUCUUAACACAUUAAGACCAUUAGUUUAGAGUUUAGACUUCAUGGUAUUAUGAUGGGAGUAAUUCUAUAGACGAUGAUCGUAGUGGGCUGAUGCCCCGUAACCCCUUCGUGAUCGAGUUGUACGCUGCGCGUAGCAAGGACUAUGCCGAAGGUACUCUCAGAAAACCUUUUCGACCACUUUUGGGACUUGGGAUCUAGGAUUUUUGGGGACUUGGCUAGUUGGGUCAUGAAUGGGAAGGGGAAAAUGGUCUUUUUUUCUUAGAUAGAUAAAGGAUGAAUGUGACCUUCGUAUAAGGAUUAGAUCCUGACUACUAAUUUGUGUUGUUAUUGGGUUAUGAUUAGUGUGAGGAGUCAUGUUAGCAGCAACUCGAGUGUGUUGUUCAGUUAUCUUUAGUUUGAGGUAAGUAUUCCUACCAUACUUGUAGGCCAAAGGCCCCAAGGCCAACCCAAUGAUUCGUAUGUGUAUAACGUAUGCUAUUAUGUGGCUAUUACUGAUGUGAUCGUAUGAUAUAUGCAUGGCGCCAAUCUAGGAGAAAACACAUUAUGGGCUUGGGGUUGAUAUGGACUCGGAGGUUGAUAUGGACCCGACACACCUAUUCGUUGUUCCAUGGGGUUAAAACGGACCUGGGGGUUGUUACGGACCUGACACAACCACGUGUUGUUAUAUUAUGUGUAUAGAAUAUAUGGUAUUUUAGGGAAACUCGCUAACCUUUGUGCUUACAGUUAUGUUUUCGGUUUUAGGUACUUCUGGUAAAGAAGGGAAGAGCCCGACAUAAUGACACUACAUUCUCCCCCUCACGAUUUUCGCAUUUAUGAUCUCUUUUACUGUGAUAUUUUGUGAUACUUGUAUUUUGGAUGAUUUCGAGACAUGUGAUGUUUGGGAUUGAUGAGCUUAAAAAUAAAAUUUUUACUUAUGAAUUUUGGUCGCUACAUUUAAUGAUAGUUGUUAUCGGUAAGUCAUGUCUACCCACCGACAACUUUUACAUGGCAUGAAGUAUAUCAAUUGACAAAAUAAUGAAACAGACUAUUGGAAAAAAUGACCUUGCCUUUUUCAUAAUAACAUUUUUUUCCAAUCAAGCUAGUACAUUUUCAUUGUUGAUUUCUUGUUGAAGGAUAUUUAAAGAUAAUUUCAAAUAAUGCAUGUUAUAUAUGUUUUGCUUGUUUGCUAAUAGAAUCAUUCCAUUACACUAUUGCGACCAAUUAUCACCCAUAAAAUUUUACCAAUAAUCAUACAAUAAUACCCAUGAUAUGAAUCUGGUUAGAUAAUAAUUAUGGCCAAUUCUAUGGAAUUGGACAUAUUUAUUAUGAAUGUGACUUAUGUUUAGUACCCAAGGCAUUCCUUAAGCCUCCAUAGGAUCUAGUUCCAACCUUUGUCACUCUCUGUAAUUCCUAAACCAAACCCUAACAGUACUUCGUCGUAGUGCCUUAGAAAUUCUUGAAUGUAGAAAAAAUAUGGUACAAGUAUUAGUUAAACUAUAACUUCAAAUACAUAAUACAUACAUUACAUACACAUCCAAAGGCCAUGAAAGAUAACUCAAACUGGCUUAUGGAAUUUUUCUUGAUUCUAUGUAAUGUUAUUAAGAUUGGUUCUUUCAAUAUUAUGAAAUAUUCUUGGUAGGUUAUUGAAGCUUUGUUGUUGAAACCCAUUUGAUGAAUUCAUUUUGAAAUACGUUGAGAUAACCAAAAUUAGUUUAAUGAAAGAAAAGUGAUAUCAAAUUGACUAAUAUUUAUAGGAAACGAUUAGGGAUUUAUUGUCUAAGUGUUACAUUACAAUUUGCUGGUGAAAUUACAAAUCACAACUAAAAUGGGAAUCCACUUGUGAAAUGAAAAAGUGUACCUUGUCGUAAUGAAAAUGUACGUUUUCAUAGUCAAAGUGAAAUGAAAAUUCACUGCUAAAAUGACAAUUCACUUCUGAAAUGACAAUUCUUUAGAGCCUGUUGAAAUUAUAAUCUACACUGAAAUAACAAUUCACAUGUGAAAUGACAAUCCACUUGGUAAAUGAAAUAUGUAACUUUUUGUAGUCAAGGUGUACAUUUUUGUAUUCAAAGUGACAUGACAAUUCACUACUGAAAUGAGAAUUCUUUAGUAAAAGGAUAACUCCAUGUUGAAAUGAUAAUACAUUGGUAAAAUGACAAAUCAUAGGUGAAAUGGCAAUCAACUGGUUGUAUGACAAAGUGUAUAUUAUUUUAGUCAAGGUGACAUGCCAAUUCACUGCUGAAAUAAAAAUUCACUAGUGAAAUAACAAUUAAAUGGUGACAUACUUCACCAAACCUCUAUAUAUAGUACAUAAAUCGCCUCAUUCCAAGAAGCUUACUCUGGUGUAUCUUCAAUUAAAUCUACCAAAUGUCAUACCAUGAUUGUAGAAGUGAAACAUUUAUAAGGACUUCAAAGACCAACACUAACCAUGGAAGAGAGUUUUAUGCUUCUCCAAAAACCGGUAUCCUAUUUUCAUUAUCUUUCUAUUCUUUAUUCUUAGCAAUAUCAAUUUAUCAUUGGUUAACCCUAAUCCAUUAUUUCUUAAAUUCACGGGGACCAUGGUGUGAGUUUAUUUGUUGGAUUGAUGAUGAAAUGAGCCAUAAAAAUUCACAGAUAAAUUAUCGGUUUUUUCGGUCAAUAACAAAUAUUGGUUUAUAUUAGGGUUAUAUAUUCUUGUCCAAAAUACUUUACAAGUUGUGACCUUUACAAGUAUCGAAUGUGUUUCUAAGUGUACUGCUAAUGAUAUGGAUUAUGAUUAGUAAUAUCAGUUGUGUUUUGUAUUAGUUGUUUUUGAUAAUAUGGAAAGUUAAUUUCUUUAUAUUCUAAUAGAAAAUUUAAAAUCUAAAUUACUAUCUAAAUAUAAUUACCUUCCUAAGUAAAAAUACAAACAUAUUGUAUCUUUAUAUGAAAAUAGAGUGAUGUUUCAUACAAUACAAAAUAAAAUCAUUAGCUUUUAACUGCGUUGUAAAAGAUCCACAAAAAAUAUUGGCCAUCGUGUAAUUAUAACUAUAAACAAAUAACUCAAAUGAACUUUAUAAAUGCAAGUCCUUAUAAUCUGACACAAAGCACUAUAAAACCAAACACACGAACAACCCACAAUCGCCUAAAGGUCCAUCUUAUUAAGGCAUAUCAUCAACUUGAAUUGGAUAUACAAUGACAUGUCAUGGUGGUAAGCCUAGUCUAACCUAGUAGCCAAUGCCUUUAAAAAUGCUAGCCACUAACUCUUAAAAUCAUAAAAAGCUUCCUUUUCUACAAAUAUGAAAUGGCGACAUAUGGUUUGAGGCUGUGGUAUAUGCAUAAAGUUGUAGACAAUCCAUAGCUUACUAUAGGUGUCAAUCGUGUCAUGUCGUGUCGGGUUCGUGUCGUGUCGAAACACUAAACGGGUUGAAAGUGCACGACCGUAACCCAAUCCAUUUAAUUAACGUGUUGUGUCGUGUCAACCCAUUCAUUUUCGUGUCGAGUUCGUGUCGGGUUUUGGGUUAGGGCUAUACCUUGAAAUAUGUCAUGUCAUGUAAGGUUAAAUGAUUACGCUUGUUGAAAGAGUAGGAGUUGGGUAGGCGGAAAGGAAAAGCUAAUAGUUUUUUAAGGCAUAAUAGAUGAAGUCAUAGCAAGUUCAGAUAACAAAAUUAAAAGAGUGGGAGUUGGGGAGGCGGAUGACAAGGUCAUGAGGAUGUGAGAGUGGUGAACGACACUGGGUAAUUUGGGAGAGAAUGGAAAAACUGAAAUGAAGUCUUGAUCUAGACGGCUAAGUCAUUUCAAAAUUACAAAAUAAUUCAAUUCGAAAGUUUUAUUAUGCUUAUGGUUUUGGUUUUGUAUCUUUCUAGAUUAUUUAAAUAAUUCAAAAAACAUGCAUAUAAAUAAACAGGUCAUUUUCGAGUUGAAAUUCUCAACCCUAACCUUAUCCAUUUAAUUUUCGUAUCAUGUCGUGUCAACCCGUUUAUUUAAAUGGGUUCAAAUAUCUUACCCAAACCUGUUUAUUUCUUGUCAGGUUCGUGUCGUGUCAAUUUUUGCAACCUCUAUAGCUUACCAAGCAGCCAAUGUUUCCCUAUGUAUAAAGUUUUNNNNGAGCCAUACCUAUUACCACACUUUUGUAGCAUCAGGCCCACUCAUUUUACUGUUAGACAAAGGUACCUAGUCUUUUUGCGGACUCAUUAGGAAGAAAGAUUGUGGCAUGAUUGUCCACCUUUGCCUUGCAGAGCCUCUCUCCACCAAAAACCGUACAUAUAUCAAAAGAAGUUGUCAUGUCAUUGCAUUUAUAGGAAAUAUAUNACAACCAUCAAAAUUCGAGUCCGUUCUAGAUUUGAAUAAACUUAGUUGCACAUAUAGGCAUGACACAUAAUAGACUUAGUAACUAGAAACUAAGUUAUAACCUGCUAGAAACUUGGAAACAAGUAGGAUCGAAUGAUAGUGUACUUAGAUUUCACAUUGAUAUGUGAAUUCUACUACUACUUAACUGUAGUGACUAUCCAUAUUUGGGUCACUCUUUGACUCGAACACCAUUUCAUGAAUCAUAUACACACAUCAUGCAUUUUACCUAGUAGUAGAAAUUAGGUCAAAGUCUCAUAGAAACUUAUGUCAAAGUUGAAGACUAGGACUAGUAUACUUGAUUCCUCAAUUUCGCUUGAGUCUCGGAAUCACUACAUAGAAUGCCAAUAAACUAAUAAAAAUAAAUUACAAACAUUAUUUAUAACUAUAAAAGAGUUAUAAUACCAUAAGAUAAUUUAAAGUCCCAAAUAUUCUAUUUUUUUGAUAUCUAAAGAUUUACAAAAUCUCAAGACCCUAAAAGCCAUAAAAGCUCAUAUUUAUAAACUUUAACCUUAAAAAUUCUAUAAAAAUAAUUAUGAAACUUAUAAUAUGAUCUUAUAAUAAUAAAAAUUAUGAAAAUGAAUUUAAGGAAAAUAAAAUUUAAGUCAUUAACAAUUACCCUAAAUUUAUAAGUCAAAAAUCAAGGUUUCAUGAGCAAAAACUUGGUUAGGGUGUAUAUUUUAUAAAAAGUUUGAUAUUUUUAUAAAAGAAUUGAAUUUUUUUAUAAAAUUAAAAGAGAGGGGGGGCAUUUUACACUCAAAACGGUCCACCCUCUUCCCAAGAUACUUUCCCUCUUCCCAAAACACAUAAUCAGUCCAUCUCCUUCACUUCUCUCUCUCUCUCUCUCUACACUUUCUCACACUCCACCAUUUACCACACUCAAACUCUCUCUUUCCAUCUCUAAAACCACGAAAUUCUCCAGACAAGAACAUCUCUUAACCUUCAAAUCUUCAUCUUCUAGGGUUGUUCUUCAUGGUAAUCACGAAAAUCCUUCAAUCUCCUUCACUUUUCUAUCUAGUUUUAAAGGUUUUUCUUGCAUUUCCAUGUUCUUCUACACCAUUCUCUUAGAAAAUUUGUGUGAAUAUUCAUUCAAUUCAGUUUUGAUGAUGAUGGUGGUAGAUUUUCACCAAAAACAUCUUGUAUGUUACAAAAUGGUGAAGACCCAUGACCUAAACCUAAGUCAAAACAAUGGAAAUACAUUUUUCUACACGUUUUGGUGGAAAAUCACCACAUGCAUCCAAAGUUUUCUUUCAAAACCUAACUUAACACAUUUCAAACUCAUUAAUGAACUUCAAACAAACAUGCAUGUGAUGAUCUUCAAGCUUAGAAGCUAGAUCAUCAAAGUAUGUUGUUAAAAACUUUCAAAUAUGUUCAUGAAGGAUUUAUUUCCAAAUAAAUAUCUAAAACUCCUUUUCUGACAAAAUCCGAUUUUUCCCAGAUUCCCAAAAAGAAUAUAAGAUGAUCUGUAAAUUUCCAGAGAAUAAUUCAUUUCUCCCGUAUUACUAUAGUUAAUGCAAUAAAAUAGAGCAAUAAAUCAUAUAAAAUACUUUCUCAGGUCUAUAAAUCCUACGGAAAUUCUUGGACGACCCUUAUGCUACAUAAAGACCCCACAUUAAAUUUCAUCGGUUUUUGUUACUUUUUAAUAUGGUUUUGAAUUUUCUUUUUGUUUGGAUCAAAUAAAUCAUAAAACCACUUUAGAAAAUGUGAAAAUGAAAUAUAACAAUUUUCGUAGUUGCUACAAGAGGUAUGAGACUCAUAAAAAUAUUUUCAGAAUUUUUCAUCAUGCAUUUCUAUUUUUCACCGAUUUUUGUAUUUAUAAUGGUUUAAAAAUAGAAAAAAUAGUUCUGCUCAUCAAAAAUUCACGACAAUUUACCAGAAUACCUUUUAAUACAUUAGGAGGCUACAUAAAUAUUUUUAUGAUUUUUCUCUUCUGUAUACUAUUUUUCUGCUAUUUUCUAAUAUUAAAUACACUUAAAUACACAAAAUCGGAUUCCAUUUGAUAAAAACCACCUUUGGGAUUUUUUCCAGAUUAUUUACACUGUAAAUGAACUUUAAAUUUUUUUUGAUAAUUUACUUUAACUGUUUAAUAAUUAUUCUUCAAUUAAUGAUUAUUUAAGAGGAUAAAACAAAGAAAAAUAGAAAGACUAAUUGAAAAAUAUCUUUUAUAUUUUUACAGAUUCUUCAUGUAUAACAAAAGUGUCACAAAAAUUUUGGGCAAUUUUGGAAACUGUUUUCUGUUUAUUUUAAUUUUUAUUAGAAUAAAUGCUCAAAAAUAAUAAAAUUUGGGUUAAAUAGUUUGGAAAUCCAUUUUUAUAUUUUUCCCAGCUUAAUUAUAUCUAAUUUCAGUAUUAUAAAAGGGUUGAAAAUUUUUAUGAUCUGGAUUCUAUUUUUCACAAAUUUAUAUUGUUAUGAAGGCUUACAAUUUUGGAAAAAUAGUUAAUCAUAUCAAAAAUUAAAAGGAGAAUUUAUGGAAUCUCUCUACUGUGUUUAGAAUCAAAAUGCAAAGCUUGAGAAAUUCUGGAAACAGUUUGAUAAUAUUUUGGCUUUUUAAGAGCUUAAAACACAUUUAAAUGUGUUCAAAUACCCUCAAUUGUUAUUACAAAAAUAUGGAAAAUUAAUAUCCAAAAUUGUCUUAAUCACAUGAACUAAAAAAAACUUCACCAUUUCAGAAAAAUGUUUGUAACUUAUCAAUAUUAAAUUUUGACACAAUAUUGGCAUAAUUCUAUUGUAGUAGCAAGUAUACUAGUGUUAGCUUUCUAUUAGAGACUCAUUAGUGUGUAACAUUGUGUAGAAAUUGAUAGUGGUAUGACUGGAGCGUAGAUCAAGGCAUCAUUUGCAUCAUCUCAAUGCAUAGUGAGUAUCCACGCACUCCCCUAUUUUUAGUUUUUAUGUUUUUGGGCAGAAAAACAUGUCCCGGAAAACUAUUAUUUGUUCGUUGUAUUUAAAUUGAUUUGUAUCAAACAUGAUUGCUAUUUUAUUUCUAUAUCUCUCUAUGUAUGUCUAUGCAACAUGGAACAUGAGAACAUGUCGCCUUAAGUCCCUUCCCUAACACAUUUCUCUAACCAUUAACUCUUUGAGCCAAUGGUCAUUGUGAAUAGCGCCAUUAGGAAUAGACAACUCCUCACUCGCCCGAUUGCUGGAGUGCAUGAUACCAUAUAAUCUAUGGAACGAUAAGCAUAGAUAUUGAUAGGGCUUCACUCAUAGGCUUGGUUGAGAACUCAUUAUUUGCUCAUACACAUACAAACUUGUUAUUUAUUAAGGCAAUAAACUCAUUUAUCAAUUAUAGCAAUGAACUUUGUUUCUCGUUAUAGCAAUAAACUUUGUAUCACAUCAUAACAACGAACUUUUAUUACUGCAAACUUAUAUACAUGUUUUAGCAACGAAAUUGAUUGCUCAUUUUAGCAAUGAAACUUUUUUAGUUGUUUGAGUAACGAACUUUAUCUUCAAUGAGAAUAUGAACGUUGCAUCUCAUUUGAACAACAUACUUUAUCUCUCAUGAUGAUAAAGAAAUUUUUUUUACAAACUUAUUUACUUAUUUUAACAAUAUACUUUUAUUAUUGGAAACGUUUAUCAAAACUUUGAUUUCAAUUCAUGAAAACAAUAUUAUUUUGUUUAUCUGUGAGAACUCACCAACUAUUUUUAUAGUUGACCCUCGUUUUACAUGCUUUUUCAGGAAUCAUCGAGUAAGUGGUACUUAGAGACACUUCACUGUUAGGAGCAUUCGCAUGUGUUGUAUUGCAAUUUUCAAUGUAAUUUCUUUUAAAAGUGGUUCAAACCCAUUGUAAAUUUGUAAUGAUUUUUAAUAAUACAGUUGGUGUUGUCUUUUAUCUUUUGCUAUGAAACCCAUGACCCUCGUUUUACAUGCUUUUUCAGGAAUCAUCGAGUAAGUGGUACUUAGAGACACUUCACUGUUAGGAGCAUUCGCAUGUGUUGUAUUGCAAUUUUCAAUGUAAUUUCUUUUAAAAGUGGUUCAAACCCAUUGUAAAUUUGUAAUGAUUUUUAAUAAUACAGUUGGUGUUGUCUUUUAUCUUUUGCUAUGAAACCCAUUAUACUGCCACGCCUCGUGUUUCCGCUUUAGCGAGGUGUGACAUAUAUAUAUAUAUAUANNNNNNNNNNNNNNNNNNNNNNNNNNNNNNNNNNNNNNNNNNNNNNNNNNNNNNNNNNNNNNNNNNNNNNNNNNNNNNNNNNNNNNNNNNNNNNNNNNNNNNNNNNNNNNNNNNNNNNNNNNNNNNNNNNNNNNNNNNNNNNNNNNNNNNNNNNNNNNNNNNNNNNNNNNNNNNNNNNNNNNNNNNNNNNNNNNNNNNNNNNNNNNNNNNNNNNNNNNNNNNNNNNNNNNNNNNNNNNNNNNNNNNNNNNNNNNNNNNNNNNNNNNNNNNNNNNNNNNNNNNNNNNNNNNNNNNNNNNNNNNNNNNNNNNNNNNNNNNNNNNNNNNNNNNNNNNNNNNNNNNNNNNNNNNNNNNNNNNNNNNNNNNNNNNNNNNNNNNNNNNNNNNNNNNNNNNNNNNNNNNNNNNNNNNNNNNNNNNNNNNNNNNNNNNNNNNNNNNNNNNNNNNNNNNNNNNNNNNNNNNNNNNNNNNNNNNNNNNNNNNNNNNNNNNNNNNNNNNNNNNNNNNNNNNNNNNNNNNNNNNNNNNNNNNNNNNNNNNNNNNNNNNNNNNNNNNNNNNNNNNNNNNNNNNNNNNNNNNNNNNNNNNNNNNNNNNNNNNNNNNNNNNNNNNNNNNNNNNNNNNNNNNNNNNNNNNNNNNNNNNNNNNNNNNNNNNNNNNNNNNNNNNNNNNNNNNNNNNNNNNNNNNNNNNNNNNNNNNNNNNNNNNNNNNNNNNNNNNNNNNNNNNNNNNNNNNNNNNNNNNNNNNNNNNNNNNNNNNNNNNNNNNNNNNNNNNNNNNNNNNNNNNNNNNNNNNNNNNNNNNNNNNNNNNNNNNNNNNNNNNNNNNNNNNNNNNNNNNNNNNNNNNNNNNNNNNNNNNNNNNNNNNNNNNNNNNNNNNNNNNNNNNNNNNNNNNNNNNNNNNNNNNNNNNNNNNNNNNNNNNNNNNNNNNNNNNNNNNNNNNNNNNNNNNNNNNNNNNNNNNNNNNNNNNNNNNNNNNNNNNNNNNNNNNNNNNNNNNNNNNNNNNNNNNNNNNNNNNNNNNNNNNNNNNNNNNNNNNNNNNNNNNNNNNNNNNNNNNNNNNNNNNNNNNNNNNNNNNNNNNNNNNNNNNNNNNNNNNNNNNNNNNNNNNNNNNNNNNNNNNNNNNNNNNNNNNNNNNNNNNNNNNNNNNNNNNNNNNNNNNNNNNNNNNNNNNNNNNNNNNNACAACUUUCAUGACUAAAAAGAUGCAUGUAAACUUCUAGUUAUAAAAAUAACACUUAUAAACAUAGAAAAUAUGAAUGGAUUUUCUUGAUAAAAGAAAACCAUCCAUGUUUUCGAAAAACAAAUAUGAUAUCAACUUAUCAAAUGAUCUAACCAAGCUUGAAAAAAUGACUUUGAUACCAAUUUUUGGGUUUUUAUUUAAAAAAAUCUAAUUUUAAUGACAAAAUUGAUGUUAUUAACAACAUAAGAAUUUUUAGAUUUGAAUAACCUAAAAAAGUUUUAUCCCACCAAGGCUCAUUUUUCAAAGCUUAGAAAGAUUAAAACAUAACCAAAGGAAAUAAGAAGUUUACAAGAUUUGAGUGAUUUUAGAACCUCAAAGUGAUUUAUGUGUGUUUUGGUGCUUGAGGAGGAAGAAGGAACUUCUUGAAGAGUCAUUACUUGACUUGGAGCUUUCGGAUCCAAGAGUUGUGCACCUAGAUCUAUCUUGUGGAGGUAUAAAGUCUCAACAUUGGCAACUCUUUCAUGUAGAUCUAGCUAAGUGGUAUUUUGUUAUGGUUUUGGUCCCUUUUCAGGUGCUUCUUAUGAGUAGACGUUACUCCAAAACCAUUGAGCUUCAUAUUUGGUCCUUGUUGAGGUUAUGGAGUCAUAAAUUUUGGAUCUUAAUGGGUAUAAACCUUUCAUACAUGUUUUGGUAGUCAUUUGAUGAAGUUUAGGACUUACGGUUUUGAUUUGGUCCCAUUGAGUUAUGCUAAGUCAUAAAUUUAGAAACAUUAUGACUUAAGAAGUCCCUUGAAAUCAGACCUGGAAGUUUGGACUGAGGUCUUAAAGUAUUAAGAAGUGUUAACACAUUUUUGGAGUGAUUUUGACCUUUUGGAAUUCAUCUUUGGUGCUCUGGCUUCGUUAACCCAUGCAAAGGCUUAAAGCAUGCGACUUUAUGGAUCAAGUCACUUAUAUUUAGCUAUUUUGAGGUUUUGGACGUCUUGACUUAAUGGAUUAAGAGAAAUAAUUGAGAAUUGGUCAACAGGAGGAGUAUGUUGGGAAUAAAAGCCUAUAUGUGCAGCGUACAAGCUGAGUACUCCCCGCGUACUCAACAUAGUGGGAUUUUAGUGUUUGGGCUUCAGUUUGGGCCAUCUUUUGGGAUUUAUUGUUUCGGCCCGUGUAGGGCCAUCGGGUUUUGGGUUGAUAUUUAUUUGUAGAGGCCUACUAUGGAUUUGGGCCCAAUUUGGAAAAUUGGGUCAUGGAUUGGGCCUUUUUGGUAUUUGGACCUUGGGUAGUUUUUGGUAUUUGGACCUUGUGGACUAUUUGGUUUGGGCCUCAGUCUUGGUCCAAAAGUAGGUGAGGGGUAAAUUGGUCAUUUACCCUAGUAAUGGUUUUAUGGUUAUCGAUUGGAAUACAAUUGUUGAUUGGGUUUUUUUUUUUUUUUAAUUUGAUUGUUCGGGGAUCUGUCAGCCAGCAGCCUGGGAUUUUCUAUUUGACUAUGCAGUACGAAGUGAGUCCUCUCAUUAUAUCCAUAAGUCAAAGGCACCAAUGUCAGCCCAUUACGUGUUAUGUGAUAUGCUAGUUGUCUGUGUGAUAGUUGCAUGGAAGACCUCAGAGUUAGCCCGUGGCAUUUGGUUAUUAAAAUUAUGGGGGGGAUCCCAUGACAUUUUAGGUAAAGACCAUGGGGGAACCUAUUGCAUUCCAAAUAAAGACCAUGUGGGGAGCUCAUGACAAAUAUAUGUAUGUUGCAUGAUAGUGUGUGCUUGUAUGAUGUAUGGUAUUUUGGGUAACUCGCUAAGGCUUGUGCUUACGGUUUUCCGUUUAUGUUUCAGGUAUUCCUGUUUUCAAAUGGAAUGGCUCAGAAUGAUUGCAGAGGACACACCACAUGUUUCCGCAUUUUGUGAAUUACUCUGAUUUGAUGAUGUUUAGCUAAAACUUGUUUACCUUGGUUUUAAGCGGAAGAUAUGUAUUAACAAUUUAUUAACCUAAAAAUAAAAAAAAAUUAUGUCUUGAUUUUUGGGACGGUACACUUUUUGGUCAAAAUUAGUAAACAAAGCUUCAUAUUUAAGACAAUCAAUCUUGAAAAUAACAAAGUUAUGAAAAAUUAUAAAAUAAGAUACAAAAUUAUAAGAUAUUAGGAGAUUUAUAAAAAGUACAAUUAGUAAAAGCGUUACAGUUAUAAGGAAAAAUAUAAGACCGUUAACAUUAGUAAAACUGCAAUAUAUAAACUAAAUUAUCACAAUAGUAAUGAAAUGUCAUUAUUUGAUAUUUCUUAUAAUUGAAAGAUAUAUAUCAAAUUAUAUUGAUGAUAUACCAAAAUUAUUUAAAGUUGCGCCAAGUCUAAUACAAAGUUCUUGCGAACACCAAAUAAAUAAGAACAAACAUAAAAGCUACACUUAUAUUCAUAAUCAAUUUAAAACAAAUCAAUCGAGAUAUAGAAAAGAAUUUCCGUUGAUGAUACACUAAAAUUAAAUCCAUAUAAAAAUUAACAUUCCUUAAAUUAUACUCUAUGACUUUAUUACAAUAAAUGAAAUAGUUGUCAAUAUUUAAUGCAGUAAAAACAAAUGAUAUAUUGGUUGUCAAUAUACGUUUAAAUUAAGUAACCAUAUUAUGGAAGAAAUGUCAAAUUAGAAUGUUUAUGCUUAUAUAACAAUAUAAUUAAGUGAUAUUUUUAAAUAAUUGAAAAACAUAGAAUAAUGACAAGUGGAAAAUAGUAAAUUCAAAAAAUACCAAAAAUUGGCAUGUGCCAAAAUGAAUGAGAAAAUGACAUGUGGCAAAAUGAUUUUUAUUUAUUAGGACAUAUAUUUUUAUGUUGCUUUAUCUUAUUUUUUUUUUAUUUUGUUGCAUUUUAUGACUUUAUAUGUAUUUUUUUAUAUGUUCACCCGUGUUUAAAAUAAUAUAUUUUGACGACUUACAUGUUUCCUUUAUCAAAUCUAAACUUUCCAAAAUCAGAUUCCAAUCGUGACCUAUCAAUUUAAUCAUCAUUAAUUUCAUCUAUAAUUUUAACCAGUUUAAAUUUAUAUUUUCCUUAUAUAAAAUUUUAUAAUGGUCCUGAAUUUUCCCUCCAAAAAUAUUUCAAGCAUUUAUUUUUUAUGCGUCCCUUAAUCAAAUUUAAAUUUGUAUUUUCCUUAUAUCCAUAAAAAAAUUAUUUUUAUAACUUAAGCGUUUUCUUUAUCAAAUUUAAAUCUUCCAAAAUCAUAUUCAAUUGUAGUCUAUCAAUUUAAUCGUCAUUAAUUUGAUACAUAAUUUCAAUCAAUUUAAAUUUGUAUUUUCCAUAUAUAAAUUUUUUAUGAUUCCAAUUUUUUCCCUUCAAAAAUAUUUCAAACAUAAAUUUUAGAUAAUGUUUUCUCAUUAUAUUUAUUACUUUUCUCAUAUAAAAUAAUAAAAUUUACCACUAUNNNNNNNNNNNNNNNNNNNNNNNNNNNNNNNNNNNNNNNNNNNNNNNNNNNNNNNNNNNNNNNNNNNNCAACAUAAACACUAAACAAAUUGAUUAAUUAUUUUGUAUAACAUAUCAACCUAUUUUGUUUUAUCUUUAUGUAGUAGCAAUAAAAUUUAUAAACUUACACAAAAAAUGUACAUAUUUCAAAUUUUGUUGUAAUAUUAUACCUUAUAAAAUACAAUUCCCUCCAAAAUAAUAUUCGUUAGUAAUUUCGUCCAUAUUUUCACCUAAUCUAAGUUUUUAUUAUCCUUAUAUAAAUUUUUUUAAUAAUCAAGAUUGUUUCUAUCCAAAAGUAUUUCAAGCAUUUAUUUCUUACAUUAUUUUGCCCAUUAUAAUUAUUAAUUUCCUCAUAUAAAAUAACAAAAUUUACCAAUAUGCCUAUAUAUUUUUAUUUAACUUUUAUAAGCAACAUUAACAAUAAUACAAAGUGAUGGAUUCAAGUGACGAUUCAUAUUCUUUAAGAAAAAAAUUAUGACAACCCGAAAUUUCUAUCUUGUACAGCCAUUCCACUCAAUCAAAGUCGGACUCGUUUCUGCUAUCUUUUAGCAUUGGUUAGGGUCUGUUUGAGUGUUCUAAGCCUAGUACGUUCAAGGAAGGAGUGUUAGGAAGCAUCUUUUAGAGUUCAGUGGGCAUCUUACAAGCCGGAAAACUCCAUGUAUUGGAGUUUACGGCUGUAAACUAGGGAUUACGGUCGUAAACCCUUGGCUGGCCGUGAACUCCUCCCCUCAUAUAUGAUAUUCCUUCAUUUUUCAACUUUUUCUCAAACUUCCAUCUCAAGAACUCGAUUUCCUCUCUAGUAUCAUCAAGAACUUUCACCUUGAUCUUCAAGCAUGUAAGUAAUCCUUCCAUUUUUGAGUUGAUAUCCUUCUAUUUCUAGUGAAGAUUCAUGUUUUCAUCCAUGAACUAUCUCUUUUGGAUAGAUCUUCAAGUUUUCUUCACUUUCACCAAGAACACCUACUUGUUCUUGGGCCGUGAACUCCUUAGAAGCCUUCAAAAGUGUAAGUAUCUCUUCUAUCUUCUAGUUAGGCUUGAUAAACACAUGAUUCCUAGCCUCAAAACAUUUUAACAUGAAUGAACAUCAAGAGUUACGGCCGUAAACCCUUGCAUGGCCGUAAGCCCUUGUUAUGGUACAUGUCUUGGACGCAAACUAGUUUUAAGUCCAAACCUAGGACUGUGAUCACUUAGUGAAUGCUUGUUAGGGUCGUAAACACCUCUUAAAGUCAUGCCCUAUAGUCGUGAACUCUCCUUUGCCGUACACACCAAAGGUGUGGCCGUAAACUCCAUUUAAUACAAUUAUAUGUGAUUAAAAGACUUCAAUCCAAGUGUUUCCUAGUCCCUAAAGUGUUUUCCUUGCAUGUUUAGUUGUAUAUAAACUAAUUAUAUACAUAUAUGUAUCAUUAUAUGCUUAAUAGGAUCCGUUUCUGCUCGAGGCUUCACUUGACACGUAGCAUCCUAUAUCGAUCUUUCAUUCAUAUCACUCACUACAAGUGAGUUCAUACCCCUUUAUUCUCCAUUUUAAAUGAUUUUAAAUGCUUUUAUGGGGGGGGGGGGGGUGGAAUGCAAGUUGAUAACAUUAUAGUUAUUAUAUCAAUCACAUGUGAUUAAUAACUAUCAAACAAGUGGAUUUCAUAUACUUCAAAACUGUUUAUCAAACAAACUCUUCAAAACAUUUUAUAAACUGACAGCAAGUCAUCUGUUACCAUUCAAAUGGUUAAAAUUCCUUUUUGUGUUAAACUCUUUUAUAGGCUAAACUAUUUAUUAAACGCUUUUAAACUUAUAUAUUGUCAAAAUCAUGUCUAUAUAGAUAUAAUUAUAUAAGUAAGGUUGAAAGGGCUUAGAACUGAUAACUCACUUUAUUUCCAACUCCUUUUUUGGUUGUGGACUUAGGGUAUCCGGUUAUUUGUCUGAGUGUCAUUUGAAUCUUAGUAUAUAUUAUGUAUAUAUACAUAUAUAUAAAAGUUCUUACAUCAGUUCAGCACCUUUAGGUAGCAAAGGUGUACAAACAUACUCAGUCAUUCAAAAAACAUUACUAGUAAACUAUAAAAGGUAUAGUUUAGGGAUUUACUACUCACUAUUUCUAGUACAAUGAAACAUACAAGAGUCAGUUCAUUCAUGAGUCAAUACAAACUUACUAUUUUGAGAAACAGAAAGAACAUACUAUGAUGAGAAACUAAGAGAACACACAGUACACUAUACAAAGAUAACUCACUAUACACUAGAAUAGAGAAAACAUACAAUACACUAGAACAUACUAUACAAACACAAGAAUACUAUAACAUUAACAUGAGCCACUACUUCAUGGCAUGGCAAUCUAUUGUUAUGUCACGUUUUGUAACUAGAGUCUCUUGGAGGGAGAGCGUGAAUUUGUGUAUAGAUUUAUAUCGGACUGACCGUCCUACACCUUGUUGCUAGCUACAGUGGGACCUAUAGGUCUACGAGUGAUGAAUGUCAUACCAUUUCGACGUCUUCGAGCGUCGUUUUUUACUAGUCGAUCAAGCAUGGUUACAAUCAUAUCACAUUUUACCUUAAUUAACAAUUGGUUUAAGGUAGUUAGUACAAUAGUAGUUACUAUAUACAAUACUACAAUACAUCUUUAUUUUCCCAUUGCAUUCACAUUGUGAUCUUCUCACAUAAACGGUAAUGUAAACUAUAUUUUGGAAAUGAUAGUCAUACUUGGGAAAGAUACACACUUUUACAAAAAGAAAAAACAUACAAAAUAGUCGGGUCUUGGUAGAAGACUACCUUUCAUAAUAAAGUAGAAAAUAUAGGAUCUUGUAGGAGAUACAACAAUUACAUCAAACUCGUACAAACAUUUACAGUAAACAUUUACAAACACUUUCAUACAAAGAAUGACACUAAAACACUUAUGAACUCACCAACUUUAAUGCGAAUCUACUCUUACAAAAUAAUUUGUAUUCUCAAGUCACCAUUAGACAGGUACACUGGACCAGGUUUUGAGAAGACGGAGCUCGUACAAGACUCGUCUUUAUUUUGAUUAUUCAUUUUUGGUGUCUUAUAAACUAUAUACAGAACACACUUGUGUAAAAUUGUACUAUUAAUGCAAUCAAUGAUGUUGUUGCUUGCUUACUAUUAUGCAUUGUUAUGAUACUGUACAUGACGUCCUCCGCUCCAGAACGUUUCCGCCGUUCCAGUUUUGGGGUGUGACAGAUUGGUAUUAGAGCUUUGUUUAUAGUGAAUUGAGUAUAUCAACCCAUAAAAGAUAUACAACUAUAAACACAUCGGGAUUAAAAUAAUCUGACCAAAAGUUUGUGCUUUUUAAUAAUAAAAUAUUUAACCAAAGUAUACAUACCUGCAUUCAUACUAAAAUCAGUAUCACUAGGACAAAGCAAAAGUAUUGCGGUUGUUGAACAACACAAGUAGGCUUGGGGACAUAUAAUCAGAUCUGGGAGUAAUAUAGCCUGAUCAACUAUAUUUUUUCGAGAAGUGAUUAGCAUGUGCCUAGGAAGGUUGUGGUGUUGCAACAAGUCUAAAAGCUUACCAACACUACUACAAUGAAAACAUUAGAACAUAACAAAAACUUAAAAUACUAUAGGAGUAUUUUGUGUUACUAUAAUUACUUAUUUGAGAACUAAAGGUCUUUAUUAGUAGGUUAAUAGUUUCUAGGUGGAUAUGCUAAGGUUAUAUGUGACCAAGGUGUCAUAGAAUUAGAAUUUGUGAUCUUUGCUUUAUUUCCUAUUUCUUGUUUGGUUGUGGAUUUGGAGUUAGGGUCACUUAUUCGAAGGUCUAUCAUGUUUUGAUUACAUGUAACUGGUAUGCACUACACAAGUAUUGAAGUAACUGGUAAAGAUCAUCCUAUAAUUAUCUUAGGUACUACGUCUAUUAAGUAUUUCUUUUAUCCCUAUUCUCGAAUAGAUAACAUGGCUGGAUUCCAUCUCCCUGGCGACCCGUACUUUCCCAAACAAGGCAAUGGUGGAUGGCUCGAUGCAGAGCCAUAAGAGAAUCAUCCAAUCCCUUUGGAUGAUGACUUCACAGAGAACUUUCCGGAGGAUUCUGACUCCGAGCCAGAAGUCAAUGAUCUACCCCUGGUAGCUCCAAUCCAAAAUCCUAACCCUUGUUCGGCUUUUCAAGGCCCGACGCCUCUAUGGGUACAAAACUUGGGUAGGUGGAGUCAAGAACAGGGUCAAACCUUACCCUACAAUGGAGACAAAAGCUUCUACAACCAGAGCGAGGGAGGCUCAACAGACAGAGUCCUGCCUAUUCUGGUCUACAGGGUUGCUCGUAAUGAAGAGCAGGGUAGGACAACCAUCAACCGAAUCAUUGUGACAACCCGAUAUUUCGAGUCAAUGUAAUGUAAAACCGAUCAAAUUUAGGCCAAAAUGUAACCUUCCUAAAAUCUUAUUCGGAUUAAAUAAAGUAAUAGGAAUCAUAUCAAGGUUUGCGUACAUAAAAAGAACGUCCAAAUCUGACCUCGGAUGAGGAAGUUAUGAAAUUUUGAAGAAAUUCCUUAAUCACGUCAUUUUAAUAAAUAAAUAAUAAAAAUAAUUUCGGAAUUAGCCAACGGAAUCUAAACGAAAGUCGUAGAUCAUGGUCUCACCUUCGCGUGAAUAUAAAGAACGUCAAAAACGGAGUUCGUAUGAGAGAGAUAUGAAUUUUUGAAGUUUAUUUAAAAUAAAUAAGAAUUUAAUUAUAAAUUCCCGGUAAUAUCCGAAGGGGAGUCAUCGGAUUGGACCGAAGUACGCCCUGCGUACCUUCGUACGCCCCGCGUACUGAGAUCGAGGGUCUCGGAUCGUCCACGUCGCNNNNNNNNNNNNNNNNNNNNNNNNNNNNNNNNNNCCCCCGCGGCCCCGCCCGCCCCGCCGUCCCAUCCGACCCGCGUACCCAGCAACCCGUCCCAUCCGAACCGAGGCAGUCGAGGCUUCGGUCAUGCAUGACGUACGCGUACGCGCUGCGUACGAGCGUACGCCCCGCGUUCGGAGGCGGUUCAGCCUUCCUAUAAAUAGGAUGCGAGGCUUUCCGAAAAUGUUGCUCAUUUCUCUCCUCUCUCUCACAACUUUGUCUCGUUUUCCGUGCCCGUUAUAACCCGAAGCUCUGGUCUUUUUGCUCAAGUCCCGAGGGUCGAUUUUACUCCCGAGAUUCCCGAGAAUCCCGAGAAAAAUCCGUUUUCCGAGACGAAACUCUGCCCGGUUUUCCAUCUCGCUUUCUUCAAUCAAUCAAGUGAGUUUCAUACCCCUUAAUCAACCUGUUAAAUAUUCUAAAUGCUUUUAUAUGCUUUCAAAAGGGGGGGAAUACAAGUUAAAUACUUAUAGUUAUUGUUUCAAUCACAUGUGAUUGUACUAAUCACAUGUGAUUAAUAACUAGGGAAAUCAGUGGUUUUAUCACUAUUCAAACUAUCUAUCAAACUGUUUUACUUCUAAAUGUUUUCCAAACCCAUUUACUUUUCGAAUUUACACUGCAACUGUGAUUUAAGCAAAUGUUCCUUAUACUUAAACUGUUUUAAUCAAAUCUACACCUUCAAAUGGUUUUAUAGAUUGACAUCAAGUCAAUCUUUCUUUAAAAAUAAUACUUAUGUUUCAAAUGCCUUAUAAAUACUUAUUUAUGCUUUUAUAUUACAAAUUGCAUGCCCAUAUAUGUAUAGACGUAUAAAUAAUGUUUAAAGGGCUUAGGAAGGCUAUCCACCUUGUUUCCUUUUCCUCGAUUUGGAUGUGGUCUGAUAGGAUUUUGGGUGACCAUCCGAAGGUCGUUUCCAUAUUAAUUAUAUAUCAAAUAUACAUAUAUAGACAUAAAAGUACUUCCAUAAUCAUAUGUACUAAACGCACUGUUAACAAGUUACCAUCGGGGUAACACAGAAUCAUACUAUUACAACUGCUAGAUCAAUGAGUCAGUUCAUUCAUGAGUCUAUACUAGGAAGAGAAUAUAUACAACUAUACUACGAGAACAUAUACAACUAUACUAGAACAAGAAACAUUUCAUCACACAUGCAAGAAUACGAUAACAAAUGUGAUCCACUGUAUCGGAGCAUGCCUUAAAUGUCAUGGCCCGAGUUGUAGCCAGAAUUCUCUUGGAGGGAGAGCGUUGAGUUUGCGUAUAGAUCUAUACUGGAUUGACUAUCCUACACCUUGCUGCUAGCUACAGCCGGACCUGCAGGUCUGCGGGUGCCAAACGUCAUUCCGUUAUUACGACCGUUCUUUAUGUCGUUGUUAUCAGUCGAUAGUAUGGUGCAAUUAUCACAUUAUACCUUAAUAUAAAUCCGGUUUAAGGUAGUAGUAAUUAGUACAACAGUAGUUCUUAUUAUACAAAACUACAGUACUACAAUGAUUUACCCAUUACAUAUUUUGGUGAUAAUCUCACUUAAGCAUUAAUGUACAAACUAUAUUUUAUCAAAUGAUAGUUAUACUUGGGUAAUCACACACUUUUACAACAGACGAGUUUACAAAACAGUUAAGCCUUGGUAGAAGGUUACUAUUAUAGAAAAUAUAGGAUUUUCUGAGAGAUUCAAACUUUUGCAAAUACUUUUAAACAUUUAUUUACAUUUUUACAAACUUAUACAUUGGGACAAGUUCAAACGUUUUUGACAAUGAACAUUGACACUAAAAUACUUAUGAACUCACCAGCUUAAUGCUGAUAAACUCUUUCAAAAUAACUUGUAUUCUCAGGUCAUCAGUAGACAGGUACCGAUGCCAGCUUUUGAGAUGAUGGAGCGUACUCAAGACUCAUCAUUUUAUUAUUUUGAUUUACGUUAUAUUUUUGGUGUCUAAAACUGUACAGAACACGCAUGUAUUAAAUUUAUAUAUUUAAUGCAAUGGAUGAUGUUGUUUGCCUAUUUACAUUUACUGUGUUGUGAUUACCUUACAUGACGUCCUCCGCCCCAGAACGUUUCCGCCGUUCUUGGUUUUGGGGUGUGACAGAUUGGUAUCAGAGCAUUGUUUAUAGUGAAUUGAGUAUAUCAACCCAUAAAAGAUAUACUAAACUAUAAACCCAUUGGGGAUUAAACUCUGACCAAGAGUCUAUACUUAAAAUAAUAAAAUAUUUAACUAAGUAUACUAGUCUGCAUUCAUACUAAAAUAAGUGUCACAAUGACAAGAACAAAAGUAUUACGAUUGUUAAAUAUCACAAGUGAGCUCGGGGAUGUAUGGUCAGUCCUGGGAAUGGCAUAGCCUGAUCAACUAUGCUGAUCCUAGGAGUGAUUAGCACAUGCCUUAGAAUGGUUGUGAUAGGUUAGCAAGUCUAAAAACUUACCAACAAUACCACAAGAAGAUCAAUAGAACUUAAACUUAAAAUACUAUAGGAGUAUUUUGCGCUACUAGUUACACGUAUACUAUAUUCUUAUACCUCUAUUCUCGCGUAGAUCUUGAUGGCUAGAUAUCCAUCAUGGCGACCCGUACUUUCCCAAUGAAGGCAAUGCCGGGUGGAUCGAUGAAGAGCCCGAAGUUGAUCAUCCAAUCCCUUUGGAUGAUCACCUCGCAGAAGGCUUUUCAGAUGGGUCCGACUCCGAGCCUGAAGUCAACAACCUACCGAUUGUAGGUCAAGCCCCGAACAACAACCCUCGACCAGCGUUUCCAGGUCCUACACCCAUGUGGGCAAACAACCGAACCGCUGGAGUGAUGAUCAGGGUCAACCCUUACCAUACUUUGGGGACCGAACCUUUUACAACGUCAGCGAUGGUGGCUCUACUGACCGAGCUCUGCCUGUCAUUAUCCGCAGAAUAGCUCGUAUUGUCGAGCAAGGUGGAGCAGCCGUCGACCGGGUCAUAGAGAUUGAUGCCGACUCAGGUGUCAACACAGUCAGCAUCCGCCGUCUUGAAGAAGACAUGGAACGGACCCGGAGGACAAAUAAAACCCUGCAGUAGCAGUUGGCUGCCUCACGAGCUGAAAUAUUGGAACUUCGAGCUCGUCAGAGGACUCAGGAUCGACCCAUUCAAGAGGUGUUUCGUCAAGUAUCCGACCGCAGUACUCGCCCGGGAUUUUCCCAUCGCCGUUGGUUGAUGUCUAGUACAGCUCCGUCUUUUAAUUAAAGGAUAGCCUUUAACAUCUGUGCUCCAAGUAGCGCUUGUGUGUAAAAUGUUUCUAACUUCCGUACUCAAAUUUGAAAUCUAAGGACUGUCAAACUUUUCUAUAUGGUAUGAUGUAUGACCUACUGUUAGGUCGAUUUUCCCUGAACUUAUUACAUCAGUAAUACCAGUAAAUUUUUGAGAUCUAUCUAUCUGGGGAAAAAUCUAUACACUUGUGCUUUCCUACUAAUAAUGCUUGUUGUGGUUUCAAGCACCCUUUCAACUGUUGGACUAUGUUUAGUUAGUCCAUGUGUCACUCUCGCGUUGCUUACAAAUUGAUUCUUACCAUCUUUCUUAUCUUUUUAAACUUUCAGCUGAAGGAUGCCUCCUCGCAAGUCUCCCAGGAAUAGGAAUAAUCCUGCACCUCCACCACCUCCUCCGCCUCCGGUCAUCGAUACUGUAGCCCUGAAUGCUGUUGUAGCUGCAGCAGUGGCAACUGCCAUGGCUCAGUAUCACUCUUCUGAUGCCAGCAGAGGUGGAACCCCUGUGGAAUCUAUUCCGAUCGAAAUCCCUGUGCGCUCAAGGGAGUGCUCUUACAAGGAUUUUACAAACUGCAAGCCGAAGCCUUUCUAUGGCACCGGCGGAGUCAUUGCUCUCUCGCAGUGGUUCGAGAAGACUGAAUCAGUCUUCGAAAUUUGUUCAUGCCCUGCUGCGUGCAAGGUGAAAUAUGCCGCCUGCACCUUUGAGGGUAAAGCCCUAACGUGGUGGAACGGCCACGUCAAAGCCCUAACUCUCGUCGUAGCCAACGACAUGGGCUGGGAAACAAUGAAAGACCUCAUGACUGAGGAAUACUGCCCGAGGGGCGAGAUCCAGAAACUGGAGCAGGAACUCUGGAACCUGUCGAUGAAGGGCACCAAUGUGGUCGCUUAUACUGCCCGAUUCAGCGAGCUGGUGGCCCUCUGCCCCAAUAUGGUUCCCACCGAGGGGAAGAAGAUCGAGAGGUACAUAUGGGGACUAGUGCCUCCGUAUCAGGGGAAUGUGCUAGCGUCAAACCCCGCUACCUUCGACAGUGCCAAACGAUUGGCACAACGACUCAUUGACCAUGGAGUCAAAACCCCUGCAACCACAACCACCCUAGCCAUCCCGGAACCCUCCAAACCCGCCGAUACUAAGCGGAAAUUCUGGGAUGAAAGGAAGAAGCAUCAGGCUGCCAAAAAGCAGCAAUUGGUGGCAAUUCAUGCCGCAGUAACCCCUACUGCUGCUACUACUGCUCCGGUGAGUCGGUAUGCUGGAAGUUCGCCCAAGUGCAACAAAUGCAGCUACCACCACAACGGCCCCUGCCGUGAAUUGCAGUGCUCUAACUGCAACAGGAAAGGACACACCGUCCGAUUCUGUAAGUUCCCGGCACAACCUAUCAACCAAGUCCCUGGCUCUGGCGCGAGCCCAACCUGCUAUGGAUGUGGCGAAGCAGGCCACUUUAAGAGGGACUGCCCCAAAGCGAGGAAUGCUGGAGGAGCAGGGAGGGUACUGGCUAUAGGCCACGGGGAAGCAGUUGCUGACCCGACAGUAGUAACCGGUACGUUCCUCCUCGAUAACUCCUAUGCAUGCAUUCUAUUCGAUAGUGGAGCGGAGCGAAGCUUCGUAAACCAUAAAUUUGCUCGCAUGCUUAAUCAACCACCGCACGCACUCAAAGAACUAUUUACAGUAGAAAUGGCUAAUGGAAAAACUGAAAAUACGAGUAGCAUAUACUUAGGUUGUACCCUAACCCUAGACAACCAUUCAUUUCCAAUCGACCUCAUGCCAGUCUCAAUAAAAAGUUUCGACGUCAUCAUUGGCAUGGACUGGUUAAGCCUUCAUCGUGCCGACAUCAUGUGCUUCGAGAAAGCAGUCCGUCUAAACCUUCCGUCUAACGAAACUCUUAUAGUCUAUGGCGACAAACCCGGUGCAAGUCUUCGCAUCAUAUCAAGUAUUCAAGCACAGAAAUACCUGCGUAAGGAAUACCACGCAUUCCUUGCUCACGUCGUCGACACGAACCUAGAAACGAAAGAACUAAAGAACCUCCCAGUAGUGAGCGACUUCCCCGACAUUUUCCCAGAAGAACUACCCGGAUUACCUCCGCAACGACAAGUCGAGUUCAGAAUCGACUUAGUCCCAGGAGCUACCCCAGUAGCCAAGUCGCCCUACCGUUUAGCACCAGCCGAGAUGCAAGAACUCUCUGGUCAACUUAACGAACUGCUCAGCAAGGGCUUUAUAAGGCCAAGUUUCUCACCUUGGGGAGCACCGGUCUUGUUUGUUAAGAAGAAGGACGGAUCCUUCCGUAUGUGUAUUGACUACAGAGAACUCAACAAACUGACGGUCAAGAAUCGUUAUCCUCUACCACGCAUAGAUGAUCUAUUCGACCAACUGCAAGGGGCGAACUAUUUUUCUAAGAUUGAUCUGAGAUCCGGAUAUCACCAGUUACGAGUGCUAGAGGAGGAUGUGCCGAAGACCGCCUUCCGAACUCGUUACGGACAUUACGAGUUCGUGGUGAUGCCAUUCGGAUUGACCAAUGCGCCCGCAGUCUUCAUGGAUCUGAUGAAUAGAGUAUGCCGACCCUACUUGGAUCAGUUCGUCAUCGUUUUCAUUGACGACAUCCUAAUCUACUCCCGAAGUAAGAAAGAACAUGGCGAUCAUCUGCGACAAGUUCUAGGGACAUUACGAAAAGAGAAACUUUAUGCGAAGUUCUCGAAAUGUGAAUUUUGGAUCCGAAGAGUCGAAUUCUUAGGACACGUGGUAAGCGAAGAGGGAAUCCACGUGGACCCAUCCAAAAUUAAGGCCAUUGAGAACUGGUCAGCACCGAAGACUCCUACAGAAAUUCGUCAAUUUCUAGGUCUCGCUGGCUACUACCGCAGGUUCAUUCAGAACUUCUCACGAAUAGCGAAGCCUCUUACAACCCUAACCCAGAAAGGUGUGGCCUUUGACUGGGAAGAGAAACAAGAAAGAGCGUUCCAAACGCUCAAACGAGCCUUGUGCACCGCACCAAUACUAUCCCUUCCCGAAGGAAUAGAAGACUUCGUAGUUUAUUGCGAUGCAUCAAACCAAGGACUCGGAUGUGUUCUGAUGCAGCGAGGUAAGGUCAUCGCCUACGCCUCAAGACAAUUGAAGACACACGAGGUUAACUACACGACCCACGAUCUUGAACUAGGAGCAGUAGUGUUUGCUCUGAAGAUCUGGAGACAUUACUUGUAUGGAACGAAGAGCACUAUCUUUACCGACCACAAGAGUUUACAACACAUUUUCGAUCAGAAGGAGCUCAACAUGAGACAACGACGAUGGGUCGAGCUACUCAGUGAUUACGAAUGCGAUAUUCGUUAUCAUCCGGGUAAAGCCAACGUAGUAGCAGACGCCCUAAGUCGGAAGGAAUAUUCUGGUCGCAAAGUCAAGUCAUUAUCGAUAACCAUCCAUUCACACCUGACUAAGCAAAUUCAGGCGGCUCAACUUGAGGCCAUGAAAUCUGAAAAUGUGUCAAGUGAAUCCCUUAGAGGAAUGGACAAGAAUUUAGAAGCCAAGGGUGACGGAGCUUUAUAUUUCAUGAACCGGAUCUGGACACCGAAACAUGGUGGCUUCCGAGACUUGGUCAUGACCGAGGCGCACAACACUCGGUAUUCCGUCCACCCAGGUUCAGAUAAGAUGUAUCUGGAUCUUAAGAAGCUAUACUGGUGGCCUAAUAUGAAAGCAGAGAUUGCUACCUUCGUAAGUAAAUGCCUUACUUGCGCAAAGGUUAAGGUCGAGUACCAGAAGCCCUCUGGUUUAUUGCAGCAACCAGAGAUCCCGGAAUGGAAGUGGGAGCGGAUCACUAUGGAUUUCAUAACCAAGUUGCCCAAGACAACGGGUGGACUUGACACCAUAUGGGUCAUCGUUGAUAGAUUGACCAAGUCUGCACACUUCCUGCCUAUCAAAGAAACCGACAAGAUGGAGAAGCUUACGAGAACAUACAUUAGGGAAAUCGUACGGCUACAUGGUGUACCUAUGUCCAUUAUCUCCGAUAGAGAUAGUAGGUUCACCUCAAGAUUUUGGCAAUCACUACAACAUUCCCUAGGAACGAGGCUGGACAUGAGCACAGCCUACCAUCCUCAGACCGACGGACAGAGUGAGAGGACCAUCCAAACUCUAGAAGAUAUGUUGCGAGCCUGCGUGAUUGACUUUGGGAAGGCAUGGGAUACUCAUUUACCCCUUGUCGAGUUUUCCUAUAAUAACAGUUAUCACACGAGCAUCAAGGCUGCUCCAUUUGAAGCUCUCUACGGCCGUAAGUGCAGAUCCCCUCUGUGCUGGGCUGAGGUGGGUGAUACCCAAUUAGCCAGGGGGCAAACUUCCGACAGUACUCUCACCGGUCCGGAGAUCAUUCGGGAAACAACAGAGAAAAUCGUUCAGAUCCGUGAACGAUUGAAAGCCUCUAGAGACCGACAGAAGAGCUACGCUGAUAAACGAAGGAAACCUUUGGAAUUUCAGGUGGGAGACCGAGUCCUCCUCAAAGUCUCACCCUGGAAGGGCUUGAUACGCUUCGGCAAGCGUGGAAAGCUUAAUCCGAGGUACAUAGGGCCUUUCGAGAUUCUUGCAAGAGUCGGCCCCGUAGCUUACAAACUCGAACUACCAGACGCACUUCGUAACGUACAUUCUACAUUCCACGUAUCUAACUUGAAAAAGUGUCUAUCCGACGAGACUCUUGUAAUCCCACUCGACGAGAUCGAAAUCAACGAGAGCCUCAACUUCGUGGAAGAACCUAUAGAGAUCAUGGACCGUGAGGUCAAGCAGACAAAGCAAAGCCGUAUCCCUAUCGUGAAGGUUCGCUGGAAUGCCAAGCGAGGACCGGAAUUCACUUGGGAACGUGAGGAUCAGAUGAAACUGAAAUACCCUCACCUUUUUGCUUAGUUAUUUGUAAAUUCUAGCUUGCUUAAAAUUCUAAUUUCGGGACGAAAUUCCUUCUAACGGGGGGAUGAUGUGACAACCCGAUAUUUCGAGUCAAUGUAAUGUAAAACCGAUCAAAUUUAGGUCAAAAUGUAACCUUCCUAAAAUCUUAUUCGGAUUAAAUAAAGUAAUAGGAAUCAUAUCAAGGUUUGCGUACAUAAAAAGAACGUCCAAAUCUGACUUCGGAUGAGGAAGUUAUGAAUUUUUGAAGAAAUUCCUUAAUCACGUCAUUUUAAUAAAUAAAUAAUAAAAAUAAUUUCGGAAUUAGCCAACGGAAUCUAAACGAAAGUCGUAGAUCAUGGUCUCACCUUCGCGUGGAUAUAAAGAACGUCAAAAACGGAGUUCGUAUGAGAGAGAUAUGAAUUUUUGAAGUUUAUUUAAAAUAAAUAAGAAUUUAAUUAUAAAUUCCCGGUAAUAUCCGAAGGGGAGUCAUCGGAUUGGACCGAAGUACGCCCUGCGUACCUUCGUACGCCCCGCGUACUGAGAUCGAGGGUCUCGGAUCGUCCACGUCGCACUAUCCGAAGAGUUCUAACCCGUCCGACCCGUCCGAAGCUCCGACCCGUCCGACCCGCUGUCCCGUCCGACCCGCCGUCCCAUCCGACCCGCGUACCCAGCAACCCGUCCCAUCCGAACCGAGGCAGUCGAGGCUUCGGUCAUGCAUGACGUACGCGUACGCGCUGCGUACGAGCGUACGCCCCGCGUUCGGAGGCGGUUCAGCCUUCCUAUAAAUAGGAUGCGAGGCUUUCCGAAAAUGUUGCUCAUUUCUCUCCUCUCUCUCACAACUUUGUCUCGUUUUCCGUGCCCGUUAUAACCCGAAGCUCUGGUCUUUUUGCUCAAGUCCCGAGGGUCGAUUUUACUCCCGAGAUUCCCGAGAAUCCCGAGAAAAAUCCGUUUUCCGAGACGAAACUCUGCCCGGUUUUCCAUCUCGCUUUCUUCAAUCAAUCAAGUGAGUUUCAUACCCCUUAAUCAACCUGUUAAAUAUUCUAAAUGCUUUUAUAUGCUUUCAAAAGGGGGGAAUACAAGUUAAAUACUUAUAGUUAUUGUUUCAAUCACAUGUGAUUGUACUAAUCACAUGUGAUUAAUAACUAGGGAAAUCAGUGGUUUUAUCACUAUUCAAACUAUCUAUCAAACUGUUUUACUUCUAAAUGUUUUCCAAACCCAUUUACUUUUCGAAUUUACACUGCAACUGUGAUUUAAGCAAAUGUUCCUUAUACUUAAACUGUUUUAAUCAAAUCUACACCUUCAAAUGGUUUUAUAGAUUGACAUCAAGUCAAUCUUUCUUUAAAAAUAAUACUUAUGUUUCAAAUGCCUUAUAAAUACUUAUUUAUGCUUUUAUAUUACAAAUUGCAUGCCCAUAUAUGUAUAGACGUAUAAAUAAUGUUUAAAGGACUUAGGAAGGCUAUCCACCUUGUUUCCUUUUCCUCGAUUUGGAUGUGGUCUGAUAGGAUUUUGGGUGACCAUCCGAAGGUCGUUUCCAUAUUAAUUAUAUAUCAAAUAUACAUAUAUAGACAUAAAAGUACUUCCAUAAUCAUAUGUACUAAACGCACUGUUAACAAGUUACCAUCGGGGUAACACAGAAUCAUACUAUUACAACUGCUAGAUCAAUGAGUCAGUUCAUUCAUGAGUCUAUACUAGGAAGAGAAUAUAUACAACUAUACUACGAGAACAUAUACAACUAUACUAGAACAAGAAACAUUUCAUCACACAUGCAAGAAUACGAUAACAAAUGUGAUCCACUGUAUCGGAGCAUGCCUUAAAUGUCAUGGCCCGAGUUGUAGCCAGAAUUCUCUUGGAGGGAGAGCGUUGAGUUUGCGUAUAGAUCUAUACUGGAUUGACUAUCCUACACCUUGCUGCUAGCUACAGCCGGACCUGCAGGUCUGCGGGUGCCAAACGUCAUUCCGUUAUUACGACCGUUCUUUAUGUCGUUGUUAUCAGUCGAUAGUAUGGUGCAAUUAUCACAUUAUACCUUAAUAUAAAUCCGGUUUAAGGUAGUAGUAAUUAGUACAACAGUAGUUCUUAUUAUACAAAACUACAGUACUACAAUGAUUUACCCAUUACAUAUUUUGGUGAUAAUCUCACUUAAAGCAUUAAUGUACAAACUAUAUUUUAUCAAAUGAUAGUUAUACUUGGGUAAUCACACACUUUUACAACAGACGAGUUUACAAAACAGUUAAGCCUUGGUAGAAGGUUACUUUUAUAGAAAAUAUAGGAUUUUCUGAGAGAUUCAAACUUUUGCAAAUACUUUUAAACAUUUAUUUACAUUUUUACAAACUUAUACAUUGGGACAAGUUCAACGUUUUUGACAAUGAACAUUGACACUAAAAUACUUAUGAACUCACCAGCUUAAUGCUGAUAAACUCUUUCAAAAUAACUUGUAUUCUCAGGUCAUCAGUAGACAGGUACCGAUGCCAGCUUUUGAGAAGAUGGAGUGUUCUAAGACUCAUCAUUUUGUUAUUUUGAUUUACGUUAUAUUUUUGGUGUCUAAAAAUUUACAGAACACACAUGUAUUAAAUUUAUAUAUUUAAUGCAAUGGAUGAUGUUGUUUGCCUAUUUACAUUUACUGUGUUGUGAUUACCUUACAUGACGUCCUCCACCCCAGAACGUUUCCGCCGUUCUUGGUUUUGGGGUGUGACAAUCAUGAAGGUUGAUGCAAAUGCGGGAGUUAAUACAGUCCGCAUUCGUGGUCUCGAAGAUGCUCGUGAGAGUUCUAUGAGAGACAAUGAGGCUCUAUAGCAAGAAUUAGUUGAAACACGAGCCGAAGUCAUAGAACUCCGACCACGCCAAAGAGUAUAUGAACGACACCUUCUUGAUGUGGAGCGUCAACUGGCAGGUUUGAGGGUUCACAUGAGGGGUACCCAUCGCCGGUAGAAGAUGCUCUACUCGUCUUUCCUUUUGGUUUAAGGAAUAACACUCUUAUGUAUGCUCUAUGUAGCACUUUUACCUGUAAAUAUUCCUAUCUUUGUAGUACUCUAUACUGUCAAAAUUUUCUUACUCUGGUUUGAUGUAAGACCCACUUCUAGGUCAUUUUUCCCGAACUUAGUACAUCAUUAAUGCUAAUAUUAUUGACAGACAUCAAAUCUUUUGGGAAAUACAUAUCUAAGUGCUUUCAUACUUCUACUGUUAGAUCUUUAUUUCAAUAAUACUCUCAUUUGUUUUGUUGGGCUAUGGCGAGUUAGUCCAUGGUUCACUCUCAUUAUACUCACAAUUGAUUCUUACUAUCAUCUUCAUCUUUGUAAACUUUUAGUUGAACAAUGCCUCCACGGAGGGUGACAAGGCGUAAUCCUCCGAUAACUCCUACUCAACCACCACCUCUUCCACAAUACAAUCCGGCAAGAAUCCAAAUUAUAGUGGCUACGGCUGUUUCGGCAGCCUUAGCCCAAUUCAGUGCUAGUGGUACUAGCAGGAGUGGAACAAUAGUUCAUUCCACUCAAGGUGAUGCUCCAAUGCGCUCUAGGGAGUGCUCGUAUAAGGACUUCACCAACUGCAAGCCCAAGUCCUUAACAGGACUGGCGGAAUCAUUGCCCUCUCGCAAUGGUUCGAGAAAACGGAAUCGAUCAUUGAGAUAUGUUCCUGUCUGGAAGGAAGCAAAGUUAAAUUUGGUGCUUGCACCUUCGCGGACAGAGCCUUGACGUGGUGGAAUAGCCAUGUCAAGUAAAUAACUCUAAUUGUGGCUAAUGCUAUGGGCUGGGAAGCUCUGAAGGAGCUCAUGAUAGAAGAGUACUGCCCGAGGGGCGAGGUUCAGAACCUUGAACAGGAACUCUGGAGCCUAACCAUUAAGGGCUCCAACAUAGUGGCCUACACUACCAGAUUCAACGAUCUGGUGGCACUAUGUCCGGGAAUGGUCCCUACAGAGGGAAAGAAGAUAAAAAGGUAUAUCUGGGGGCUGGUGCCUCCAUUUUAGGGGAAUGUCUUAGCUUCAAACCCUACUACCUGUUGGAUUUUGAGCAAUCUUACACUCUCAUGGUGUAUAUGCAACCCUAAAUACCUUGGAUCUAUGUUUUCUCUAUUAUAAAUGCAAAUAUUAAUUUUCCAAGGUAUUAUCCUAACUAGCAUAUUAUGAAAUACAAGUAAUAUAGAAACUAGUAGAAAUACAUACCUCUUUGUUGGCGCUUGAUUCCAUGGAGCUCAAGAGCCUAGUGCCCCAAAUGUGACACCUCAAAUGGUUCACACAACAUCAUAUGCACUUGGAAUAACUCAGAGACAAAUCAUCACUUCAUGAAAUCGGCUUGCCCUCCACACAUAGACUUAGUGGCCGAUUUUGACAAGAAUGAUAUGUUUAUAUAGUGUGACAGAAUUAGGGUAAACCCUAAUUGUCAUGGCUUUCCAUUUCCUUGGAUCCAUGGGUUCAAAUACACCAUGGAGCAUCCUAUGGGUUUUAGCCCAACUUGAUAAUCCAUGGAGCAUUAGCCCACUAUAUAAGUAUGGAUGAUUUACACAAUCAACCCAUAUAUUUAAUCAGUCUUCUUUUGAUCACUUAAUUAAUUCUAGAUUAAUUCUUGAUCAAUACUAAUUAAAUAAUCUUUUUAAUAUAUUAGAACUUAUAAUAUAUUAAUAAACCUUAAGUGUUAUUUCUCUCAUUUUAGGCUAUCCAAAUGCAUGAUUCCAUGCAACCCAAAUGGACCAUGCCAGGUUGGGUCAAGUAUAUACCAAUUAUAGUUAUGGACUUAGAAACUAAUCCAACAGUCUCCCACUUGGAUAAGUCUAAUAACUAUAAUUGCAAGUACGCCAUCACAACCUGACCAGCAAUCGUAGCUCUUAAAAGCUGCUGCCAAACUCUUAACAAAUCAAUGACGCUUCCAUUAGAUAAGUGAUCAUAUAUUCCUCCAUUCUAGAUAUCAUAUGGAAUGAGACAUGGAUUAUAAUCAUUCUCUCUGUCCAUUCGUUGUUUCCCGAUUUUUGAUUUAUGACGACUGACUAAUUGAAUAAAUCAAAUCAUUCCAGGCCCGACCGAGAACUUACAUUUUGUCAUCACUAAAUCAUCAAGAGGCCCACAGAUAUCGCUUUUAUCCCAUUAAGGUUAAAAGGAAUGGAUAAACUUCGACUCAUAUGCUUGUACUGACUACUUGUUGAAUCAUACACGAAGGCACAUUUUAUAACAUCAAGUUACCAAUGCCUUUUCAUGCAAUCAAUGUAUAACCAACUCAUAGUCAACAACUCAUAUCUCUAGGUUUGAAGAAUAUAAGAUAUUAUCAUCUCAUGAUUCACUCGUGAUAAAAUCCAUGAAGUGAUUCAAAUGAGCGUGGGUUGAAUCCAAUACUUAGAACUUAUGAGCACUCAUCAAUGUUGUAGCAACCAUUGUUAUGUCUAAUGCACCUUAGACAAAUCUUACAAUCCAGAUUGAUGACAGUCUUGAUUCAUAUCUACUUCCAACAUAUGACCGACUGUGGAUGGUUUGAAUAACUUAGUCAUUCGGGAAGAAUGACCUAGUUAUUCUGGAAUUCAAAACAUGCAAAGUGAAACACAAAAUAAUACUAAUCUUGUAUGGCCAAAACACUUUGAGUGUAAAUAAAACCCUUUUAUCUAAGCACCAUAUUGAUUACUCGUUAUUCAUGUUUCGAUUAAUCAACUUUAUACUUGAAUUGAAACAAUAGUCAUGCCAUGCUCCAAGAAUGCAUACUUUGUUUACCUAUGGUCCUUUCUUUGUGAAAUAGAUCAAUUGAACACGACUCCACUGAUGCUCAUUUCACAAUCCCAAUCCCUUUUGUAAAUGUACGAAUACCAAACUCUUUCCAUUUACUGUAAUCUGUUAGAUUCUAAACUUAUAUGCAAUGAUUCUCUUGUAAUGACUACGCACAAAGUCACAUAGACCUGGCAACAGACAUUACAAAGUAUUAUAAUGGAGAUCAAUUCCAUGGAAGCGAAGUCUGAUAUUCAAAGUACAUUCCUUUGAACAUCAUUCUUUGCAUAAAGUUUUCUAAUCUUACACAGAUUCAGAGAAUAACUUCCACCUAUGGAAACAAUUUCAUAUUACCAUUGUGACUAUCACUUCUAAACAAGAGUUGCUUCUUUUUAGAAUAUGUCAAUAUGGUCCUUUAAAAAGUUUAACACUAUACUUCCAAUUGUCCACAAGCAACCAAUCUUUGGUAAACCUCAGAUUGUCCUCGAAAAUUUGCUUAAUCAUUUUAGUCAUUUCCAGUUCUAUUCCUUUUCCAUUUUAAUGCCUUAGGCAUUUGGAAAAUUUAGAAUGGAUUAUAGCACAUGUAAUCGAACCUAUAUCCGAAGCAUAUGGGACACGAUUCAUGCUAUAUUUUUUUAUUUGCCAUGUUCUCAUAAUUCGAACUAUGAAGAGGUAUGUCGUAAUCAUAAUCGAAUUUUGAGAACGCAACAUUUAUAGAAUUUCCUUAUGUUGAACCAUUCCAACAUAACAUUUAUAUAUAUUCUUGACUAAAGUAGAUUAAAAUCUCAAUCUAAGCGUGUAAAAUUGGAAUGAAGUAUAAAAUUCUCUCCAUUAAUUAUAGAAAAACAACUUUUUCAAGGCGAAUUGAAACGUUUGUUCUCUAUAAUUAAUAUUGCUAACUUGCAACACUUUACAUAAUAAUCAUGCUCCCAGUAGCAUAAUGAUUAUUAUCUUACUAGCAUAACACUUAUGCUCCCACUAGUUUUGACAUGUAUCCAGAGAUCAUCUGGACUUUUAGAAAUCAAUACUUUAUUGACUUUCUUACCAAAGUUCAGAUUUCUGAUACGCAAUUACUUUGAUAAGACUUUAUCAAAAUCAUAGAACUUUCCUUAGAUAGCUCACUUGUGUGUCUAAACAAUUAUGAAUAGGGAUGUCGUAAUCAUAAUUUUCAGACCUUUUGUCAUUCACACAAUUGCUAUUUACUUAAAAUCUACUUAGUGAAAGAGUUUCCUCACCAUCAUUUUCAAGAAUCGAAGAGAAACCUUAUGACACUUAGAUUUUAUGGUGUAAGUGUUCUUAUCCAUGUGAAUUUGUCAUAACCAUAAUCACAAGACAAGGUUACAGGCAAAUCCAAACACAUAUGGACUAAACUUGUUCAAUCUUAAUUUCUUGCUACCUGGCAGCACAAGGGCCUACCAUUGCUUCCAGGUUGUUAUGCAAACAAUUGAGAACUCACAAAAUUCAUAAGCAUAGUCAACUUUUAACUCGAAUAGACACAUAAAUAAGAUAUAUUUCAACACGACAGGUUACAAACCUCAAGUCAUGGGCUAGUGAUUAACAAUCCUCUUGAUUAAUUUUUGAAACUAUCUCAAGAUCUUUAAGACUCCCACUCACCUCUUGGCAUAUAAGAUUCUCUUUGUCAAGAACCAUUCCUUGAUAAAACAAAUAUUCAAGAGUUAGUGCGGAUUCUUAUCAAGUUAAACAAUUCUCACAAUUGGUCUUAGUUGGUCUUUGUCUUAUCCAAAACAUCACAACUUACCAAUUUCAAAUGUACAAGAAUAGGAAACAUCUUACUCUACAUUUGACAAGUGUUAAAAAAACUUUCUAAAGACUAUGUCACUCAAGUUACAAUCUUGGAGUAUAACUCCAGGAUUUGUUUUUGGAAUGAAGUAUGAUUUAUCUUUUGAUUUAACCAUUUCAACAAUUCACGAUUCCUCUCCUUAGGAAAACAAAUGCACUAAGGUGUACUUCGAGGAUGAAUUGUGAUAUGGUUCCAUAAUCACUAAGAUAAUCAUAAAACAAGAUACACAAGUACUCUCCCAUCUCUUCAGAUUGGAGAAACUUUUAUCUUUCUGCCUUAUUUGAUUCUUCUUAUUCAUUCUGACACACAUUGAAACUUUUCCAAAGUUUCAGAAUUAUACUUAAACUUGUAAGCAUAAUCAUAUUUACUAAACUUUAGUAAAUCAUAACGAAUAACCUUAUCAAACUUUGUGGUGGGCCUGACUAGUGCACAACCUAAUGUACCCGAUCCUUUAGUACUUCGCUUGACUCACAUGCGAAUGUGAAAAAGGAAUUAGUCUUAAUUUACCAAAUAUGAAAAUUCUCUUCAUCACNUUACCAAAUAUGAAAAUUCUCAUUCAUCACACAAUACAACUUGCAUGAUUCCAAGUUUCUAUCCAACUAAAACUUGGGUGAUGAGAAUCUUUCCUUAUUUGAUAAAUUAUGACGCUACCACAAACGAAAGAAUCAAAUUGAUUUUCCAAUAUUUCUAUCAAUGGAAACAUAUAAACAACAAUUUUUUCACAAAUGCCUUCGUAAGGAUACUUAAAAUAAAUAAAAUCAAAACUUUUCUUUUAUUUUAAAACUAGCGGAAAAACUUAUCCUUUGUAACAUCCCGAAAUAGCAAGAGUAAAGUUGAAGGGCUAAAAGAGUAAAAUGGGAAGGACCAAGNAGUGACCAACUCGGCGAGUAGCAUGGGUGGACUCGGCGAGUUGGUGCUGAGUGGAGAAAACCCUAAAUCCGGAGGUUGAGCCCUAUAUAAAGAACAUUAUGUCUCCUCCCCAGCCUCCUUAUCAUCCCUUAAGUUCCAGAAGCCCUAAUUUCGUGAGGAAACCCCAUUGUUGAGUGAAUUGGAGCUUGGAGAAGUGGUUGUUGAAGAAAUCUUGAAGGAGAAGAGACUUGGAUGAAAGGGCUUUGCGAGGAUCCAGACUAAUCUUCUGUUGGAGCUUCCUUUUGAGGUAUUAUUUCAUUGUUUGAGCUGCUAAUGUCUAGAUUCAUCAUUUUUGGGGGUGUUAGAGAUCAUAUCUUUUGGUGUAUUGGAGUUAGAGGUUAGAUCUGAGGUUGCUACCUCAGAUCUGGAAUGGAGAAAGGCUUGAAAGCAUAAAAGUCCCUGUUGAUGAGUGUUUGAAAGAGCUAUUUUGUCCCAAACCCUAUCCCUAGAGUGUAAAGUGCCUAGAUCUCCUUGGAUCCACGUAAAGUUUACCACUUUACGUGAUGGAUGGCCUUAGGAAGGGUAGAUCUAUGGUUUGGAUCAUCUGCAUGGCUUGGAAAGCCUCUAUAUGGAUUCAGACCCGGUGGUACUCGACGAGUCACAUGGGUAGACUCGGCGAGUUGCUUGAAGAUAGGUUGGAACUCGAGGAGUUGGAAGAACAACUCGGCAAGUUGGAUGAAGAUGGCCUGAAACUCGACGAGUUGGAAGAACAACUCGGCGAGUAGGUUGAAGAUAGCCUUAGACUGGACAAGUCUGUUCUUGGACUCGGCGAGUCUUGUCGAAGAGUCCCAAUCUUUUCUAGUUGAGCCGUGAAUCGGUGAGUCAAGGGAUGACUCGGUGAGUUGUGUGUGAGUGGACUCAAAGUUGUUGAACUCGGCGAGUCUCGGGGUGACUCGGCGAGUUGAGUCGCGGAUUGGGGAAUUUCUGAGCAUGGGGACUCGGCGAGUCAUCGGGUUGACUCGGCGAGUAGAGUCAGUCAUGGGUUGACUUUGACCAAGGGUUGACCAAUGGUUUCCAGGGGCAUUUUGGUAAUUGUUGGAAAUUGUUUUGAGUUCAGUGCCUUGGUGGUUGUCCAGUGGUGGAGAUCGUAUCAGUGAUCGGAGCAGCUUGGGUUAUCUAUUUAGUCGGCAGUUUCGAGGUGAGUCAUCCUCACUAUAUCAACAAGGUCUAAGGCACCAAGGCCGGCCCUUAUCGGAUUGAGAUCCGGGUCUUUAUUGGUAUGUUAUUGCUUUGAUAUGUUUGCAUCCUGGUAGCUAGGAUGGUAUAUGUUAGAGACCUGAUUGAGAUCGGUAUUCUGAGAUGUAGGGUAAUGCUAUGCUAGUGACCGGUUAGGUCGGUAUCCUGGUUAGGAUGAUGAUAUGUUAUGUGAUCUGCUUGAUCGGCUUGUUGACUGUUAAAUGUUAUAUGUAUGUUUAUGUGCGCAUGGUUGUUUGGACUGGAGUUGGGUUGAGGCGGGUCCUGCUUUGUGCUGUAGGCCAAGAUACCCAGGGCGGACCGGUUGUCCCGAAGGCCCAGCGAGCGGUCCGGAUAGGCUGUAGGCCCCAAGAGGGCGGACCAGACGUGCCGAGGCUCGGAGAGUGGACCAGGCCGACUGAAGGCCCGGUGCGGGCGGACCAGUCAUACUGUAGACUCAGAGAGUGGACCAGGUGGAUUGAAGGCCCGGUGCGGGCGGACCAAUCACACUGCAGACUCGAUGUAUGUGGUUAGAUUCGGAGAGUGGACCAGGUGGAUUGAAGGCCCGGUGCGGGCGGACCAAUCACACUGNNNNNNNNNNNNNNNNNNNNNNNNNNNCAGGUGGACUGUUGGCUGGUGCGGCGGACCAGUCACACAGUAGACCCGAAGUGCAUGGCUGCUCUGUGAUCGGACAUGUUAUAGCAUGUUAUGCGCGUACGGUAUAUGUGGUUGGUAUUUUGGGGAUAUCUCACUAAGCUUUCGGGCUUACAGUUGUGGUUUUAUGUUUUUCAGGUUCUUCAGGAGACCGUGGCAAGGCGAAGGCGUGAUCGUACCGCGCCUCGUGUUUAUGUUGUGAUGAGAUUCUGGGAAUAAUUAAAAAAAUUGUAUUAAAAACCUUUUUGUAAUAACUUUAAUGGAAUCAGUUUGUUUUCAAAAAUUUUAAAUUGGUUGAAAUCUUUGGUCGUUACAAGUUGGUAUCAGAGCCUUGGUUUGAGUGAAUUGGAGGAACACUCGUGUGACUCCAGUCUCAAAUCGAGGAGAGUUUUCAAAAGAGAAUUUAAAAUGGUUUUCAAAAUGAGUAAAGGAGGACGCGGAGGUACGAUCAGCCGGAGCCAGUAAGUAACCCCAAAAUACCAUACAUGAUAUUUGUUUUUGAGCUUUGAUAGAACAGCAUGCUAGUGCUAGGCUAGGGAUCUUUAGGAUUUCAUGAUAAUGUUGCCUGAUUUGUGAUGCCUGUAGCCUAGGGUUUCCUUGUGAGAGAUUUCCAGUGUUCCUCUAGGGUGAGGGUUGAGCGCUUGUUUGUAUGUUUCACUAGGGUGUUGUGGUAGUACUUCAUACAAAUAUGGGUAGGUGUGGAAGGUAGUAUGGGCCCGUACUACUGAAAGCACAGGACCCAUACGCGUAUCAGGGAAACCAUGAACCCUAGGGUUGGGUUGAGAGAGAGUUGGUUCCCGGAUUAGUGGGAAGUGUCUGAGAUUUUGUGGUGUUUUUCAGUAUGGAGAUUCCGAGGCAUGCUGGGAGUGGAUCCGGGUCAGGAUCGGGAGCAGGAGGGGGAGUUCUGGGGGGGUCAGUACCGCCUGAGGUUAUUGGCCAGAUGAGCACGUGCGAGUUGGAUGCGAGGAUUCGUGAGAUCCCGCGUGAUGAGAUUGCUGCGUUGUUCCGGGCUAAGUCGCCGGAACUGUUUGGGUCGAUCAAGACCGCUAUGGUUGAGUAUUUUGAUGAGCGUUAUGCAGCUCUCACAGAGACGGCUGCCGCGGUGGCUACAUCGGCUGUAGCAACGGCAGGGGGAGGAGCUGGUCGGGGCUUUCAGUAUCGGGACUUCGAUAAUACGAAGCCUCCCACCUUUGAUGGAGUUCAGGACCCGAUUGUUGCUAUGAGGUGGUUAUCGGACGUGGAGGGGUGUUUCUUCACAUGUUCAUGCCUUGCUGAUAAGAGGGUGAGGUGUCCCCUGAACCUGUUGAGGCUCGGGGCGAAGGAUUGGUGGAGAUUGACCACGGGGUCAUAUUCGGAUGCGCAGAGGGCUGCGGUUUCAUGGGAUCAGUUCAGAGAGAUGUUCAGCACUCGUUAUGUUCCGCGGGUUGAGAGGGAGAGAUUGGCUCAGGAGUUCCUUGAGCUGAAGCAGGAUUCGGAGUCGGUGACUGAGAUCACCAGGAUGUUCACUGAGAGGGCGAUGUUCUGCCCUGAGUUCGCUUCGGAGCAGGCUCAGAUGUCUCGAUAUCUGAGCAUGCUCAAGAGGGAUAUCAGACAGUUUGUGUCUACGCAGAGGUGCGAGACCUUGUUGGAGUUGCAGGAGGCCGCCAGGCGGCAUGAGUUAGAGAUUGAGUUGCAGUUGCGUGAGCUGAGGCAGGCUCCGGUGCAGUCGCAGCCGGCGCCGAAACGGUCCAAGACCGUUGAUGUUAGAGUGGGGGAUCUGAGCAGCCACACUUGUGGGAAGUGUGGGAGGGGUCACACCGGAGUUUGUAGGUCCGGUGGUGCAUGCCGCAAGUGUGGAAAGGAGGGGCACUAUGUGAGGGAUUGUCGACAGUCAGUGCCGGUUCGGGAUUUGAGGAUUUGUUAUCAUUUUCAUCAGGCUGGACAUUUGAGGGUCAACUGUCCACAGCUCGCUGCAGGACCGGUGCAGGCUCCAGCACCGGCCACUUUGAGGAUCACGGGGGGAGGUCAGGGUGGAGCGGAGCCCCAAGGGCUCAGGGUCGUGCUUUUCAGCUUAUAGCAGAGGAGGUAAGAGCAGUGUCGGAUGCAGCUGCGAGUAUGUUUCUUCCUUGAUGUCUUGCUAUCUUGUGAUUAUUGUGGUGUAUUGUUUAUGUGCUAGUAUCUUUGUGUGGUUCUCGGUGUGGUAUUCGUUGUUCUUUGAGGGUUAUGGCAUGGCUAUGGGUUUAGUUUUGGGAUUUUGUGGUUAUCUUUUAUGAGGGGUUAUUAGUGGAAACCUGGCAUUGGUCGGAAGGCCGGGUAGCAUCUGCUUUCUGAGGAGUGGUUAGCUGCCGAUUGAGUUCUUUUGAGCGGGAUAAUCAGUGUUGAUAUGGGAUUUUGUUAAGGUUGUUUAUGCUUGUGGGAAGCAGUCCGCGUCUAAGUGUUGGUUUUGUGCAGGGUUGUUUUGGGUGGUCGGUAAUGGCGACCGGUGUUUGAUAGUCACUGCUAUAAGUGGGGGAGAAUUGGAAAAUUCUCCGGAAGAUCGAUGAGCAUUUGAGGGUUCUUAGCUGUUUGGAAUUCAACAGUGUUCUAUCAGACCAGAGUGUAGGCUGGUAGGAGCAAGUGUCGGGCAUGCGGGGCAGGAUACAUACCUAGGGCAUUUGAUUGUGGACGGCCUGGGAUCAGGCCGGAAUCGAUUAUGUGUGAUGGAGAUAGAGUUCGGAACCCCUAGAGGGCUAGAACGGUAUGCAUGGGAGGAUUUCCCGGAGAGAUAGCUCGGAAUGAUGAAUGCUAAUUGAGCGGUCCGGAUAGACUGAAGGCUGGUAGGCGUACCAGUCAGGCCGAAGGCUCGGAGGAUGGUCCAGCCAGACUAAAGGCACAGAGAGCGGUCCAGAUUGGCUGAAGGUUCUGAGAGUGGUCUAGAUUGGCUGAAGGCCUGGUGAGGCGGUCCAAUCAUGCUGAAGACUCUACAGGCGUUCUUAGAUCGGUUCGAGGAUAUGGAUUGUGUUUAUGCGGCAUGAUAGCAUUAGAAGGGCUGGCCCCGGGUUUUUAUCUUGAUUAGUGGAAUUUGUGCAUGGGCUUGAGAGUCCCUGCGAUCAGAGUCAGAGCAUGUGUGCGGUUAUGCUAUGAAGGAGUGGUGUAGCGUUGGGCUUUGAUCAGCAUGAUUGCAGCAGUGGCAUGGAAUCACAUCCAGUUUGGGAUGUCUGCUGAGGUCGCGGAAGGAAUUCCGUGGGUGUAGGGCCAAGGGGCUCGGAAGGGAUGCAGAGAGGGAGUCUUGGGCUCUCAGUGUGAUUUUGAUCAGGAAAUUGUGUAUGUAGUAGUGGUUCAUCCUGGGGGAUGUUUGGAGAUGUCAUCAGUGUAUCAGGUUUUCCCAACCUGAGGGUGCUAGAGCUAGUUCAGCAUGUGUAUGUGAUUGCAAGAGGAGAACUCAUGGCAGUUGCUCUGAAGAAUGUGUCUUUCUGUCAGCAGAGUGGUUAGAGUUGGACUCGGACCGGGAAUCCGGUGGUGCAUGGUUAUUUUCUAGCUCACAUGGGGCGAGCGAUGGUUGUGAUUUGGAGCAGUGUUGCAUCAUGAGUAGUACUCAGUUGUUAAGUGGGGUUAUCAGAGGGUAAAGCUGGUGGUCGGCUCGAGACGGUGGUCAGAACACCGUAAGGAAGGAGAAAGUGAGUUUCGGGUUCUAUGGUUGUGUUUUGAGGAACAUGGUUGGGUUAAUGCCAGGUGAUGCGUGGCAGGAGUAUUUCUAAGAGUUGAGUUGUUGCAGGCUUCGAGGACGAAGCCUAAUGUAAGUGGGGGAGAAUUGUAACAUCCCGGAAUAGCAAGAGUAAAGUUGAAGGGCUAAAAGAGUAAAAUGGGAAGGAGGAACUCGGAGAGUCCACGAGUGGACUCGGUGAGUAGGGUCGCGACUCUAGUCGCGUGUUAAGUGACCAACUCGGUGAGUAGCAUGGGUGGACCCGGCGAGUUGGUGCUGAGUGGAGAAAACCCUAAAUCCGGAGGUUGAGCCCUAUAUAAAGAACAUUAUGUCUCCUCCCCAGCCUCCUUAUCAUCCCUUGAGUUCCAGAAGCCCUAAUUUCGUGAGGAAACCCCAUUGUUGAGUGAAUUGGAUAUUGGAGAAGUGGUUGUUGAAGAAAUAUUGAAGGAGAAUAGACUUGGAUCAAAGGGCUUUGCGAGGAUCCAGACUAAUCUUCUCUUGGAGCUUCCUUUUGAGGUAUUAUUUCAUUGUUUGAGCUGCUAAUGUCUAGAUUCAUCAUUUUUGGGGGUGUUAGAGAUCAUAUCUUUUGGUGUAUUGGAGUUAGAGGUUAGAUCUGAGGUUGCUACCUCAGAUCUGGAAUGGAGAAAGGCUUGAAUGCAUAAAAGUCCCUGUUGAUGAGUGUUUGAAGGAGCUAUUUUGUCCCAAACCCUAGCCCUAGAGUGUAAAGUGCCUAGAUCUCCUUGGAUUCACGUAAAGUUUGCCACUUUACGUGAUGGAUGGCCUUAGGAAGGGUAGAUCUAUGGUUUGGAUCAUCUGCAUGGCUUGGAAAGCCUCUGUAUGGAUUCAGACCCGGUGGUACUCGGCGAGUCACAUGGGUGGACUCGGCGAGUUGCUUGAAGAUAGGCUGGAACUCGACGAGUUGGAAGAACAACUCGGCGAGUUGGAUGAAGAUGGCCUGGAACUCGACGAGUUGGAAGAACAACUCGGCGAGUAGGUUGAAGAUAGCCUUAGACUCGACGAGUCUGUUCUUGGACUCGGCGAGUCUUGUCGAAGAGUCCCAAUCUUUUCUGGUUGAGCCGUGAAUCGGUGAGUCAAGGGGAUGACUCGGUGAGUUGUGUGUGAGUGGACUCAGAGUUGUUGAACUCGGCGAGUCUCGGGGUGACUCGGCGAGUUGAGUCGCGGAUUGGGGAAUUUCUGAGCAUGGGGACUCGGCGAGUCAUCGGGUUGACUCGGCGAGUAGAGUCAGUCAGGGGUUGACUUUGACCAAGGGUUGACCAGUGGUUUCCAGGGGCAUUUUGGUAAUUGUUGGAUAUUGUUUUGAGUUCAGUGCCUUGGUGGUUGUCCAGUGGUGGAGAUCGUAUCAGUGAUCGGAGCAGCUUGGGUUAUCUGUUCAGUCGGCAGUUUCGAGGUGAGUUAUCCUCACUAUAUCAACAGGGUCUAAGGCACCAAGGCCGGCCCUUAUCGGAUUGAGAUCCGGGUAUUUGUUGUUAUGUUAUUGCUUUGAUAUGUUUGCAUCCUGGUAGCUAGGAUGGUAUAUGUUAGAGACCUGGUUGAGAUCGGUAUCCUGAGAUGUAGGGUGAUGCUAUGCUAGUGACCGGUUAGGUCGGUAUCCUGGUUAGGAUGAUGAUAUGUUAUGUGAUCUGUUUGAUCGGCUUGUUGACUGUGAAUUGCUAUAUGAUUGUAUGUAUAUGUGCACAUGGUUGUUUGGACUGGAGUUGGGUUGAGGCGGGUCCUGCUUUGUGCUGUAGGCCAAGAUACCCAGGGCGGACCGGUUGUCCCGAAGGCCCAGCGAGCGGUCCGGAUAGGCUGUAGGCCCCAAGAGGGCGGACCAGACGUGCCGAGGCUCGGAGAGUGGACCAGGCCGACUGAAGGCCCGGUGCGGGCGGACCAGUCAUACUAUAGACUCAGAGAGUGGACGAGGUGGAUUGAAGGCCCGGUGCGGGCAGACCAAUCACACUGCAGACUCGAUGUAUGUGGUUAGAUUCGGAGAGUGGACGAGGUGGAUUGAAGGCCCGGUGCGGGCGGACCAAUCACAUUGCAGAAUCGAUGUAUAUGACUAGACUUGGAGGUUGGACCAGGUGGACUGUUGGCCGGUGCGGCGGACCAGUCACACAGUAGACCCGAAGUGCAUGGCUGUUCUGUGAUCGGACAUGUUAUGGCAUGUUAUGCGCGUAUGGUAUAUGUGGUUGGUAUUUUGGGGAUAUCUCACUAAGAUUUCGGGCUUAGAGUUGUGGUUUUAUGUUUUUCAGGUUCUUCAGGAGACCUUGGCAAGGCGAAGGCGUGAUCGUACCGCUCCUCGUGUUUAUGUUGUGAUGAGAUUCUUGGAAUAAUUAAAAUAAAUUGUAUUGAAAACCUUUUUGUAAUAACUUUAAUGGAAUCGGGUUGUUUUUGAAUAUUUUAAAUUGGUUGAAAUUUUGGUCGUUACAUCCUUACAAUGCAAAUACAUAUGAAAACUUGUUGUUAUCUAUUCAUAGCAAUAUUUCAUAACUCUUAUGCAGUGACUCAAAAUUCUGGUCAUCGAACCAUGCGAUCAAAAUCAGCACACUCUUUCUUUAAGCUUCCUUUGAUUCUCCCAAAACAUCAAAAUGUAAUUACAUUACAUCAUGUUUUAAGAAUCUCCAAAAGUGACUUAAUAAAGUUAGAUAACGGACUUUACCUAAACUAGAGUCAAAAUUUUCACUUUACCAUCCUUAUAAGGUUUCAGGUAAAUUCAGCAGUUUUCCAACCAAUGCCCCUUUUCUUUGGCAAUAUGGACAUAUGGACUCUUUGGGAAUGGUACAUGGGACUAUCUCAUACUUAGUCAUUCUCUUUACCAUUUGGUCAACCGAGUUGACUAUGGUCGAUCCCUUUCCAUUGGGAAGAGAAAGUUUUUUUGAACUUCCAAUGUCACCAAUGUCAAUGUCCAAAUAGGUUUGGGAAGUAGAUCUUCCAAUCUAAUUUGCUUCACCAAUGCUCCAAAUCAUUGCUGAUUCAGCAUCCUCAAGCAAAUAUGUAAGAUCAUUACGAGUCAUGUCAUGAUCUGUCAUCAGGGAGUGACUGAAGAACCAACUCAACAGCCCGCAACCUUGAGACUUCAACACCCGAUUCUCCCGGCUUGUCAAUAUGUGACUUAACCUCUAAGAUGUAAACACAUAUAGACUUUGAUUUCCAAUAGGGAUUGAGUGACUUAGAACUUAUCAAGUCUUGAAACUUAUGGGAUAGGGAGAUUUAUUGGAGGAGGUGGAGGAAGUGAAGUAUGAUUUCCAGUCCCACUAAUACACAACAAAGGGAUUAGUCUUUCACCUUGGUUGCCAUUUGGGAUAUCAUCUUCAUUAGGAAGCUUGUUCCUAAGGAUUUAGGAGGACCAUAGAUGUCUUAACAAGACAUCUAUAAUGGGAGAAAUUCAAGUUUAGUUGAUUUAAAGUCAUUAACAUAACACCCAAUAUCAAAUAUUAAGGCUAGGACCCAACAAACUAUUUUAUAACUUGGAAGAGGGAUGUCGUAGUCCAAGCUAUAGAAUAUUUGAAGGUAGGUAAAUGAAGAUUUACCAAUUUCAACCAUGAAUAACGAAAUUAUUCAUUAAGUUUUAAUUGUAUUUAAAACUCCUAGAUCUUUUGAGAUACAUUGAACUUUGAAUGUCAUGUUUGAAUCUCGAUUGUGCCCUCUCAAGUUUGUGACUGGGAUGACGAGGAUCACAAACAAGGCGUGAAUAACCAUAAAAAUUGACUUGGUACCCUUAAUUUUAUCAUCUAAUCGAUGUGUUGGUUAAACACACAAUCCACCGAUCUAUGAUAAAACUUAAGUCACCCUUUGCCACACAUUGUCAGUCCCAUGUUAGUGUGCCGGUUAACCACACACGCUCCACUAACGACUUAACAAAGGUGCAAAGUGUAAUUUCAUGGGUUAGCACCAUUUCACAUUUUCCUAAGUAACUAAGAUUGGGAAUUUAUAAGUGUUUAGUUACCUAGUAUUUAUCAUUAUACUGUUAAUGAAGGGAGAAUUAUAGUCCUUUCCUACCCGUUCGGCUAACGACCCUCCACCAGUCAAAGAAGUCGUGGGUGAGAGUGGACACCCAUUAAACUGCCAUUUGAUAGGCAGUAACGUUAUACCCCCCUUAUAGACCGGCUUCGUGAGUAAGGCCUACUAAUGGUAAGAUUGACUUUAUCUUAUACAUAUCUAUAUAAUUAAAAUUAUAAUAAUAGUAUAAGGUUGUAUUUUAAACAUUUAAAAUACUUGGUGGUUUAAUCUAUUAAUUAAACUAUACUCUUAAUUUAAUUAAGCUUAAACCAUGUCUUUAUGGAAUUAUUAACUCUUUUAAUUAAACACUUUAAAUAAUUUAAUGAAGUCCAUAAAGUUUGAAUUUAAACUUUUAAAAUUGCAGAGUUUGGGAUUAAGGCAUUAAUGUGUGUGAAACUUUACAAAUUCCAAAACUUGAGGGCAAGUUUUGAAACUAUUCAAAACCUUUCAUUUCAUAACUUAUGAGUUUAAUGGUUCAUUAAAAUGAAGACUCUUCAUUUUUAUGUAACCUCUUAUUCUUUAAUAACACUUUUAAAGAAGUGACUCCAAGUUAUGGAGUCAUCAAAACAAUUUAAUGAAAAGACUCUUCAUUUUUUGUGUGACCUAUGGAACUUUUAUGAGCUUUAAAAUUCAUAAAUGUGACCUUUUAUGUAACUGUGAUGACAAGUUACAAAAACACCUUUUAUGAACUUCUUUUAGAUUAAUAUGGAUUGAAAGAAACUAACAAAUAAUAUUUUUUAUCAAUCUAAAUUACUCAUAAAACAAUGAAACACAAAACUUUUGGUAAUGCAUAACUUGAGGACAAGUUAUGGAGUCCAUACAAUUUCAUCAAGAUCAUGAAUUAUACUAACAAACAAUUUGCACAUAAUUUCUAUGAUCUAACAAAACUCAUAAGCAUGAACAUUCAUAAUCAACAAUUUUUCAAGAAUUACAUAAACAUAUAUAAAACUUGAAACUUUGAUUAUCACAUUGAAAUUGGUUUAACAUAAUCAUUACCACAUUAGAGAAAACAGGUUUCAUAACUCCAAAACAAUUAAAGGUAAUGAUUCUAGACCAAUUCCAACACCAAAACUCGAAGAUAUGCUGUUUGGGGUUCCAACUCGUCGAGUGCACAAAGAAACUCAACGAGGAGGAUGAGUUUUGCUUUAGACUCAUCAAGUCCCUUUAUGGACUCGUCGAGUCCCCUGUCCAGACAACACAAAACUUCGUUUAUUUUGAGCCAAUUUUGCAAGUAUAAGUGAAAACAAGCCUAGGCUCAGAUAGCACUGUUGGCUUUUGAGCAAUCUAACACUCCUAUGGUGUACAUACAACCCUAAAUACCUUGGAUCUAUGUUUUCUCUAUUAUACAUGCAAAUAUAAUUUUUCCAAGGAAUUAUCCUAACUAGCAUAUUAUGAAAUACAAGAAAUAUAGAAACUAGUAGAAAUACAUACCUCUUUGUUGGUGCUUGAUUCCAUGGAGCUCAAGAGCCUUAGUGCCCCAAAUGUGACACCUCAAAUUGUUCACACAACAUCAUAUGCACUUGGAAUAAUUUAAAGAGAAAUCAUCACUUCAUGAAAUCGGCUUGCCCUCCACACAUAGACUUACUGGCCGAUUUUGAUAAGAAUGAUAUGUUUAUAUAGUGUGACACAAUUAGGAUAAACCUUAAUUGUCAUGGAUUUCCAUUUCCUUGGAUCCGUGGGCUCAAAUACACCAUGGAGCAUCCAUGGAGCAUCCUAUGGGUUUUAGCCCAACUUGAUAAUCCAUGGAGCAUUAACUCACUAUAUAAGUAUGGAUGAUUUACAUAAUCAACCCAUAUAUUUAAUUAGUCUUCUUUUGAUCACUUAAUUAAUUCUAGCUUAAUUCUUGAUCAAUAGUAAUUAAAUAAUCUUAUUAAUAUAUUGGAACUUAUAAUAUAUUAAUAAACCUUAAGUGUUAUUUUUCUCAUUUUAGCCUAUCCAAAUGCAUUAUGCCAUGCAACCCAAAUGGACCAUGUCGGGUCGGGUCAAGUAUAUACCAAUUAUAGUUAUGGACUUAGAAACUAAUCCAACACUACCUUCGACGGUGCCAAACGGUUGGCACAAUGACUCAUUGAUCAUGGAGUUCGUACCCCGACGACGACAACAACCCUGGCUAUCCCAGAACCCUCCAAGGCCACUGACAACAAGCGAAAGUUCUGGGAUAACAAGAAGAAGAACGCGGCGCAAAAUGCUACCAAAAAUCAACAGGUUGUGGAUGUUCAUGCUACGAUAGCAUCUACUGCUACUACGCCGAUGUGUUGGAUUAAUGUCUAAGUCCAUAACUAUAUUUGGUAUGUACUUGACCCGACCCAGCAUGGUUCAUUUGGGUUUCACUUCACCGACACAAUUUAUAUGGAUAAUCUUUUGAGAAUAGUAUAUUUAUGAUUAAUAUUAAUAUAUUAUAAGUUCUAAUAUAUUAAUAUGGAAUCAUAUUAUUUAAUUAGAAUUGAUCAAGAAUUAAUUAAGUGAUCAAAAUGAACUAAUUAAAUAUGGACUCUUAUAUAUAUGGAAUGGGCCAAGUUCAUUUAGGUUGGGCUAAGCUUUCAUGGAUAGUCCAGGGAGUGUUUAACCCAUGGAUCAUAUGAAAUGAAAGGUCAUGGGUUUAACCCUAGUCUCCAUAUUAUAUAAAGAUGUCCUUGGUUGGUGAAAUUGGCACUAGUGUGGGUACACUAAGAGGGCUAGCCGAUUUCACUAGAGAGAACCAAAGUAUUCUUAUUCUCAAAGUCUUCCAAGGUAUUUUGGUGAUUUGUGAUUCCACUUGAGGCUGCCACACUAUUGGGGCUAAGCUCUUAAAGCUUGAAGACAUCAAGCUACAGCAAAAGGUAUGUCAUCUAACUAGUCUUUGUAGUAUAGUUGCCUCAUAGUAUGCUAGUUAGGAUUAAGGCCUUGUAAAGUUCUUAUUUCCAUGUAUAAUAGAGAAAACAUAGAUCCAUGGUUUAUAGGGUUGCAUGUACACCAUAGGAGUGUUAGAAUGCUCAAAACCCAACACGAUGAAGCAGUAUGUUGUGAGCUUGCCCACGUGCAAUAAGUGCAGCUUCCAUUAAAACGGACCCUACCGGGAAAUGCAGUGCGCUUACUGUUGGAUUAGUGUCUAAGUCCAUAAAUAUAAUUGGUAUGUACUUGACCCAAUUGACAUGGUCCAUUUGGGUUGCAUGGCAUCAGAACAAUUUGGAUAGACUUUUGUGAGAAAAGGAUAUUUAUGAUUUGUUAAUAUAUUAUAAGUUCUAAUAUAUUAAUAUGAAAUCAUAUUAUUUAAUUAGUAUUGAUCAAGAAUUAAUUUGGAAUUAAUAUUGUGAUCAAAAGGAGACUAAUUAAAUAUAUGGGGAUUGAUUGUGUAAAUCAUUCAUUCUUAUAUAUGUGGGCUUAUGAUCCAUAGUUCUUGAUGUUGGGCUAAACCCAUGGAAUAACCCAUGGAUACUCCAUGGAGGUUUUAACCCAUGUAACAUGAAGAAUAUGGAAAGCAUGAGUUACAAUGUGUAACCCUAAUAGCCACAAUAUAUAAGGUCCUCAUGGCUGAAGAUGUCACACCCCAAAACCACGAACGGCAGAAACGUUUAGGGGUGGAGGACAUCAUGUACAGUAUCACAACAGUGUAAUAUAAUAAACAAGAAACAACAUCAUCCAUUGCAUUAUAAGUAAAGUUUUAAUACAUGUGUGUUCUUUCAUUGUAGUAAGACACCAAAAAUAUACAAUCAAAAUAAAAGACGAGACUUGUCUGCUCUGUCUUCUCAAAACCUGGCCAUCGUACCUGUCUACUGUUGACCUGAGAAUACAAGUUAUUUUGAAAGAGAGUAUUAGCUUUAAAGCUGGUGAAUUCAUAAGUAAUUAAGUGUCAUUGUCUUGCUUAUGAAAAUCUAUUAUGAAGGCCAUGUAAACCUUUAAAUGAAAAUGUUGAUGUAAGUAUGAAAAACCCUAGAAAAUCCCUUAUUUUCUAUAAGUAUGAAAUGUAGUCUUCUACCAAGACCCGAAUGUUUUGUUAUGACAAUGUAGUCUUCUACCAAGACCCGAAUGUUUUGUUAUGACAAUGUAGUCUUCUACCAAGACCCGAAUGUUUUGUAAGUAAUAUGAUAGCUUUUCCUUUCUAUUGACUAGUACUAGAGUACUUAGUCUAACUCAUCGUUUAUGUGAAAGUAUCACAAAAUAAAGUAAACAGGAAAAAUAUAAUCAUGUAAGUGUUAUUAUCUUGGGUUACCAGGACAAACACGACAUCGCCGAAGCGAAAGAUAGACCCUAUGGACAUCCGAAGAGUGUCCCCUCAUCCUCUGUAGCGGCAGCAGGGUGGAGGGAGGGUUAGUCCCGACAUCGAUCUCCUAAUAUCGAUCGUUAACCUAAUGAUCCUCCGAAGAUUCACAUCUCAUCCACUGUUGCAACAGUUGGACAGAGGGAUGGUUAGUCCCGUCACUGAUUACUAAAUAAGUAACAACCUUAGACAUCCGUAGACAUUCAUCGAUCACUGGUGCUAAUCAGUGGGGUUCGGAAUGGUAAGUCCCGCCGAGAUAUCCCAUUGAACCGGGAUAGGAAAGAUAAUUUACACAGUAAGUACUAAUAAAUCAUCCUCGUAGUUCUAAGUACAAGUAUCCAGGUAAGUAAAUACAGGAUAAUGCACCUAAGUAACAGUGUUCCUGUAUGGUAUUCAUGUAAGUGUGUUCAUGUAACAGGUAAGUAUAUGUAAACAUAUUCAUGUAUCAUGUAAUCCUAAGUACGUGUACUCAUGUAUCAUGUAAGGUAUUGGUAUAGACUCAUGAAUGAACUGACUCUUGUGUGAUUCCUUGUAGUAGUAAUAAUGUUUGAUAUCUUCUAACUGUCCCUAUGAUAGUUAACUGGAAGGUAAUUAGUUGUUUAUGUAGGUUUAUGCACUCUUGCUACCCAAGAGUAUUGGAAACUAAAUGAAGGGUGAAAACUAUAAUCUCUAACAUAUAAAUGAACAUAUGCGCAUAAGUAUAGUUUGAUUCAAGAAGGUAAAAUAAUGGUUUUGCAAGAUAUCUAGGAGUUUUGAACAAUAAUUAAGAGUGACUUGAUGUCAUUUUAAUAAACAUUUCAAAACUAAUACUUUUGUUAUCAAGGUAUUUUAAGAUAGAAAACCAUUUCAUGUGACACCUUUUGAAAUAUGUGAAAUCUACUGAGUGAAAACACAGUUAUAAAAUACAUAAGAUUGAUUUAAUAACAUACUGUUUUCUACUUGUAUUCCCCCCAUUAAAGCAUUUAAAAUCAUUUAAAACAUUGAUUAAGGGGUAUGAACUCACCUGUAGUUGGUGGUUCGGAUGAACUGGACGGUGUAGGAUUGCUAGGUGUCAAGUGAGGACUUGUACACACACUACGAUCCUAAUGAACAUAUAAUCACACAUAUAUGCACUCAAUUAGUCUCAAAUUACUAAUUGAUAAAGUUAAGACAUCCUAGACAUAAUAAACACUUUAUAUAAGUGUUUUAAGUCCUAAGGAUUGCAUCUAAGCUAUUGUGGGACAAGGCACUUGUGUUUAGGGUUCCAAAGGACCCCAUAUAUGAGUUUACUCCCCAUAUACCAUCACACAUGGAGUUUACGGUUGUAAACUCUUGAGUUUACGGCCGUAAACUCCCAACCAUGGGGGUAUUGUGUGUUUUGAAGUCCCAAAUGAUUCCUAGAAUUAUUCCAACUUGGUGGUUCAAUUCUUGAAAGGGUUUAAGGCCUAGAAACACUCCCUAGAGGAGUUUACGGCCCCAAGGCCAUUUCCUUUGGAGUUUACGGCCGUAAACUCCCUUGGAAUGGUGUUUUUGUUGUUUUCAAGUCUCUUGCAUAUGAAGGAUAGGUUCUAGACUUUUACCUAAAGCAUAUGAAGGCAUUUGGCACACUUUGGUGCCCUUCAUUCAUGUUUACGGCCCAAGAACCAUGUCUUGGCCGUAAACUCACUUUGGAAGGUGAUUUUGAUGUGAUUAAGGCCCUUGACUUAUUGGGAACAAGUCUAGGUAAGAGCCUAUGGCCUUAGGUGCCUUGAAAGCACCAUUUUGAGUAUGAUUUUGGAGUUUACGGCCUCAGAAACUCUUGGGCCGUGAACUCCCAAACUUGGGUGGUUCUUACUUGAUUUCAUGUCCCUAAAACACUCCUAUACAAGUCCAAGGCAGUUGUAUAUCACGGGGGACAGUCUAGGCUUCGUUUCGGGAGUUUACCGCCCAAGAACACCUUGGGGAGUAAACUCCUAAAUCUAGUGAUUUAGCCUUCUAAAUCAUGUUAUAACUACAUAUAAAGCUUUCUAACACUACUAGAAAGAGUUACUCACGUUUUGGUAUAAAAACCCGAAGAUCCGUGAGAGAGAAAAUGGCUUUUCUCUAGUUGGAAAUGUGAAUAAUGAAUGAAUUUGGUUCAGAAUUCUAUUUAUAGUCCUGAGAUAUUUUUGGCAGAAAAUAUUUUUAUUCCUGAAAUGACCUCUAAUAUAAUAGAGAGAUGGAAUAAUAGAGUUGCACUAAACCCUAGUGCAUCCACUCUCCUGAUAUCUCCUGAAGUGUAAACCCUGAAUUACUCAAACUUACACGAAAAAGUCUGAAAAUUAGUUGUGACUGCUAUAACUUCUAUUAAAGUGAUAUAGUUUGUACAUAAUGGAAAUUUCAGGUUGUCACAUCAUCCCCCCGUUAGAAGGAUUUUCGUCCCGAAAUUAGAAUUUAAGCAAUUAAGAAGUUACAAAUAACUAAGCGAAAAGAUGAGGGUAUUUCAGUUUCAUCUGAUCCUCACGUUCCCAAGUGAAUUCCGGUCCACGCUUUGCGUUCCAGCGCACCUUCACUAUCGGGAUACGGCUCUGCUUUGUUUGCUUGACCUCUCGGUCCAUGAUCUCUACUGGUUCCUCCACGAAGUUGAGGCUCUCGUUGAUCUCGAUCUCGUCGAGUGGAAUAACAAGAGUCUCGUCGGAUAGACACUUUUUCAAGUUUGACACGUGGAAGGUAGGAUGUACGUUACUGAGUUCGUGCGGUAGAUUGAGUUUGUAAGCUACAGGGCCGAUUCUCGCGAGAAUCUCGAAAGGCCCUAUGUAUCUUGGAUUGAGCUUCCCACGCUUUCCAAAGCGUAUCAAGCCCUUCCAGGGUGAGACCUUCAGUAGGACUCGGUCGCCCACCUGGAACUCCAAUGGUUUCCUACGCUUGUCAGCGUAGCUUUUCUGUCGGUCUCUAGAGGCUUUCAAUCGUUCACGAAUUUGAACGAUCUUCUCUGUCGUUUCCCGAAUGAUCUCCGGACCCAUGAGAGUGCUUUCGGGAACUCGUCCCUUAGCUAACUGGGUAUCACCCACUUCAGCCCAGCACAGAGGGGAUCUGCACUUUCGGCCAUAGAGGGCCUCGAAUGGAGCUGCCUUUAUGCUCGUAUGAUAACUGUUGUUGUAGGAAAAUUCAACAAGGGGUAAAUGGGUAUCCCAAGCUUUUCCAAAGUCAAUCACACAGGCACGCAACAUAUCUUCUAAGGUUUGGAUAGUUCUCUCACUUUGCCUGUCGGUCUGGGGAUGGUAGGCUGUACUCAUGUCCAGCCUAGUUCCUAGGGAACUUUGUAAUGACUGCCAGAACCUCGAAGUGAAUCUACUAUCUCUGUUUGAGAUGAUAGAUACAGGAACACCGUGUAGCCUUACGAUCUCCCUAACGUACGUUCUGGUAAGUUUCUCAAUCUUGUUUGUUUCCUUGAUCGGCAGGAAGUGUGCAGACUUGGUCAAUCUAUCGACGAUGACCCAUAUGGAAUCAAGUCCACCCGUCGUCUUGGGCAACUUGGUUAUGAAAUCCAUAGUGAUCCGCUCCCACUUCCAUUCUGGUAUCUCCGGUUGCUGUAGGAGGCUGGAGGGUUUCUGGUAUUCGACCUUGACCUUUGCGCAAGUAAGGCAUUUACUCACGAAGGUAGCAAUAUCUGCUUUCAUGUUAGGCCACCAGUAUAACUUUUUAAGAUCCAGAUACAUCUUAUCUGAACCCGGGUGGACGGAAUAACGAGUGUUGUGAGCUUCGGUCAUGACCAAGUCUCUGAAGCCACCGUGUUUCGGUGUCCAGAUCCGAUCCAUGAGGUAUAAGGCUCCGCCACCCUUGACUUCCAAGUUCUUAUCCAUCCCUCUAAGGGAUUCACCAGCUACGUUAUCAGGUUUCAAAGCGUCGAGCUGAGCCUCCUUUAUUUGCGUGGACAAGUGUGAAUGGAUAGUUAGAGUCAAAGAUUUGACUGUACGACCAGUAUAUUCUUUCCGACUUAGGGCGUCGGCUACUACAUUAGCUUUACCCGGAUGAUAAUGAAUUUCUCACUCGUAAUCACUGAGUAGCUCGACCCACUGUCGCUGUCUCAUGUUGAGCUCUUUCUGGUCGAAAAUGUGUUGUAGACUCUUAUGGUCUGUAAAGAUCGUGAUUUUUGUAUCGUACAGGUAAUGUCACCAGAUCUUUAGAGCAAACACAAUUGCUCCUAGUUCAAGAUUGUGGGUUGUGUAGUUAACCUCAUGUGUCUUCAGCUGUCUCGAGGCAUAGGCGAUGACUUUACCUCGCUGCAUCAGAACACAUCCGAGUCCUUGAUUGGAUGCAUCGCAAUAGACAAUGAAGUCUUCUAUCCCUUCGGGAAGGGAUAGUAUCGGGGCGGUGCACAAGGCUCGUUUGAGCGUUUGGAACGCUCUUUCCUGUUUCUCUUCCCAGUCAAAGGCCACGCCUUUCUGGGUCAGGGUUGUAAGAGGUUUCGCUAUGCUGGAGAAGUUCUGAAUGAACCUGCGAUAGUAGCCAGCUAGACCUAGAAAUUGACGAAUUUCAGUAGGUGUCUUUGGUGCUGACCAGUUCUCGAUGGCCUUAAUUUUGGAAGGGUCCACGUGUAUACCUUCUUCGCUAACUACAUGGCCCAAGAAUUCGACUCGCCGAAUCCAAAAUUCGCACUUUGAGAACUUCGCGUAGAGCUUCUCCGAUCGCAAUGUUUCUAAGAUUUUACGGAGAUGUUGACUAUGUUCCUCCUUACUUCGAGAGUAGAUGAGUAUGUCAUCAAUGAAGACGAUGACGAACUGAUCCAAGUAAGGACGACACACCCUAUUCAUCAGAUCCAUGAAUACUGCGGGCGCGUUAGUUAAUCCGAACGACAUCACUACAAACUCGUAGUGCCCAUAACGAGUUCGGAAGGCUGUCUUGGGAACAUCCUCCUCUAACACUCGUAGUUGGUGAUAUUCGGAUCAUAGGUCUAUCUUCGAGAAGUAGUUGGCUCCUUGAAGUUGAUCGAAUAAAUCAUCAAUGCGGGGCAAGGGAUAACGAUUUUUAAUGGUAAGUUUGUUGAGUUCUCUAUAGUCGAUGCACAUGCGAAACGAUCCAUCUUUCUUCUUGACGAACAAGACCGGUGCUCCCCAUGGUGAGAAGCUUGGUCGAAUGAAUCCCUUCUUGAGAAGUUCGUUAAGUUGACUGGAAAGUUCCUGCAUCUCGGCCGGUGCCAGACGAUAAGGAGAUUUGGCUACUGGGGUAGCUCCUGGCACUAAGUCGAUUCUGAACUCAACUUGGCGUUGCGGUGGUAACCCGGGAAGUUCUUCUGGGAAGAUGUCGGGAAAGUCGCGUACUUCUGGGAUGUUCUGGAUGUCUUUGAGUUCUUGACUGGUAUCGAUGACGUGUGUGAGAAAUGCAUGGUACUCCUUUUGCAAACACUUCUGGGCUUGAAUGCACGAAAUGAUGCGAAGGCUCGUACAAGGUUUGUCGCCGUAGAUAAUUAAAGUUUCGUUGUUAGGAAGGUUAAGGCGAACUGUUUUUUCGAAGCACAUAAUGUUGGCGCGAAGAAGACUCAACCAAUCCAUGCCGAUGAUAACGUCGAAACAUUUAAUUGGGACUGGCAUGAGAUCUAUCUUGAAAGUAUGGCUAUCUAAAGUUAAGGUACAACCUACGUAUAUGCAGUUAGUACUCUCCAUUUUCCCGUUAGCCAUUUCUACCAUGAAUGAACUAUAUAAUGCACAUGGGUUUUGUUUAAGCAGGUGUGCAAAUUUGUGACUUACAAAACUUUUCUCUGCUCCACUAUCGAAAACUAUGCAAGCAUAUGAGUUAUCGAGGAGAAACAUACCAGUAACUAUCAUAGGAUUAGCUACCGCUUCCUCGUGGCCUAGGGCCAUAACUCUCCCUACUCCUCCAGCCAUCUCUGCUUUAGGGCAGUUCCUCUUGUAGUGGCCCAUUUCGCCACAACCGUAGCAAGCUUGGCCCAUACCGGCGUUAGGAACCUGGGCGGCCUGAGUUGUUGGAGCCUGGAAGAAAUGGGCUGUGUGCCCCUUCCUGUUGCAGUUGGUGCAUUGCAUCUCCCUGCAAGGCCCGCGGUGGUGGAAGCUGCAUUUGUUGCACUUCGGGAGAGUUCCAGCAUAUGUUUUUGCUGGUAAGGGGUUCGCAGGGACAAUGGGAGUAACUGUGGCAGCAUUGAUCGCCACAAGUUGUUGUUUCUUGGAGGAUCCUUGCGAAGUCUCCCUUUUCCUCUUAUUCCACCCCUUCCUGUUGUGGUCGGGGUUGGACUUUUGUGGUACGGGUAUAGGGAUUGAUGGGUUUUGAGGUUUCAAGUGGUCUAUGAGAGAUUGUGCUAGCUCUUUGGCGCUAUCGAAAGUAAUAGGCCUGGAAGCUAUGACACUUGACUGGACCUAGGGCGACAGUCCCCAGAUAUAUCUCUCUAUAUUUUUGCUCUGGAGAGCAACCAUGUCAGGGCAUAAGUUUUCCAGAUCACUGAACCUAUUUGUGUAGGUCGUGAUGUCGGAUCCAACCAUUUGUAGACCCAGAAUUCCUGCUCGAGUUUUUGUACUUCGCCUCGAGGACAAUACUCUUUCAUCAGCAUGUCCUUUAACUUUUCCCAGUUGAUGGAAUAUGCCACCACCAAAGUCAGAUAGUUAACAUGGCUAUUCCACCAUGUUAGUGCUCUGUCGGAGAAGGUAUAAGCUACAAACUUGACCUUGUUGCCCUCCUGGCAAGCACAUAUUUCAAAGACGGAUUCCAUCUUUUCAAUCCAUUGUCUCAACACCAUAACACCCCCAGUUCCAGUGAAGUUGCGGGGUUUGGCGUUCGUGAAGUCCUUGUAGGUGCAUUCCCAAGGGUGUCCAUGGCUUUCUCCGUGGUUCGAGGGUGGUGCACCUGUUCCUGAUCCACUAGGAGCAGGAGCGUUGAUUGCUGACACAGCAGCUGCAACUGCUGCUGUGAAAGCUGCCUGGAACAUGUUGGCAUCGAAAGGAUUUGGUGGUUGAAGAGGUUCACGUGGUGGUGGAGGUGGUGGUAUCGGUGUUUCGUUGUUUGGGUUACGCCUUGGAUUCCUGCGUGGGGGCAUCUUUAACUAUACGUUUAAAAGAUGACGACAUGGAUAAGAAUAAAUGACUAAUGAAUGUGUCUCAUGGACUAACUCCCAAUAGCCCAACAACAGAAGGAACAGUAUGACUAAAUGAAGAAGAUAGCAUUUGGAUAAUAAUUUCCAUAAGAUUAGAUAUCUAUCAAUAAUAUUGGAAUUACAGAUGUAACAAGUUUGGGAAAAAUGGCGUAGAAGUAGGCCGUACGUCAACCAAGAUGGAAAAUUUUGACAGAAUUAAGACUAGAUCCAGACCUAACAGGUCUAAGAUUUAUAAAUACAGGAAAUUAGACCAAAGUUUUGCAUAAAAUAGGUUAUAUACAAAAGAUGAGUUGACGAUAUUCUAUCGGCGACGAGAGCUGCUUGCAUGAGUCCUCGAUCCCGACAGUAGGCGUUCAAUGUCCCUUAUACGCCUGUUCGACCUUGCAUGCUGAGCUCGAAGUUCUCUAACUUCAACUUGGGUUUUAGCAAGUUCCCUAUGCAGAUUUGCAUUGCAGACCAGAGUCCUUUCAUGAGCAGACUCUAGUUGGCGAAUGUGGACAGUGUUAACACCAGAGUUGGCGUCAACUUCCAAGACUUGAUUGAUAGUCGCCUGAGCCAUUAUCGUGUUCCGAGAAAUCCUACGCACCAUGAUUGGUAGGACUCUAUCAGCAGAACCUCCUUCAGUGAGGUUGUAGAAACUUUGGUCUCCAUUGUAGGGAAUGGGCUGACCCUAUUCAUGACUCCAUGUAUUCAAGUUAGUGGCCCACAGAGGUGUGGGUCCUUGAAAUGCGGGACGGGGGUUCAGGUUUAGGGUUUGAGUAGCUGGGGGUAGGUUGUUGACUUCAGGCUCUGAGUCAGAACUAUCGGAAAAACCCUCAACAUGGUGAUCAUCCAAAGGGAUUGGGUGAUCAUCUUCUGGUUCUGCCUCUAGCCAACCAGCAUUGCCUUGGUUUGGGAAGUACGGAUCGCCAUGGUGAAAUCCAGCCAUUUUAAUCUACGCGAGAGAAGGGAUAUAAGAAAUAGCUAAAAUAGACGAACUAACUAAGAUAAUUACAGUAAGACCAAAUACCCUUACAGUAUUUCUUUAUGGUUGUGUUAGUAAGUUUUUAGACUUGUUGCCAUAUCCCAACCAUUCUUGGGCAUAUGCUAAUCACUCCUNNNNNNNNNNNNNNNNNNNNNNNNNNNNNNNNNNNNNNNNNNNNNNNNNNNNNNNNNNNNNNNNNNNNNNNNNNNNNNNNNNNNNNNNNNNNNNNNNNNNNNNNNNNNNNNNNNNNNNNNNNNNNNNNNNNNNNNNNNNNNNNNNNNNNNNNNNNNNNNNNNNNNNNNNNNNNNNNNNNNNNNNNNNNNNNNNNNNNNNNNNNNNNNNNNNNNNNNNNNNNNNNNNNNNNNNNNNNNNNNNNNNNNNNNNNNNNNNNNNNNNNNNNNNNNNNNNNNNNNNNNNNNNNNNNNNNNNNNNNNNNNNNNNNNNNNNNNNNNNNNNNNNNNNNNNNNNNNNNNNNNNNNNNNNNNNNNNNNNNNNNNNNNNNNNNNNNNNNNNNNNNNNNNNNNNNNNNNNNNNNNNNNNNNNNNNNNNNNNNNNNNNNNNNNNNNNNNNNNNNNNNNNNNNNNNNNNNNNNNNNNNNNNNNNNNNNNNNNNNNNNNNNNNNNNNNNNNNNNNNNNNNNNNNNNNNNNNNNNNNNNNNNNNNNNNNNNNNNNNNNNNNNNNNNNNNNNNNNNNNNNNNNNNNNNNNNNNNNNNNNNNNNNNNNNNNNNNNNNNNNNNNNNNNNNNNNNNNNNNNNNNNNNNNNNNNNNNNNNNNNNNNNNNNNNNNNNNNNNNNNNNNNNNNNNNNNNNNNNNNNNNNNNNNNNNNNNNNNNNNNNNNNNNNNNNNNNNNNNNNNNNNNNNNNNNNNNNNNNNNNNNNNNNNNNNNNNNNNNNNNNNNNNNNNNNNNNNNNNNNNNNNNNNNNNNNNNNNNNNNNNNNNNNNNNNNNNNNNNNNNNNNNNNNNNNNNNNNNNNNNNNNNNNNNNNNNNNNNNNNNNNNNNNNNNNNNNNNNNNNNNNNNNNNNNNNNNNNNNNNNNNNNNNNNNNNNNNNNNNNNNNNNNNNNNNNNNNNNNNNNNNNNNNNNNNNNNNNNNNNNNNNNNNNNNNNNNNNNNNNNNNNNNNNNNNNNNNNNNNNNNNNNNNNNNNNNNNNNNNNNNNNNNNNNNNNNNNNNNNNNNNNNNNNNNNNNNNNNNNNNNNNNNNNNNNNNNNNNNNNNNNNNNNNNNNNNNNNNNNNNNNNNNNNNNNNNNNNNNNNNNNNNNNNNNNNNNNNNNNNNNNNNNNNNNNNNNNNNNNNNNNNNNNNNNNNNNNNNNNNNNNNNNNNNNNNNNNNNNNNNNNNNNNNNNNNNNNNNNNNNNNNNNNNNNNNNNNNNNNNNNNNNNNNNNNNNNNNNNNNNNNNNNNNNNNNNNNNNNNNNNNNNNNNNNNNNNNNNNNNNNNNNNNNNNNNNNNNNNNNNNNNNNNNNNNNNNNNNNNNNNNNNNNNNNNNNNNNNNNNNNNNNNNNNNNNNNNNNNNNNNNNNNNNNNNNNNNNNNNNNNNNNNNNNNNNNNNNNNNNNNNNNNNNNNNNNNNNNNNNNNNNNNNNNNNNNNNNNNNNNNNNNNNNNNNNNNNNNNNNNNNNNNNNNNNNNNNNNNNNNNNNNNNNNNNNNNNNNNNNNNNNNNNNNNNNNNNNNNNNNNNNNNNNNNNNNNNNNNNNNNNNNNNNNNNNNNNNNNNNNNNNNNNNNNNNNNNNNNNNNNNNNNNNNNNNNNNNNNNNNNNNNNNNNNNNNNNNNNNNNNNNNNNNNNNNNNNNNNNNNNNNNNNNNNNNNNNNNNNNNNNNNNNNNNNNNNNNNNNNNNNNNNNNNNNNNNNNNNNNNNNNNNNNNNNNNNNNNNNNNNNNNNNNNNNNNNNNNNNNNNNNNNNNNNNNNNNNNNNNNNNNNNNNNNNNNNNNNNNNNNNNNNNNNNNNNNNNNNNNNNNNNNNNNNNNNNNNNNNNNNNNNNNNNNNNNNNNNNNNNNNNNNNNNNNNNNNNNNNNNNNNNNNNNNNNNNNNNNNNNNNNNNNNNNNNNNNNNNNNNNNNNNNNNNNNGAGGACUUGUACACACACUACGAUCCUAAUGAACAUAUAAUCACACAUAUAUGCACUCAAUUAGUCUCAAAUUACUAAUUGAUAAAGUUAAGACAUCCUAGACAUAAUAAACACUUUAUAUAAGUGUUUUAAGACCUAAGGAUUGCAUCUAAGCUAUUGUGGGACAAGGCACUUGUGUUUAGGGUUCCAAAGGACCCCAUAUAUGAGUUUACUCCCCAUAUACCAUCACACUUGGAGUUUACGGUUGUAAACUUUUGAGUUUACGGCCACAAACUCCCAACCAUGGGGGUAUUGUGUGUUUUGAAGUCCCAAAUGAUUCCUAGAAUUAUUCCAACUUGGUGGUUCAAUUCUUGAAAGGGUUUAAGGCCUAGAAACACUCCCUAUAGGAGUUUACGGCCCCAAGGCCAUUUCCUUUGGAGUUUACGGCCGUAAACUCCCUUGGAAUGGUGUUUUUGUUGUUUUCAAGUCUCUUGCAUAUGAAGGAUAGGUUCUAGACUUUUACCUAAAGCAUAUGAAGGCAUUUGGCACACUUUGGUGCCCUUCAUUCAUGUUUACGGCCCAAGAACCAUGUCUUGGCUGUAAACUCACUUUGGAAGGUGAUUUUGAUGUGAUUAAGGCCCUUGAUUUGUUGGGAACAAGUCUAGGUAAAAGCCUAAGGCCUUAGGUGCCUUGAAAGCACCAUUUUGAGUAUGAUUUUGGAGUUUACGGCCUAAGAAACUCUUGCGCCGUGAACUCCCAAACUUGGGUGGUUCUUACUUGAUUUCAUGUCCCUAACACACUCCUAUACAAGUCCAAGGCAGUUGUAUAUCACGGGGGACAGUCUAGGCUUCGUUUCGGGAGUUUACCGCCCAAGAACACCUUGGGGAGUAAACUCCUAAAUCUAGUGAUUUAUCCUUCUAAAUCAUGUUAUAACUACAUAUAAAGCUUUCUAACACUACUAGAAAGAGUUACUCACAUUUUGGUAUAAAAACCCGAAGAUCCGUGAGAGAGAAAAUGGCUUUUCUCUAGUUGGAAAUGUGAAUAAUGAAUGAAUUUGGUUCAGAAUUCUAUUUAAAUCUGAGAUAUUUUUGGCAGAAAAUAUUUUUAUUCCUGAAAUGACCUCUAAUAUAAUAGAGUGAUGGAAUAAUAGAGUUGCACUAAACCCUAGUCCAUCCACUCUCUUGAUAUCUCCUGAAGUGUAAACCUUGAAUUACUCAAACUUACACGAAAAAGUCUGAAAAUUAGUUAUGACUGCUAUAACUUCUAUUGAAGUGAUAUAGUUUGUACAGAAUGGAAAAUUCGGGUUGUCACAGAAGAAUUUGGCACUAGUGUGUGUACACAUGAGGGCUAGCCGAUUUGAGCAUAGGAACCUUUUCUCUCAAGUUAUUCCAAGAUGUUGGUGAUGUUGUGUGAACCAUUUAAGGUGUCACACUUCAGGCACUAGGCUCCUAUGCUCCAUGGAAUCAAGCUACAUUAGAAGUUAUGUCUUUUAACUUGUUUAUAUUACCCAAGUAUCAAUCAUUGUAAGUUAGUUAGGGUAAUACCAUGGAAAGUUCAAGUUUGCAUGAAUAAUAGAGAAAACAUAGAUCCAAGGUAUUUAGGGUUGCAUGUACACCAUAGGAGUGUUAGAAUGCUCAAAAUCCAUCAUUGGUAUUAGAGCUAGGUUUGUUUUCUUUUAUACUUGAUGCAAUUUGCUGAAAAAUCUGAUAAAUCGAAGUUUUUGCUGUCUGGACAAGUGACUCGACGAGUCCAUUGAGGGACUCAAUGAGUCCAUGAGCAAAAUCAUCCAACUCGUCGAGUUGGUUCAUGCACUCGACGAGUUGGACCCCCAGACAUCGAGGUUUUUGGCUGGAAUUGGACUAGGAACAUUACCCUAAGUUGUUUUUGAUCUUGUAAACCUUUUUUUUGAUGUGGUAAUGUUCAUGCUAAUCCAAUUUCAUAGAUAAUUGUCAAUAGAUUCAUGUUUUGUAUUAGUUUAAUAGUUAGGCUAAUUACAUGAAAAGUGUUUGAUUUCAAAUAUCUUGUUCUCAUGAGUUGAUUUAGAUUAAUAGAAAAGUUAUGUAUUAAUAUGUUUCCAAACCAAAAUAAUCUAAUUUUUUUUUCAUAAAAUGUGUUUUUGUAACUUGUCCUCAAGUUAUAUGAAAAGUCACAUUUAUGAUUAUUAAAACUCGUUAGAUUUCCAUAAGUUAUGAAAAAAAUGGGGAGUCGCUUUUUUUUUUAAAUGUUUUAAAGUCUUCCAUAACUUGUCCUCAAGUUAUGGAACUUGAAGAGUUUUUCAUUAAAACUACUUUGAACACAUAAGCUAUAGAAUUGAAAAGUUUUUUAAUAGUUCAAAACAUUCCCUCAAGUUUUGGAAUUUUCAAAGUUUCCCCUCAUGAAUACUUUAAUUCCAUAUUAAGCCCUAAGAAUUUUAAAAGUUAAAAUUCAACCCUUAUACUUUAUAGUAUUGUAAGUUAAUAAUAUAUAGAUGUAUAAGAACAAAGUCAGUCUUACCGUUAGUAGACCUCAUUCACGAAGCCGGUCUAUAAGGGGGUAUAAGGUUACUACCUAUAAAAUGGCAGUUUAAUGGGUGUCCACUCUUACCCACCGCUUCCUUGACUGGUGGAGAACGUUAGCCAAACGGGUAGGACAAGGACUAGAAUUCUCCAUUCAUUAAAUGUAUUAAUGAUAAAUAUAAAGUAACUAAACCUUUUGUAAAUUCCAAAUCUUAGUUACUUCAGGAAAAUAUGAAUUUGUUGCUAAUCCAUGAAAUUACGCUUUGCACUUUGCUUAAGUCGGUUAGUGGAGCGCGUGUGGUUAACCGGCACACUAGGUUGAUUUAACAAGGUAGGCAAAAGGUAACUUAAUGUUUAUCAUAGUAUCGGUUGAGCUCGUUUGGUUAACCGGCACAUCGAUUGAGGGGUAAAUAUUAAGGGUACCAAGUAUAUUUGCAUGGUUAUUCACACCUUGUUUUGUGAUCCUCGACAUCCCAGUCACAAAACUUGAGAGGGCAUAAUCAAGAUUGAAACAUGCCAUUGAAAAGUUCAAUGAAUCUCAAAGGAUCUAGGAGUUUCAAAUCCAAUUAAAACCUAGUAUAUUAUUUUGUUUUUCAUGGUGGAAAUUGGUGAAUCGUCAUUCGUCUACCUUCAAAUAUUCUAUACCUUGGAUUAUGGCAUACCUGUUCUAAGUUAUAAAAUAUUGUUUUGGGUCCUAGCCUUAAUAUUUCAUAUUAGGUGUUAUAUUAAGGAGUUUAAAUCAACUAUCUUGAAUAUCUCCCAAAAGAUGUCUGGUUCAGACAAUUAUGAUCUUCCGAAAACUCUUGGAACAAGCUUUCCUAAUGAAGAUGAUGUUCCGAAAAUCAUUCUUCACUCCCUCCACCUCCUCCAAUUAUUCUCCCUGACCCACAAGUUCUUGAAUAGCUCAAGGUCACUCAAGCCCUAUUGGCAAGCAAAUUAUAUGUGUGCUCACAUCUUGGAGAUAAAGUCACAUAUUGACAAGCCGGGAGAGUUGGGUGUCAACGUCUUGAGAAAUUUGGUUGUUCAAUAACCUUCUAAGUCUUAUAGUGAGUGUCCUUUGGGACUAAUAUGUAAAAGACUAUGACAUGACCCUUAAUGAUCUUAUCUAUUUGCUUGGUACUACUAAAUCUGCAAUGAUUUGGAGCACUGGUAGAGCCAAUUUGAUUAAGAAGAUCAACUUCCUAGACCUUCGUGGACAUUGACAAUGGUAACACUGAAUAUCCAGAAAAGCCUUCUCUUCCCAAUGGAAAAGGGAUCAGCCAUAGUCAACUCGGUUGACCAAAUGGUAAAAAGAAUGGCUAAGUCUGAGAUAGUCCCAUGUACCAUUCCCAAAGGGUCCAUAUGUUUCUAUUGCCAAAGGAAGGGGCAUUGGUUGCGAAGCUGCCUUAACUACCUGAAAGAUCUGAGAGAAGGUCAAGUCAAAAGUUUGACUCUGUUUUAGGUAAGUCCACUACCUAACUCUCUUAAGUUCUUAUUUGAAGAUUAUAAAUACAUUUUGAUAUAUGACAGGAUCAAGCAAAGGAAAGGAAGCUGAAAAGAAGAGUAUGUUGAAUCUGAUCGCGAAGAUGGAUUUCAAUCGCAUGGUUUGAAGAUCAGAUUCUUGAGCUACUACUUAGGAGUUAGGAUAGAUUACUAGGAAAUAUGUAAUGGCAUAGUUUUCAUUUAAAGCCACAUUGUAAGGGAAAAGUUUUUCUGCAUUUUAUAAAUAAAUAAAAUUUUUAUCUUAUUUUAGUUUAUAUCUCCUUGAAAUGGCUUUUAUUAAAAAUUAAUACUUGUGUGUUUCUAGCAAUAAUGGAAAUGUGAAUUUGAUUCUUUCAUUUGUGGUAGUGCCUAAAUUUACCAAAUAAGGAAAGAUUCUCAUUACCCAAGUUCUCAAUUGGAACGAAACUUAGAAUCAUGCAAGUUGUACAGGAUGAUGAAUGAAAACUUUCAACUUUGGAAAAAUUAAGACUAAUUCCUUGUUCACAUGUAUAUGUGAGUCAAGUGAAGGACUAAGGGAUCGAGUACACAUUCUUGUGCACUGAUCAAGUCCACCACGAAAAGAUCGGUAAGACUAUUCGUCAUGAUUUACAAAAAGUUUAGUAAAUAUGGUUAUACUUACAAGUUUAAGCAUAAUUCUGAAACAUUGGAAAAGUUUCAAUAUAUGGCAGAAUGAAUGAGAAGAAUCAAAUUUGGAAGAAAGAUAAAAGUUUCUCAAAUCUAAAAAGAUGGGAGAGUACUUUAGUAUCAUGUUUUAUGAUCAUCUUAAUGAUUGUGAGACCAUAUCACAAUUCAUCCUCUAGGGACAUCUUAGUGCAUUCUUAUGGCUAAGAAGACGAAUCAUGAAUUAUUGAAAUGGUUAAAUCAAGAAGGUGAUACAUACUUCGUUCCAAAACAAGUCUUAGAGUAAUACUCCAAGAUUGUAAUUUGAGUGACACAUCAUGAAGAAGGUUUAUAACACUUGUCAUAUGUAAGAGUAAAAUGUAUCCUACUCAUGUACAUUUGAAAUUAGGAAGUUGUGAUGUUUUGGAUAAAACAAAGACCAACUAAGGCCAAUUGUUUGAAGUGUUUGUCUUGAUAAAGAAUCUGCACUAUCUCUUGAAUAUUUGGCAAGAAAGUUUUAUAUGUCAACAGGACAGUGGGAGUCUUAAAGAUCAUGAAAGAAUUUCAAGAUCUAAUCAAGAGUAAAACCUGUAGUUUAUCACUAGCACACGACUUGAGGCUUAUAACCUAUCAUGUUGACAUAUUCCUAUUUUUGUGCGCAUUCAAGUUAAAGUUGGAUUUGCAUAUGAUUUCUGAGAGUUCUCAAUUGGUUGCAUAACAACUUGGAAGCAAUGACAUGCCCUUGUGCUUCCAGGUGGCAAGAAGUUAAGCCUGCAUAAGUUCAAUCCAUAUAAGUUUGGAUUUGUCACUAACCUUGUCUUGAGAUUAUGGUUUUGACAAAUUCACAUGGAUAGGAACACAUACAUCAUAAAAUCUAAGUGUCAUAAGGUUUCUCUCCGAUUCAUGAACAUGAUGGUGAGGAAACGCUUUUACUAAGUAGAUUUUAACCAACACAAUAACAUGGACUUGUGAGGAAUGGCAAAGGUCUAAACAAUUGAGACUAUGAUUACGACAUCCCUUUUCAUAGUUCUAAAAUUGUUUAGAUAUACAUGUGUGCUAUCCAAGGAAAGGUGUAUAAUUUUGAUAGAUUUUUAUCAAAGCAUUUCGUAUCAGAAAUUGAACUUUGGUAAGAAAGUCAAUAAAGUAUUGAUUUCUAGAAGUCCAGCUGAUUUAUAAGUACAUGUCAAAGCUAGUGGGAGCAUAAGUGUUAUGCUAAUAAUUUUCAUGUUAAUGGGAGCAUGAUAAUUAUAAUAAGUGUUGCAAGUUAGCAAUGUUAGUUAUAGAAAACAAAAGGUUUCAAUUGGGAAAAAGUUGUUUUGCUAUAAUUAAGGGAGAGUAAAUUGUAGUUCAUUUCAAAUCUAAAAGCUUUGAUCAUGAGAUUUUAAUCAAAUUUAGUCAAGUAUAUAUAUGAAUGUUAUGUCGGAAUGGUUCAACAUAAGGAAAUUCUAUAUAUGGGAAUAUUAUUUGUGUUCUAAAAUUUGAUUAUGAUUAUGGCAUCCCUUUUCAUAAUUUGAAUUAUGAGAACUUGGCAAAUAGAAAUAGAAAUAUUAUAGCAAAAAAAGACUGGUCUAGUAUCAUGUCUUUAUGUGAGACAUCAUGAAUCGUGUCCCAUAUGCUUUGGAUAUAGGAUCGAUUGCAUGUGCUAUAAUAUUCAUCCUUUCUAAAUUUUCCAAAUGCUCAGCGCUUUAAGGGGGGAAAAGUCUAGAAUAGGAUACGACUAAAAUGAUUAAGCAAUUGUCGAGGACAAUCUAAGGUUUACCAAAGAUUGGUUGCUCAGGGACAGUUGGAAGUAUAGUGUAAAUUUUUGGAGAGGACCAUAUUGACAUAUUCUAAAAAAAGGCAACUCUUGUUCAGAAGUGAAGUCAAAAUGAGAAUAUGGAAAUAUUCCCAUAGGUGGAAGUUAUUCAUUAAAUAUGUGUAAGAUUAGGACACUUAAUGCAAGAAGGAUGUUCAAAGUAAUGGACUUUGAAUUUGAGACUUCGUUUCCAUGAAAUGAUCUGCACUGGAAUACUCUGUAAUGUCUGUUCAGAAGUCUUUGUGGCUUUGUGCGUAAUCAUUACAAGAAGAUCAAUGCAUAUAAGUUUAGAAUCUAAUAGAUUUAAGUAAAUGGCAGGAAUUUGGAAUUCUUACAUUUGCAGUAAGGAUUUGGGAUUAUGAAAUGAGAAUCAUUGCAAUUAUAUUCAAUUGAUCUAUUUCACAAAGUAAAGAUCGUAGAAAAACUUAGUGUGCAUACUUGGUGUAUGGCAUAACUAAUGUUUGGAAAAACAUAGUGCACAUACUUGGUGUAUGGAAUGACUAGUGUUUAGAAAAACAUAGUGUACAUGCUUGGAGCAUGGGACAAAUAUUGUUUUAAUUCAAGUAUAAAGUUGAUAAUUUGAAAUAGUAUGUAAUUAAUAACGUGUAAUCAAUAUGUUGAUAAAUAAAAGGUGUUCAAUUUAUAUUCAUAAGUUCUGAGACCAUAUUGGAUUCGGUUAUUCUUGUGCUUUACUUUGCAUGUUUUGACUUCCAGAAUAACUAGGUUGUUCUUCCUAAAUGACUAAGUUAUUCAAACCAUCCACAGUCGGUCAUAUGUUGAAAGUAGAUAUGAAUCAAGAUUGUCAUGAAGCUGGUUUCCAGAUGUCCAAGGUAAUGGACAUAGCAAGAGUUAUUGCAACAUUCAUGAGUGCUCAUAAGUUCUGAGUAUUGGAUUAUACCCAUGCUCAUUUGACUCACUUCAUGGAUUUUAUCACGAGUGAUCAUGAGACGAUAAUAUCUUAUAUUCUUCAAACCUAGAGAUAUGAGUUGUUGCCUAUGAGUUGGUUUCACAUUGAUUGUACGAAAACGCAUUGGUAACUCGAUUUUAUAAAAUGUGCCUUUGUGUAUGAUUCAACAAGUAGUAGAAAAAGCAUAUGAGUCGAAGUUUAUCAAUUCCUUUUACCCUUAAAGGGAUAAAAGUGAUAUUUGUGGGCACCUUGAUGAUUUAGUGAUGACACCCUGAAGUGCUUGGCCAAGCCUGGACUGAUUUGAUUUGUUCCAUUAGUCAGUCUUUAUAAAUCGGAUAUCGGGAAACAACAAAUGGACAGAGAGAAUGAUUAUAAUCCAUGUCUCAGUCCAUACGAUAUCUAGAAUGGAGGAAUAUAUGAUCCCUUAUCUAAUGGAUGCAUCAUUGAUUUGUUCAGAGUUCGACAACAACUUUUAAGAGCUACGAUUGCUAGUCGAGUUUUGAAGUCAUACACAAUAAUAGUUUUAGACUUAUCCAACGUGACAACCCGAAAUUUCUAUCUUGUGCAACCAUUCAAUUCAAUCAAAGUUAGACUUGUUUCUGCUAACUUUUAGCACUGUUUAGAGUCUGUUUGAGUGUUCUAAAGCCUAGUACCUUCAAGAGGUAGUUAUAGGAAGUAUACUCUAGAGUUCAAUGUGCAACAUUCAAGCCUCAAAACUCUAAGAAUUGGAGUUUAUGGCCAUAAAAUAGAUUUUACGGCCGUAAACUCUAUGGUGUAUAUAUGACACUUAGUCAUUUUCAAUCACUUUUACCAUUUCAAGCCAAAGAACUCAUUCUCUCUCAAGUACCAUCCGAAUUUUAUCUUAGAUCUUGAAGAUUGUAAGUGUUUCUUCCAUUGAUUUAUAGAUAUCCUUCUAUAUCUAGUGAUUGUACAUGAUUUCAUCCAUGAAAUCACUUCAUUUGGAUACAUCUUCAAGUGUUCUUCAUAUCUUCAAGAACACCAAGAACACUUAGGUGUUUUGGGCCGAAAACACCCUCCUUUUGCCUUCAAAUUGUAAGUUCCUACCUCAUAUACGUGUUAAUUAGUUAGGAUGUUGAAUUAAGGACUUGAAAACAUAAAGAACUCAAGAACAAAAGGUGUUUACGGCCAAGGCAAUCUCCUUGGGCCGUAAACCCUAAUUUGUGGUGCAAUGUUGCCACAACUCCUUCGUAAGCCUUGGAGCUAAGUCUAGAACACUUCCAGGAAGACGAUAGGACCGUAACACACAAAAUGAUACAAGUUACCAUGAUUUUACGGCUGUAAACUCAUUGCGCCGUAAACCCAUGGGCCGUAAACUCAUGGGGGAUUACCAUUUGGGCUGUAAACUCCUAUGAGAGGCCCUACAACCUUUAGAUGCAUCCCUUGUACUUCUAGCACUUGAAUCAAAGUGUUUUCCAUGUCCUAGGGUGUCUUUAAUUGCAUAAUUAGUUGUUUAAAACACUAAUUAGAUGCUUAUUUGUAUCAUUAUAUGAUAAAUAGGAUCCGUGUGUGUGCUCAAGUCUUCACUUGGCACUUAGCAUCCUUUACCACUUGUUCAUCCAAACCACUUACUACAGGUGAGUUCAUACCCCUUAAUCUACCUUUUAAAUGAUUUUAAAUGCUUUUAUUGGGGGGGGGGGGGAGAAAAGUAGANAUACAAGUUGAAACAUAAUAGUUAUUAUAUCAAUCACAUGUGAUUAAUAACUAUCAAACAAAUGGAUUUGCUAUACUUUUAGCUGUUUUAUCAAACAAACUAUUUCAAAAUGUUUAUCAAACUCUUUUACGUGUUAAACUCUUUAUAAAACUUGUUCUUACAUGCCAAACCUUUACUUUAAACUCUUUUAAAAUUAUAUAUUGUCAAAACAGUGUCUAAUACAUAUAUAUAUAUAGUUAUAUAAGUAAGGUUGGAAGGACUUAGGACUAAUAACUCACUUUAUUUGUUGUUCCUUGUUUGGUUGUGGACUUAGAGUACCCUAUUGUUUGUCCGAGUGUCAAUUGAUCCUUAGUUAUAUAUUAUGUAUAUAUGUAUAAGACAUAAAAGCUUUUGUCUUAGUUCAAUACAUUCAGUUAUGCAAACAACUCUACUAGUAAACUAUAAUAGGCAUAGUUUAGGAAGUCAUUAUUCACUAUUUCUAGUACAAUGAAACAUACAGAGACUCAGUUCAUACAUGAGUCAAUACAUACUAUAACGAGAAGUAGAUAGAGAAUACUAUAACGAGAAACAGAUAGAGAAUACUCUAACGAGAAACAAUACAUACUAUACACUAUACAAGAGAACAUACUAUGAUGAGAAACAAAGAGAACAUACUACAUACUAGACAGAGAGAACAUACAUUGAACUAGUACAUACAAUACAUAUACAAGAAUACUAUAACAUAAAUGUGAGCCAUGGUUUCGAGGCAUGGCAUCACCGCAAUGGCUCGUUUUUUAUCCAGAGUCUCCUGGAGGGAGAGCGUGAAUUUUUGUAUAGAUCCAUACUGGAUUGACUAUCCUACACCGUGUUUGUAACGCCCCAAAAAUAUGUAUCAAAAAUUUUCUUUAAAUCAUUACCAAAGCCAUAUUCAUAAAAACAUAUCAUAAGUCAUAACAUGAAUUCAGAGUAUCAUUUCCAAAAUAUAUUUUCAUUAUCAGAGUAAAACCUCCCAGGCUGACUAAUCAAUGGUGUGUGCCAUGCGAUCACCCCGAGCUCUUCCCUCCGCUACCGGAAGUACGUGAAACCAAAACUGAAAACCGUAAGCACGAAGCUUAGUGAGUUCCCCAACCUACCACAUAACCUGCAUAAACACAUACAACACAUAUUGGGCCAUUCUUGCUAUUUCGUGCCUCGCCCACUACCUCGGGCCUCGCCCACUACAACGGCCCUGCCGCUCCAGGGCCCGCCUAGCUUCGAGCCCCGCUCGGGUACAGAUCUGUUUCACUUAGGCCUCGCCUGUCACUGGGCCUCGCCCGCUAAAAUAUACUAGCUCAUAAACAUAUCACAACGUAUAAGCUAAACAUAUACUAAUGGACCUUGUCCUAAGGCCUCGCCUAUCUUGGGCCUCGGCCUUGUCCUGUUACUGAUGAGUCAUGGAACCCCGUCUACGCUCCUACUGAUAGUGAGAUACGGGCACAACCUACACUCACUCUUUUCCUAACUUGGGCCUCGCCCGUAUUCUGCUGCUAAUGAGACGUGGAACACUGUCCACACUCUGCUAUUGGUGAGAUACGGGACCUCGCCCACACUCACGUCCAUACCAGGCACAUACAAGUGUCACACAGACAACAAGUAUACUCUAUCAAGCAAACCAUUCCUGGGAACCCGCCCGCUAUCAAUGGACCUUGGUCCCAAAUAUCAUACUAGCAUAGAGUGCCUAGGGCUAACCCCCGUGUCUUCCUACUCGUAACUACAUGGGCCGACAUUAUGGCCUUAGACCCAUCCACACAAAGGGAAACUCACCUGGUACUGCUGAACUUGUUGGUAAUACCUCUGGCUGCUGUCUGGCAACUUUCUCUGAACUGCUGCUCCACUAGGUCCCCGAGCUUCAAAUGCUAUGGAAAAUCCCACGAACUCUGGAUCUAUUGACAAUCCUUGAAUCCCCAAUGGUUCCCUUCUUCCUUCUUCCUUCAAAUCACCCAAAAUGGCAAGAAAGCUUGAAUGUGCAACAAUGGAGGCUUAGGGUUUCGUAUUCUGGAUAAGAGAGGCUAUAAGGAACCCUAAGGGAGAUAAUUAGAUGCUUAAAUAGUGCACAAAGUCCUGGAUUUAGGGUUUGCCUCUUCUGACCGGACUCGGCGAGUCCUCUUUGCCGACUCGCCGAGUCGGUUACUUAAUCGAUCCCCCAGAUCCCUUUCCGACUCGUCGAGUUCCUCCAUGGACACGACGAGUUGACCCUUUGACUUAGGGUUUUCUUUCCUUUCUUGGCCUUUCUGAUUUUGAGUGUUACAACUCUCCCCCACUUAAAAUAUACUUCGUCCUCAAAGCUCGCUAUGGCCAACUGACCUAUGAUCUGCCUCCAACACUCUGUAUGGGAACCUAACACCCGCUGGCUGCCUCUGCUGGCCUUCCGCCUGGUUAUUUGACUAACAUUAAUGCUUGCGGAUAAUAAUCUCGGGUCAACCUUGACCUUGAACAUUCUGGGAACACAAGUUACUCAACUGACAAACCUUCUGAUACUCCCCGAGUACUUAUGUUGAACACCCUAGGGGUUCACCCCUGUCUUUCCUUGUGCGAUUUUUGGCCUUUCCAAGGCAACGUUCCAUAACCAACUACUUCCUCUGUCACUGUGAAAGUCCUAUCCUUCACCAACUCCAUUACCCCCCCCACUUCCAGUACGGNCGGGUCUUUACUGCAAGUGUCUGCUGGACACUUCUCACUACUAUAACUUAGUGCUAAGCACCCCUCGAUCAACUAACUGAAUUCCACCAUAGGCUUCUUACCUUCACUGCCACUAACUGAAAAUCUCUGAUGUCCCUUAUCCGCCUUCUGUAUGAAUCGAGACCACCCUGGUCCCUACUGAUCUAUCAAUAUCUGGAUUACCGGCUCCCAUCGGUCGCUAGCCCCAACACAAACUUCUAGUCGCUCCCAGCGAUUACCGAGGAAACUUAGGCUACCUAAUAUUGCCCCCCUAUAUCCUGCCACUCUGGCACUACAAGCCCUGGGAUCCCCGAUCCCCCCUAACUUGACCUUAAGGUCCUUACCAUGUCCCACCUGUGCUACUAAAACUCACGGGCCUCGCCCACAGGUACCAACCGACUACACUACUGAGCAACCCUGCUCUCAGGUCUCACCUAUACCGCUACUCUCAUACGGGUCUCACCCAACUACAUCCUGGAGCGGCCUCUCCCAAGGUCUCACCAUUCUAGGGCUAUGCAUGCAAGCUCCAUACUAUUCUCAUCCACUACUCAUUCCUGAUUCCUACAUGGAUCACUAGGAGGUAAGGGCCUCACCCUAACUCCACUAGCUAAGAGAUAUGGGCCUCCGCCCACACUCUGCUAACUAAGCUGCUAGGGAAUGCUACCGCUUACCCGUAGUCUUACAACACUUUCCAUACUCACUGGUUACUGACGAAAAAUACUGCACCUCUCCUGCCGCUCUACCAUGCUUUACAUGCUAUCUUUGCCACUGAUUACUAACACGAAAGCAUCCCAAGCUAACCAUUCUGAAAAUCCUCAUUCCAACUUUCCCGAGUCCUACAGGCGACCCUCCAACCAAAAUUCCCAACCAGAUACUAACCAUCUCGAAUACAUGAACCAACUGUUGGGAAGUCUGCCAAACUCCCAACGCUGAACUGCUCAACCCAUCAAUCAUUGUGCUACUCCUUUUCCUUCUCCGAGGUCGUGUACUCAUUCUGGAUCUGCAUGCUCUUACCCUUGUUGUAACACCGAAAAACUUUAAAACAAUUUUUCGCAUUUUCCAACACAUUUUUACAAACUCAUUCAUUCAUAAAAUGUCAUAGUAUCAUGUCUUUCUUUCACAAAACAUCUCCCAUGAUCGAAAUACAUAAAAUCCCAUGUGUGUACGAAUCAAGCCGGCGCCUUCCCACGGUCAUCACUGGUACCUGAAACACAUAACACGUAAUUCUGUAAGCAUAAGCUUAGUAAGUUCCUCAAAAUACCACAUAAACACAUAUCAGCCACUCAAGGCUGUAACUCUGUUGACCCUCUGGUCGAAUAUCUCUAUGGGACCCUCUUGGUCCCAUAACUCUGUGAACCCACUGGUCCAAACUCUGUAAACUCUGAAUCAUGCAUAUCACAUAUCACAAUAAAUCACAACACGUAGUAUCAUACAAACACACUGGCAUAUAGCUCUAGAAUACUAUGUCACACAACUCUGUUACCACACUAGGUAAAGUAUAGUGAGAAGACUCACCUCAGGCGUCUCGGUAAAUCUCUGACUCGGUAGUAAAUACUCUUAUAAAUAUAACUCUUAAGACUAGACUCAACCUGCCAUUGGCAACCUCAUAAGGGUAAAAGACUAUUUUACCCCCUCUCGACACAAGUACUGCAUGGUUGACCAAACUCUAAAAGUCAACGGUCACACUUUGACCCUACUCGCCGAGUGCACCCUGGUGACUCAGCGAGGUCACACAUGUUCUCUAACACUUUGUCCCGCUUGGCAUGCCGAUUCCCCCCUAUCGACGAGUCANACAUGAAUCGUGGGGCCACCCCGACUCAACUUGUCGAGUCUCAAGAACAACUCGGCGAGUACCGCCUUCAACUCCAGUCCUCUAACCCCCUUCUGACUCACUGAGUCAUCCCCCAACUCGGCAAGUCUACUCACUGAGCAAUUUACGCGAAACCCUAACCCUACUCGCCGAGUCUCAAGAACAACUAGGCGAGUUCAUGCGAUGCAUAAACUCUACUGACCUCCUGAGGUCAGAUAUGUUUCCCUAAACCAUAGAUAUGGCCUUCCCAAGAAUGAAUGUCACGUAAAGUCCGAAACUUGAUGCUUGUAUAACAACAAGGCAUCAAAAGGAGAUUUAAUCUCAAAAAUGGCAACCUAAGUCCAAUAACCCCAAACUGAUCCAUAAAGCUCCAAGGGUUAAGGUCUCUGGACCACUUUGAGUCCAUAUCCAAGGCACAAACUCGAAGAGGGACCAUUUGCUCCACAUAAUCACUCUCCAAAGGGGUUAGAAAACCCUAACUCUAAUGAUCAACACCAAAACUGGAGGAGGUUCGAACCAUUACCUCAAAAUGAUGUCUCUGAACUCUGGAACUGAUAGAAUCACACCUCCCCUUUGCUCUUGGUCACCUCCUUCUUGCUAAACCAAAGGUACAAAGAUCAAAAGUGACUUCUUCUUCCUCACAACGACUUGGCUCACUUAGGGUUCUCUCAAGGGACUUGGAGCCGUAAUGCGAGGCUAUAAGUGCCCUUAAAUAGGCUCCAAACCCGAGGGAUUAGGGUUUCAUUAAACAGCGUGGACUCGCCGAGCCCGGACGUGAACCCGGAUGAAUAUUCGCGACCCUACUCGGCGAGUCUUUGCUCCAACUCGCCGAGUUCCUCCACAAACUCCAAAAUAAUUAAAUAAAAUAAUAUACCUGGAAAUCCGGAUGUUACAAUUCUCCCCCACUUGAAUCAGACUUCGCCCUCGAAGUCUCACUCUAGAAACAACUAUGGAUGCUACUCACGCAUCUCACGCUCCGACUCCCAAGUAAGCUCUGACCCUUUCCAGUGUUGCCACUGGACCUGCACCAGAGGCACUUCUUUGUUCCUGAGAACCUUGAUCUUUCGAUCCCGAAUAGCCACUAGUCUCUCAACGUAGUUCAGGCCCACAUCCACCUGAAUAUCCUCUAAUGGCACUACUGCUGACUCAUCGGCUAUACACUUUCGCAACUGCAGCACAUGGAAAGUGUCAUGAAUCUAACCCAACUCUGCAGGUAGCUCCAUCCGGUAGGCUACCUUGCCUACCCUCGCGGUCACCCUAAAAGGACCGAUAUAUCGGGGCCCCAACUUGCCCCUCUUCCUGAAUCGGACCACUCCUUUCCAAGGAGAGACCUUCAGGAGUACAAAGUCGUCGACCUGGAACUCGAGCUCAGACCGGCGCCUAUCCGCAUAACUCUUCUGACAACUCUGAGCGGUCAAUAACCUCUGCCUGACCUGCUGUAUCUGCUUAGUCGUCUGAAGUACGAUCUCUGUACUACCCAUCACACGCUGCCUGACUUCUCUCCAACAAAUGGGGGUCCGACACCUUCUCCCAUACAACAGCUCAAAGGGUGGCAUACCAAUGCUCGAAUGAUGGCUGUUGUUGUAGGAAAACUCUGCCAAGGGCAAAUACGUAUCCCAACUCCCGCCGAAAUCCAGCACACAUGCCCUGAGCAUAUCCUCAAGUGUCUGAAUCGUCCGCUCGCUCUGUCCGUCAGUCUGGGGGUGGUGUGCGGUACUAAAAUGCAGCCUAGUACCCAAUUCCUCAUGAAAUUUCUUCCAGAAUCUGGAAGUGAAACGCACAUCUCGGUCUGAGACAAUCGAGGUCCGCACUCCAUGCCGCGAUACCACUUCCCUCACGUACAUCUCUGCCAACUUUUCUACGGAAGAGCACUCACUGAUAGCAAGGAAGUGGGUGCUCUUUGUCAACCUGUCCAUAAUCACCCAAAUUGCGUCGACUCCCGUAGCAGUUGUUGGCAAUUUGGUGAUAAAAUCCAUGGUAAUCUGUUCCCACUUCCACUCAGGAACCUCCAACGGCUGCAACUUACCAUGCGGUCUCUAGUGCUCAGCCUUAACCCUACGACAGGUUAAGCACCUCUCAACAAACCACGUGACAUCCCUCUUCAUACAGGGCCACCAAUACUCCCUCUUCAGGUCUAAAUACAUCUUAGGGGCCCCAGGAUGGAUCGAGAACUUCGAUCGAUGAGCCUCUUCCAUCAAAAUGGUACGCGUCCCGCCCACAAACGGUACCCAGAUUCGACCCUGAAAUGUCAUAAGCCCCCGACUAUCGGUAAUGAACUCCGAUACCAUCCCUACAACUCUCUCUCUCUUCUGGUUUUUUGACCUCCGGCCUCAGCCUGGGCCCCAUGAAUGGUAUCCAACACCGGAGCCAUCACGGUCAAUCUCAAACAAACAUCUCGCAUCGGAGCGGUUUCCUCCCUUCGACUCAGUGCAUCGGCUACAACAUUAGCCUUACCCGGGGGGGACAGGAUCUCGCAGUCAUAAUCCUUUACCACAUCCAACCAGCUCCUCUAGUGCAUAUUCAGGUUGGGCUGAUCCAUCAAGUACUUCAAGCUCUUGUGGUCCGUGUAUAUGGUACACCGAACCCCAUACAGAUAGUGACGCUAGAUCUUGAGGGCGACCACCACUACCCCCAACUCUAGAUCGUGGGUGGGAUACCUCGUCUCAUGAGGCUUCAGCUGCCUCGAUGCGUAUGCUAUCACAUGCCCUCUCUACAUCUGCACCGCUCCCAACCCCGAGAUUGACGAAUCACAAUACACCACAAAGUCCUCCAUUCCCUACGGAAGGGCUAACACCGGGGCUUCGCAUAGUCUCUGGCGAAGUGUCUCGAAGGAGGCCUGCUGCUCUGGGCCCCAUGAAAAAGCAACACCCUUCCGGGUCAACCUGGUGAGUGGCACUGCGAUCUUGGAGAAAUCCCUGAUAAAUCUCCGGUAAUACCCUGCCAGACCUAACAAACUCCUGAUAUCGGUGGGUGACCUCGGCACCUCCCAACUCAUCACUGCCUCAACCUUGGCCGGGUCGACCAAUACCCUUUCUGGUUAAUGAGGUGUCCUAGGAACUGGACCUCUCGCAACCAGAAAUCGCACUUGGAGAAUUUGGCAUAAAGCCUCUCCGAUCUCAGAACCCCGAGGAUCUCCCUCAAAUGAUUCUCAUGCUGCUCUCUGGAACACGAAUACACCAAAAUGUCAUCGAUGAAUACGAUCACCAAGCGAUCCAACAUCGGCCUGCACACUCUGUUCAAGAGGUCCAUGAACACCGCCAAUGCGUUGGUGAGUCCGAAAGGCAUCACCUCAAACUCGUAAUGUCCAUAACGAGUCCUGAACGCUGUCUUCUAGAUGUCCUCAUCUUACACCCUUACCUGAUGAUACCCAAACCUCAAAUCGAUCUUGGAGAACCAAGAUGCUCCCUGCAACUGAUCGAACAAAUCGUCGAUCCUCGGCAACGGGAAACGGUUCUUGACUGUCAGCUUGUUCAACUCCGGGUAAUCAAUGCACAUCCGGUAUGAACCAUCCUUUUUCUUGACAAAAAUGAUACGUGCUCCCCACGGCGAGCUGCUCGGCCGAAUAAACCCCUUCCCUAGCAACUACUGAAGCUGCGAGGAUAACUCUUGCAUCUUUGGAGGUGCAAGGUGAUAGGGCACCUUGGCGAUACGCGCGACCCUCGGGACCAAAUCGAUACUAAAGUCCACCUGCCUCACGGGAGGCACACCCGGCAACUCCUCCGGAAAUACGUCCGGGAACUCCCGCACUAUCGGAACCUCAUCAACUAACCUCGGUCUCUUGGAAUCAUCCCUCGUAUCCAUCACAUACACUACAAAACCCCUACAUCCCUGAUGUAGACAUUGUCUUGCCCUAGCGGCCGAACAAUAUGCUAACCCAAAACUUGUACCCUCGCCCUACACCAUAAGAACUCCCCCACUAGGGUCUCGUAUGGUCACCAGCUGUCGCUCGCAGUCGAUAAUCGCUCCGAAUCUGCUCAACCAGUCCAUGCCCACGAUGACACAGACAUCUCCCAUCGCAAUAGGAACUAAAUCAAUUGGGAACUCAACACCAAAAAUAUCGAGUACACACCCUUGGAUCACCUCUGUGGCAUAUACCGCCCUCUCGUCAGCUAUGGAAACUCUCAGAGGUCGACUCAAUGCCUCAUGACUAGCACUGAUUUGCUGACUAAAAUCCAAAGAUACAAAAGACCGACUCGCACCCGAGUCAAAUAACACCAAGGCAGGUACACAACUCACAAGAAAAGUACCUACGCAUAACAUAAUAUAAGCACAAUAUCUCAACAUCAACAUAAAUAUACGAAAGAAUACAUACCAGCCACGACGUCGGGCACUGCGUGGACCUCCUCCGCGGUCAACUGAAAGGCUCUCCCUCGUGCGUUCGGUGCCUCGGCCUUCACUGGCCGGCUCUUAGUAGCUCUGAUAGCAGCAGGGGCAGAUCCCUGAGAUGCUCCUUGUGCUGAUCCCCGCUGCGGACACUCUGCCUUCCGGUGUUCGGUUUGGUUGCAGUUAAAACAUACUGCAAACCCUUUAGGGCAAUCCUUGGCCAUAUGCCCCUCCUUGCCACAUUUGUAGCAAGACCCUGCUCUGCACACCCCAUUGUGGCUCUUUCCGCACUUGCCAAGUGCGGCNGAUCUCGAAUCAGCGGGAUUGGCCUGCUUGGCUACCGGCUGAGACUGUACCGGUCGCCGAUCCCUCCCCUGAGACUCAACCUAUUCCCUAGCCUGGGUCUCCAGCUCUAUCUCCCUCUUCCGGGCAUUUGCCUGAAGCUCGGCAAAUGUCCGGUACGUCGAGUUCGCCACAAACUCUCAUAUAUCCCUCCUCAAAAUGCUCAGACAUCGGCUCAUACAUGUCUGCUCGGAGGACACAUGCUCUGGGAAGAACAUUGCCCGCUCAUGGAACAUCCUCGUAAUCACUGUAACAGACUCAGUACCCUGCUUGAGGGUCAGAAACUCCUGGGCCAAACGCUCCCUCUUUACCUGGGGAACGUACUCAUCUCGGAACAUAGAAGUGAAUCUCUCCCAGGUCACUGCAGCAAGCUCAGCAGGCGUAUAGUGUGCCGUCACAAACUUCCACUAAUCCUUCGCCCCCAAGAGAAGCUGGUUCAGCGCGAACCGAACUCUCAAAUGCUUUGGAGAUGAGCAAGUAAAGAAACACCCCUCUAUGUCUGAAAUCCACCUCAUUGUUGCAAUCAGAUCCUGGGUCUCGUCCAACUCCGGUGGUUUUGUGUUGCUGAACUCUCGGAAGAGAAACACAUCACCACCCUGCGGCCUACUCGCAGCUAUAGCUGCAGUGGCCGUAGCAACAACAGCCUCAUAAAGAGAAGCGUACUUCUCAUCAAAUAUCUCUAUCAGCGUGGUCUUGAUAGACCCGAACAUCUCGAGUAUCUCUACCCUGAUGGCCGCAGCCACCUCCUCCUGGAUCAUCCUACGGAUCUCCUCAUCACUCGUACUGCUGCCCCUUGGUGUGUGGCGUGUCCCAACCAUGAUCUCCCUCUCUCUGAAAUACAACACAAGAAUAAAUAUUAGGGACUCGCUCGAGUAUGCUCACACUCGAAUACUCCACCCUACUUGUCCCUUGGUACUCCAAGGAUUCUUACUUGAGUUGUGCACUGACCCGGUGUCUUUAGUAGUACGGGCCCAAUACUACUGUUCACACCACAUCAACAUUCACCCCAAGUCCUCCUCCCAGAGUCCCAAAUCCCAAGUACUCUACUCUCUCUAAUCAUAUGAUACUCACUGGCAGAUCUCUCAUAAUCUCCUUGCUGCUACCUAAACACUCUAAAGUAUCCCUAGCAGCAAGACUCCUAUACUCAGGCAUCACAUAUCAGGCCACUCUAGUCAUAAUAAGAAUACCUAGUCUACUCUGGCAUGCAUAGCAUAGCUCAUCAUAUAACAUAUCAUAUCAUAUCUCAUAACACUUAUUGUAAUGGUAUUUUGGGAAAUCACCGUUCGGGCGCUGGCUGUUCGUACGCACGACUCUUAUCUGUUUGUCUCGAAAGUUCUUCUUUUGAAAACUUAUUUUAUUAUCGAAAUUUCCUCAAAUCCUCAGUUUGAGUUCAGAUACACCAGAAUCCAUCAAACCAAGGCUCUGAUACCAACUUGUAACACAGUAAAAAUUUAAAACAAUUUAUCGCAUUUUCAAACACAUUUUUACAAACUCAUUCAUUCAUAAAAUGUCAUAGUAUCAUGUCUUUGUUUCACAAAACAUAUCCCAAGAUCGAGAUACAUAAAAUCCCAUGUGUGUAUACGAAUCAAGCCGGCGCCUUCCCGCAGUCAUCACUGGUACCUGAAACACAUAACACGUAACUCUAUAAGCAUAAGCUUAGUGAGUUCCCCAAAAUACCACAUAAACACAUAUCAGCCACUCAAGGCUGUAACUCUAUUGACCCUCUACUCGAAUAUCUCUGUGGGACCCUCUUGGUCCCAGAACUCUUUGGACCCACUGGUCCUAACUCUGUAAACUCUGAAUCAUGCAUAUCAAAUAUCACAAUAAAUCACAACACGUAGUAUCAUACAAACACACUGGCAUAUAGCUCUAGAAUACUCUGUCACACAACUCUGUUACCACACUAGGUAAAGUAUAGUGAGAAGACUCACCUCAGGCGUCUCAGUAAAUCUCUGACUCGGUAGAAAUAUUGCCUAGUCUCCGCCUAUUUACAUAAAGUAAAUACUCUUGUAAAUAUAACUCUCAAGACUAGACUCAACCUGCCAUUGGCACCCUCAGAAGGGUAAAAGACUAUUUUACCCCCCUCUUGACACAACAACUCCAUGGUUGACCAAACCCUAAAAGUCAAUAAAAGUCAACAGUCACACUUUGACCCUACUCACCGAGUGCACCCUGGUGACUCGGCGAGUUCACACAUGUUCUCUAACACUUUGUCCCGCUUUGCACGUCGAGUCCCCCUUAUGCUCGACGAGUCAUACCAGGCAUGAAUCGUGGGGCCACCCCGACUCAACUUGCCGAGUCUCAAGAAGAACUCGGCGAGUACCGCCUUGAACUCCAGUCCUCUAACCCCCUUCUGACUCUUUGAGUCAUCCCCCAACUCGGCAAUUCUACUCACUGAGCAAUUUACGUGAAACCCUAACCCUUCUCGCCGAGUCUGAAGAACAACUCGGCGAGCUCAUGCCAUGCACAAACUCUACUGACCUCCUGAGGUCAGAUCUGUUUCCCUAAACCAUAGAUCUGGCCUUCCCAAGCCUAAAUGUCAUGUAAAGUCCGAAACUUGAUGCUUGUAUAACAACAACAAGGCAUCAAAAGGAGAUUUAAUCCCAAAAAUGGCAACCUAAGUCCAAUAACCCCAAACUGAUCCAUAAAGCUCCAAGGGUUAAGGUCUUUGGACCUCUUUGAGUCCAGAUCCAAGGCACAAACUCGAAGAGGGACCAUUUGCUCCACAUAAUCACUCUCCAAAGGGGUUAGAAAACCCUAACUCUAAUGAUCAACACCAAAACUGAAGGAGGUUCGAACCAUUACCUCAAAAUGAAGUCUCUGAACUCUGGAACUGCUAGAAUCGCACCUCCUCUUUGCUCUUGGUCACCUCCUUCUUGCAAAACCAAAGGUACAAGGAUCAAAAGUGACUUCUUCUUCCUCACAACGAUUUGGCUCACUUAGGGUUCUCUCAAUGGACUGGUAGCCGCAAUGGGAGGCUAUAAGUGACCUUAAAUAGGCUCCAAACCCGAGGGAUUAGGGUUUCAUUAAACAACGUGGACUCACCGAGUCCAUAAAUGGACUCGCCGAGUCCGGAUGUGAACCCGGAUGAACAUCCGCGACCCUACUCGGCGAGUCUUGGCUCCAACUCGCCGAGUUCCUCCACAAACUCCAAAAUAAUUAAAUAAAAUAACAUACCUGGAAGUCCGGAUGUUACACUUGUAUACUCGGAGGGUUCUCCCCCACUUUGAUCCUGCUUAUACCUCACUGCUCAAUGUUUUGGCAAGAAUUUCUGUUGAAACAUAAAAGUGAUCCUCUUGAACUAAGGUACCCAAAUCAUCUAUCAACCGCAACCGUUCACCAUCAGCAAUCAUAUCAGCAUCCGGAGUCAACAAGUCUUCAGCAUCCGCAGUCUUUGUUAUUUCCUUUACUUAUCUUUAUGUAAUGUACUCUAUCAUCCAGCAUGCCUUGCACGGAUUCUUAUAGAGUACUUUAUUUUUGAGACUAUAUAAAUAGAGACUCUUUCUAAUGUAUUCAGUACACCUCUUAACUUCUUAAUACACAAGAUUUCUUCCUCAACUAUUUCUCUCGAUGACUUGUGAAUUAUUCUGAAUAUAUUUCUCCAAGUUAUCUUCUUCUCUUCUCUAUCCUACUACUCUUCAGACUCUAAACUGCUACUGAAACAUAACCUCUCUUUGGAGCAAGUCUUCUAGACUUAAUCACUAAACUUGAUCUUCCUUACUAACUCGGAGUGAGUGCAUUCCUUGUUAUGAAUCAGUUUAAGCGUAUUCUUGAUAUAACAAUUGUUGUCAUUUAUAUUUCUUUACUUUUCGCAACCAAAGGAGAUUUAAUCCGCAAUAUACUUGUUGAGCUUUAGAUCCUUUGAGAUUAACUAUUCCGCAAUAUACUUGUUCUAACGUUUGUUUAAUUGUGUCUCCAAGUUUUUCUCUCAACAGUUGGUAUCAGAGCCAAAGUGGUUGCUUUUUAAAUAUUGGAACUAUGAUUUUCUCAUUAUUCCUUCUAUACCACUAAAGCUCAUUUCUCAAAAAAAAAAAAAACAAAAUGGCACAAUCGUUAUCUCUAAAUGUCUCCAAUAGUGUUGCUGGUUCUAACCAAGAUCCAAUACUAAUAGCAAAUGAAUAUCAUCACUGGUCACAAAGAAUGGAGAGGUACUUAAGAAGACUAGGUAGAGAUGUAUGGCGAUCCGUGGAAGAAAGACCACACGUUCCAGUCCAAACUGACGGCGCGAUAGCCAGGCUAGGAGGAGGUCAACCAACCAUGAGCCGUCCUACCAAGGAUUAUCUCGAUAAAAUGGAAAAUGAUGUCAUUGCUUUUUAUGAAAUUUCUUGUGAUGUUGCUCCUGACAACUUUGAUAUUAUCAUAAAUUGCAAGUCAGCAAAAGAGAUCUGGGAUAUACUCAAAAACCUGUAUGAAGGCUCAGAACAGGCACAAGAUAAGAAGCUCACUACUGCACUCAACAACUUCAACAACUUCAAAGCUCAUGCGGGUGAAAGUUUGGAAGACUCCUUCAAGAGAUUCAACUUGAUAGUCACAAAGUUAUCAAAUGCUGGUACCAUCCGCAGCAACCAUGAAACCAAUCUCCAGUUCCUUAAUGGCUUAGGACGACAAUGGACUAUGGCCAAAAUGAUAGUCCAAGGUGACAGGAAGAUUCACUCUUUAUCACUCUAGAAAAUCUAUGGAGAACUCCAAGCACAAGAAUCCAUUGUACUCAAAGACUGUACUGACUUCGGAGGACCGCUUGCUCUCAUAGCACAAUGUUUACCGCAGUCACCCUACUCUUCAUCAUAUGAUACCCCACCAUAGUCAUACGAAGCGGAUUCUGAGUAUCAUGAUGAAGAAGAAUUUCAUAAAGCUAUUGCUCUAGUUGGCCAACAGUUCAACCGCAUACCACCUUCUUCUUUCCGCAAGAAUCAACAAUUCAACAAAGCUCCCUUCAACCGUAACUUCGGUCCUCAGAAUAACCACUCUCGAUAUCCUAAAAGCUCUCAGAACAAUCAACCAAAGGAGGUACCGCAGUCUCCUCAGAACAAUAACUCCGAUACUCAAUCAGAAGACAAGACUGAUGUUGUGAUUUGUCACAAAUGCAAUAAAGAAAAUCACUUUCCAAAAGAGUGUAAGGCCAAAGUAGUCAAGGACAGAGCAUUCUACCUUAGAAUGGAUCAAGAGUUGGAAGAAAAAGAAAAGGCAAGGGCAUAUGUGGCUCAAGUUAAAAUAGACCAUAAAGUUUUGUCAUCAGAAGAUGAAGAAGAAACCAUCAGCAGUGUUAAAGGAAAAGGGAAAAUCUGCAUGCUGGCCACUGCGGAUGAUGAUGGGUCAGCAAUGUUGAACAAAAACUACUGCUACAUGGCAAAGGAUGGAACUCUAAGCAUCGUUGAACAGGUAAAACUUAUGAUCCAAACUGUAAAUUAUAGUAUGCAUGACUGUCAACCAUACAUAGAUGAUCUUACUAACACUUGUGUUGCCGUCCUUACAGACUAUAACAAAGCCCUAGAUGAGAACAACAUUGCGUCCCAAGAGAUGUUCCAUGUGAGAGGAAGACUGGAUAACAAGAAACUUAAAAUGGCAAUGUUAGAAAAGGAUCUAAAGUUAGAGAAAGAUGGUAGAAUGUUAAGUGAAACCCAAUUAGAGAUAGCUUUGAACCAGAGAGAUUUAGCUUAGAUGGAAAUUGUACGCUUAAAUCUAUUAAUUGAAAAAUUGUUUAAUGAAAGUGAGGCUGUUGAAAAUUUGGUAAAUAAUGGAACUGUGGACAAUACAUAUAAUUGGGGUUGGUCAAAUGGGUAUCCUACCGCAAUGGAUUCCUCACCCCGGUUCAACAAAGACAGAGUGUAUGUCCCUCCUGAUAGAGAAUUUCAUUUUCCUGUCAAUGAUAAGACUUUUCUCGAAGAUAUCAAAACUCACUUCAGAAGAUUACACAAUUUGAGAAAUAAUUGUGUCAGUGAGGAAAUUGUGCCCGAAGAUUCUAGUCAUACAUGUGAUCAAACUCCCAUCAGUGGCACCACUCUUUAAAAUUCUCAAACUUGAUCCGUAGUUGAUGAAGAAAUUGUUGUUGAAGGCCCCAAAGUCUCAAAGGACUUUCCAUCUUUGUCCUCGGACCACAGUGUUCCACAUUAUAGUCAAUUGUCCCAGAAGUGUUCCACCGCAGUCUCAUCUAAAACCUACUCUGUGGUAGUCAAAUCAUCUUUGCAAAAACCAUCAGUUCAAGGAACUACAACACUUCAGCCCAUUUUUCAUGAGUUACCUAUAGAAAAUUUUGAUCUAGGUAAAUGCUCUCAAAUUCCAGAAUCCUCAAGUUCUGAUGAUUCUAGUCCACGUUUUCAAAAUCGUUCAAAAAAUCCCAGGAAACUGCAGUUGAAUAACAAUGACUGCGGUUCACCAGAAUCUUUGGCAAAAAGAGCUUUCAAAGAAGAAAUUAUAUCUCGAAACAAAGGCAGACAAAGUUUUUCAAAAAAUAAGAAACAUGUGAGAAUUCCAAAAUCCAAGAGUCCAUAAAAAUUUGUUUUCACAAAUUACAUUUCAAAAAACUCUUAUUUCAUGAAAACAAGCAAAAAGGGAAGUUCAGUCUCGAAAGUCAUUCCUGCUACUUCUGACACAACCCAUAAAGGUGUCAAACUCACAAGAAACUACGUUUUUCAGGUCUAUUCCCCAGAUGUGUAACAACGCAAAUUUUCGAACAAAAUUUUCAUUUAAAAUAAAGUGAAUUAUUUCAACCAAAUAUAAUUAUUCCAAAUUUCAUAUCAAAAUACAAUCAUAAAAUCCCCAAGAUCUCAAAACAUCAACAGUGUGUACGCGUCAUGCCGGCGCCUUCCCACGGUCCUCGCUAGUACCUGAAACACAUACAUGACAACUGUAAGCAUAAAUGCUUAGUGAGUUCCCCAGUAUACUACUUACGCAUAUACGCCUUUCCAGGCCUUGAGAUAAUCGCCUUCCGGCCCAUAACAUAUUGCCUUCCGGCCCAUAACAUAAUGCCUUCCGGCCCAUAACAUAAUGCCUUCCGGCCCAUAACAUAUUGCCUUCCGGCCCAUAAACAUAUACAACAAUUAAUACAUUAAUCUUAACACAUAUAGCACGCAUAGCAAAUACCUUACCAUUUAUAGCACGUAUAACACAAAUCAUAUCCGACCUUCCGGUCACACAGUCAAACCCUUCCGGGUACAGUAUAGUGAGAAGACUCACCUCGCGGGUAAUGAAAGCUAGCGACUCCUGAAAUCACUCGCACUCGAUCCGCCGAGCUACAGACUCCCUAUAAUAUCAUAUAUCCCUUAUUAAUACUUUUAUCUUUCAAGACAACUGACCCUAAGAAAUUACAUGUAGGUCAACUCUGGUCAACGGUCAACGGUCAACUCGACUGGACUCGGCGAGUACCAUGGCGACUCGGCGAGUCUAGUCGUCCUCACAAAUUCCUGAAUAUUCCCUUUCUACUCGUCGAGUAUCCCUCUUGACUCGACGAGGUCCUCGUGGAAGAAUCGCGGGGCCACCCCGACUCCACUCGCCGAGUCUGAUGAACAACUCGGCGAGUCCCAGCAAAUCUUCAAGCUACUCGCCGAGUCUGAAGAACAACUCGGCGAGUCCAUGCCAUGCAGACGAGUAACUGCUUCCUGAGAUAGGUCUCGUCCCGAAGUACACAUGCAUGGGACCUUCUGGACCUCUAAAGGUCCUAAUACAAGACUAUAAUCGUGGGGUAACAAGGCAUUACUUCAUCAAAUCACUAAAUGGGUUCUAUAAACCCUAAUUUCAUAAAUACAUCAAAAUAACAGAUUUGGUCCGAGUAUUACCUGAAAACGCACUCUCUGUGUCCCCCAAAUCUCAGGACUCAAUCCUCCUUGAUAUUCCUUUAGCCAAAUCCCUCUUCUUCUUGCCUAACCAAUUCUUCCAAGUUCCAAAGCUUUCUCCCUUGCUCUAGGCGUCCACAGCGAUUAGGGUUCCUCUCAAUUGACCAAAAGACUGAAAAUGACGGCCUAAGAGGCGUUAAAUACGAUCCAAACUGAACGGUUAGGGUUUCUGCUGAACAGCGUCGACUCGCCGAGUCCAUAUCUGGACUCGUCGAGUCCAGUCGCGGACCCGCGACCAAGUCUGCGAUCCUACUCGGCGAGUCUAGGCUCCAACUCGCCGAGUCCCCUCUUAAAUCACCCCAAAAACAUAAUUUUAAUAAUACCUGAGAUUCCGGGCUGUUACAACUCUCCCCCACUUGGAUUAGACUUCGCCCUCGAAGUCUCAUUCUGCAAAUAGUUCCGGAUGCUGCUCCCGCAUUUCGCGCUCCGGUUCCCAAGUCAUUUCUGAUCCCUUACGGUGUUGCCAUUGAACCAACACCAGAGGUACCUCCUUGUUCCUCAGAACCUUGAUCUUCCGAUCCCUGAUAGCCACUGGUCUCUCCGCGUAAUUCAGGCUCGCAUCCACCUGAAUAUCCUCCAAUGGAACCACUGCCGACUCAUCGGCUAUGCACUUCCUCAACUGCGACACAUGAAAAGUGUCAUGGAUCUGACCCAACUCCGCUGGCAACUCCAACCGAUAGGCUACCCGACCUAUCCUUGCAAUCACACGAAAUGGCCCAAUAUACCGGGGCCCCAACUUGCCCCUCUUCCUGAAUCGAAUCACUCCUUUCCAAGGAGAGACCUUCAGGAGAACGAAGUCGCCGACCUGAAAUUCAAGCUCGGAUCGGCGCCUGUCUGCAUAACUCUUCUGUCGGCUCUGGGCAGUCAAUAACCUUUGUCUCACUCGCUGAAUCUGCUCUGUCGUCUGGAGCACGAUCUCCGUGCUGCCCAUCACUCUCUGUCCCACCUCUCCCCAGCAAAUGGGGGUCCGACACCUCCUACCAUACAACAGCUCGAAAGGUGGCAUACCAAUGCUCGAAUGAUGGCUGUUGUUGUAGGAGAACUCUGCCAAUGGUAAAUACGCAUCCCAACUACCCCCGAAGUCUAACACACACGCUCGGAGCAUGUCCUCCAGCGUCUGAAUUGUCCGCUCGCUCUGACCGUCUGUCUGGGGAUGGUAUGCGGUACUAAAAUGCAAUUUAGUACCCAGCUCCUCAUGGAAUUUCUUCCAGAAUCUGGAAGUAAAGCGCACAUCACGGUCUGACACAAUCGAGAUCGGCACCCCGUGCCGAGAUACCACCUCUCUCACGUAUAUCUCCGCCAAUUUCUCCGCCGAAGAACUCUCACUGAUGGCAAGGAAGUGUGCACUCUUUGUCAACCUAUCCACGAUCACCCAAAUUGCGUCAACUCCCCUAGCAGUCCUCGGCAAUUUGGUGAUAAAAUCCAUAGUGAUCUGUUCCCACUUCCACUCGGGGAUCUCCAAUGGCUGUAACUUGCCAUGCGGUCUCUGGUGCUCAGCCUUAACCCUACGGCAGGUCAAGCACCUCUCAACGAACCAUGCCACGUCCCUCUUCAUACAGGGCCACCAAUAUUCCUUCCUUAAAUCCAAAUACAUCUUUGUAGCACCGGGAUGGAUCGAGAAUUUCGAUCUAUGAGCCUCUUCCAUCAACGUAAUACGCGUACCGCCCACGAACGGUACCCAAAUCCGACCCUGAAACGUCAUAAGGCCUCGACUAUCCUUGACAAACUCUGAGAUUAACCCCACAACCCGCUCUUUCUUCUGCAUUUCUGGUCGCACAGCCUCUGCCUGGGCCCCACGAAUAGCGUCCAAUACUGGAGUCAUCACAGUCAGUCUCAAGCAUACAUCUCGCAAUGGAGUGCUCUCCGCCCUGCGGCUCAAUGCAUCGGCUACCACAUUAGCCUUGCCUGGGUGGUACAGGAUCUCACAAUCAUAAUCCUUGACCACAUCCAACCACCUCCUCUGACGCAUAUUUAGGUUGGGUUGAUCCAUCAAAUACUUCAAACUCUUAUGGUCCGUGUAUAUCGUACAUCGAACCCCAUACAAGUAGUGACGCCAAAUCUUGAGAGCGAACACUACUGCCCCCAACUCUAAAUCAUGCGUGGGAUAUCUCGCCUCAUGAGGCUUCAGCUGCCUCGACGCAUAAGCUAUCACAUGACCCCUCUGCAUCAACACUGCACCCAAUCCCGAAAUCGAUGCGUCGCAAUAUACCACGAAAUCUUCCAUCCCUUCUGGGAGAGCUAAUACCGGGGCUUCGCACAAUCUCUGGCGAAGUGUCUCAAAGGAGGUCUGCUGCUCGGGCCCCCAUGAGAAUGUAACACCCUUCCGGGUCAAUCUGGUGAGUGGCACUGCGAUCUUGGAGAAAUCCUUGAUAAAUCUCCGAUAAUACCCUGCCAACCCAAGGAAACUUCUGAUCUCAGAGGGUGACUUCGGCACCUCCCAACUCAUCACCGCCUCAACCUUGGCCGGAUCGACCAAUAUCCCUUUCUGAUUAACCACAUGUCCUAGAAACUGGACCUCCCGCAACCAGAAGUCACAUUUGGAGAACUUUGCAUAAAGCUUCUCCGACCUCAAUACCUCAAGGACCUCCCUCAAAUGCUCCUCAUGCUGCUCUCUAGAUCUCGAAUACACCAGAAUGUCGUCGAUAAAUACAAUCACUGACCGAUCCAACAUCGGCCUGCAUACCCUGUUCAUGAGAUCCAUGAACACAGCCGGGGCAUUGGUGAGUCCAAAAGGCAUCACCACAAACUCAUAAUGUCCAUAUCGCGUCCUAAACGCUGUCUUCUGGACGUCUUCAUCCCGUACUCUCACCUGAUGGUAUCCUGACCUCAGAUCGAUCUUGGAAAACCAAGAUGCUCCCUGCAACUGAUCGAAUAAAUCAUCGAUCCUCGGCAACGGGUAACGGUUCUUGACCGUUAACUUGUUCAACUCCCGGUAAUCAAUGCACAUCCGGUGUGAACCAUCCUUCUUUUUGACGAACAGAAUAGGUGCUCCCCAUGGCGAGCUGCUCGGCCGAAUGAAUCCCUUUCCCAGCAACUCCUGGAGUUGCGAGGACAACUCUUGCAUCUCUGGAGGUGCAAGACGAUAGGGCACUUUAGCAAUAGGCGCGGCCCCCGGAACCAGAUCGAUACCAAACUCUACUUGCCUCACAGGAGGUACUCCCGGCAGUUCCUCGGGAAAAACAUCUGAAAACUCACGCACCACAGGGACCUCCUCAACUGACUUCGGUCUCUCGGAAACCUCCCGCGUAUCCAUCACAUACGCCACAAAACCCUUACAGCCCUGCCGUAGACACUGCCUCGCCCUAGCGGCCGAACAAAAAGCUGAUCCCGAACGGGUACCCUCGCCGUACACCGAAAGAACUCCCCCUCUAGGGUCUCGUAUAGUCACCAACUGACGCUCACAGUCGAUGACAGCGCCGAACCGGCUCAGCCAGUCCAUGCCCACGAUGACACAGACAUCCCCCAUCGCGAUAGGAAUCAGAUCAAUUGGGAAUCCAAUCCCGAAAAUCUCUAGUACACAUCCCCGAAGAACCUCCGUAGCACAAAUCACCUUCUCGUCAGCUAUAGAAACUCUCAAAGGUCGACUCAACGACUCACGACUAACGCCGAUAUGCUGACUAAAGGCUAAGGACACAAAGGACCUACUCGCACCCGAGUCAAAUAACACUAAGGCAGGCACAGAGUUCACAAGGAAAGUACCUACGCGCAUAAUAACAUAAGCAUAACAUAUCGACAUUAAAAUAAUUACAUGAAUUACAACAUACCUGCCACAACAUCGGGCGCAGCGCGGACCUCCUCCGCAGUCAGCUGAAAGGCUCUCCCACGAGCCCUCGGGGCCUCGACCUUCACCGGUCGAGUCUCAGUAGUCCUGGCAACAGGUGCAGAUCCCUGACGAAGCUGAGGGCACUCGGCCUUCCGAUGGCCGGUCUGGUUGCAAUGAAAGCAAACCAUAAAUCCCUUGGGACACUCCCUAGCAAUGUGUCCCUCCUUGCCACACUUGUAGCAAGCACCGGCUCGACACGCCCCAUCGUGACCCUUACCGCACUUUACGCAAGUGCGGUUCUUCGAACCUCCCGUCCUCGAAUCGGCGGACUUGAUCCGCUUGGCUGCCGGCUGAGACUGAGCCGGCCGCCGGUCUGCCUGCUGAGACUCGGCCUCCUCCCUGGCCUGAGUCUCUAACUCGAUCUCACGCUUCCUGGCAUUCGCCUGAAGCUCAGUAAAAGUAUGGUAAGUGGAGUUUGACACAAACUCCCGGAUCUCCCUCCUCAGAACACCCAAGUACCGGCUCAUCCGAGCCUGCUCUGUGGACACCAGCUCGGGGCAAAACAUCGCCCUCUCAUGAAACUUCCGCGUGAUUGCCGCCACCGAAUCAGUACCCUGCUUGAGGGUUAAGAACUCCUGAACCAAUCGUUCCCUCUCCACCGGGGGAACGUACUCGUCCCUGAACAUGGCAGUAAACCCCUCCCAUGUCACUGCUGUAGUCUCUGCCAAAGUGAAGUUCGCCGUCACGAACUUCCACCAGUCCUUCGCUCCCAGACGGAGCUGGUUCAAAGCGAACCGUACCCUCAGGUGCUCCGGGCAUGAACAAGUGUAGAAGCACCCCUCUAUAUCCGCGAUCCACCUCAUCGCAGCAAUCGGAUCCUGCGUCCCAUCGAACUCUGGUGGCUUCGUGUUGCUGAACUCUCGGAACAGCAACGAGUCACCCCCCUGUGGCCUAGCAGCGGCCAUAGCUGCGGUAGCUGCAGCGGUUGCAGCCUCAGUCAAUGCGGCGUACCGCUCAUCAAACGUCUCCAUCAGGGUGGUCUUAAUAGACCCAAACAUCUCCGGGAUCUCAGCCCGGAUCGCCGCAGCUACCUCCUCGUGAAUCAUCUGACGAAUCUCCUCGUCACUCACACCGCUCGAACUCGCUCCGUGGCGUGGUCUAACCAUGAUGUCUCUGAAAUACAACAUAAAACUAUCAGAGACUCCAUCGAGUAUAAUCGCACUCGAUAACGCAACCCUACUCAGUCUCCGAUAUCCAGGGAUUCUUACUUGGGUCUCCCACUGACCCGGUGUCUUCGGUAGUACGGGCCCAAUACUACCGACCACACCGCAUCAGCAUUCAUCCCAAAUCUUCCUCCCCAAACCCCGGAUAGUGAGUACUCUACUUCUGUUAUGCACUAUCUACUCGUACACUAGCAAAGCAUCUCAUAUCGGCAAACUUCCCUAGACUAAGGCAUCACAAAUCAGGCCACUCUAGUCCUAUCAUGAAUACCUAGUCUUCUAGCAUGCAUAACAAUUCAUAUCAUAUAAUAUUGUAAGGUAUUUUGGGGAUCUUUACCGUUCGGGCGCUGACUGAUCGUACACACUGCUUCUUUCUUGCUUACCACAAAACCAUUUACAAAAGUUUAUGCCUUUAUUUAAAAAGUUUUCCUCAAAUCCUCGGUUUGAGUUCAGUUACUCCCGAAGGUGCACCCGAAUCCCUCAAACCAAGGCUCUGAUACAAAGUGUAACAACGCAAAUUUUCAAACAAAUUUUUCAUUUUAAAAAUAAAGUAUUUCCAUUCAAAACAAGGCAUAAAUAAUUUAAGUGUCAUGUCAAAUACAAACUGUCUAAAUCCCAAGAUCAUAAAAACAUCCUUCAGUGUGUAUCGAUCACGCCGGCGCCUUCCCACGGUCCUCGCUAGUACCUGAAACACAUACAUAACAACUGUAAGCAUAAAUGCUUAGUGAGUUCCCCAAUAUACAACUUACGCACAUACGCCUUUCCAGGCCCUGACCUUCCGGUCCAUGUGUCUCAGGGGACUUCCGUCCCUGCUGGGUAAACCUUCCGGUCCUACCCACGCCGACCUUCCGGUCCAUCACACAACAUAUCGCCUUCCGGCCCAUAACAUAUUGCCUUCCGGCCCAUAAUAUAAUCGCCUUCCGGCCCAUGACAUACAUAGCACAUAUAACAAAUAACUUACCACAUAUAGCAUACAUAUCACAUAUCAUAUCCGACCUUCCGGUCACACAGUCAAACCCUUCCGGGUACAGUAUAGUGAGAAGACUCACCUCGCGGGUAAUGAAAGCUAGCGACUCCUGAAAUCACUCGCACUCGAUCCGCCGAGCUACAGACUCCCUAUAAUAUCAUAUAUCCCUUAUUAAUACUUUUAUCUUUCAAGACAACUGACCCUAAGAAAUUACAUGUAGGUCAACUCUGGUCAACGGUCAACUUGACCGGACUCGGCGAGUGCAAAGGCGACUCGGCGAGUCUAGACGUCCUCCCCAACUUUCCCUGAUGUUCCCUUUCUACUCGUCGAGUAUCCCUCUUGGCUCGACGAGAUCCUCGUGGAAGAAUCGCGGGGCCACCCCGACUCCACUCGUCGAGUCUGAAGAACAGCUCGACGAGUUCCAUUCAAUCUCCAAGCUACUCGCCGAGUCUGUUCGUCGGACUCGGCGAGUCCCUGCCAUGCAGUCGAUCAAACUGCUUCCUGAGAUACGUAUUGUCCCGAAAUACACAAGCAUGGGACCUUCUGGACCUCUAAAGGUCCUAAUACAGGGUUAUAGUCGUUUGGGUAACAAGGUACUAAUCCAUCUAAUCACCAAAUGGGUUCCAUAAACCCUAAAUCCAUGCACACAUCAACAUAACAGAAAAGAUCCAAAAUAUUACCUGAAUAAUGCACUCUCUGUGUCCCCAAACCGCAGAACUCGAAUCCCUUGCUGUUCCUUUAGCCAAAACUCUUCUCCUCCUUGCACAACAAUUUCUUCAAGGCCCUAAUAUCCUUCAAUCUUGCUCUAGAUGCCCACAGCCGUUUAGGGUUCUUCUUAGUCGACUAAAGACGGACAAUGACGGCCUAUAAGUGCAUUAUAUACGUUCCAAAACCAAACGGCUAGGGUUUCCGCUGAACAGCGCAGACUCGCCGAGUCCAUAAUGGACUCGUCGAGUCCAGUCGCGAAACCGCGACCCAGUCUGUGGUCCUGCUCGGCGAGUCUGGCUCCAACUCGCCGAGUCCCCUCCUAAAACACCCCAAAAACAAUAUUAUAAAAAUACCUGGAAUUCCGGGCUGUUACAAAAUGACCCUAAUUGGAAAGGAAUUUUACCCACUCCAACACUUUUAAAAUAACAUCAAAACAAGUGGAAAGGAAUUUUACCAAAUCCAUCUAAAGGGAUUCAAAGAUUUACACGUGCUAAACCUCGUUCAAAACAAACUUUUUAGAAAUCAAAUGUUAAAUCUUUCAGAAGUUAUCCACCUCGGACCAAUACCAAGUCCAAUUCACCCUAUAAACCGCUGACCAAGCAUAAUGUCAGAUUCAAUGACAAACCCUCUUUUUGUAAAUGUCAGUGCAGUUGUCAAAAGUUUUUAUCUCAUGUCAAGUCAAAUCAAAGUCAGAAAUCUCGUACUUUUCAGAAACCUCAUAAUAAUCGAAAUUUGAACAAACGCCCAGGACUAGGUCUAAAAGUUGACAAAAGACCUUUCCAUGCAACCUCGGACCAUGCAUCAUUUAAGAAUACAUCAAUCGUCCCUGGCUCCAAACUUGUUUGGAUGCCUAAACUAACCGUGUAAUUCUCAGGCUUUGUGCAAGGAGGAACAAGAAGAAGAAUGGUUAACUGACAGUGCCUGCUCCUUGCACAUGACCGGAAGGUUAGAGUACCUUCGGGAUUUCAAGCCUAUAUGCAAUGGUGGAAAUGUCACGUUUGGCAACAAUGCAAACGGUGUCAUCCGAGGUUAUGGUGUUCUCACUACGGGGAACUUUUCCAUUAAGAAGGUUGCUUAUGUAGAAAGCCUUAAACACAAUCUUAUCAGUGUUGGCCAACUAUGUAAAGCAUGACAUCGCGUUGAAUUUGAUGAUCAAUUCUGUUAUAUAAUGACGAGUGAUCGCAACACUUGCUUAAUCAAAUCUCGCUCCGAAGGCACGAUCUAUCCUCUGGAUGUUUCUCUCAUCAUUGGUAAACCGUAGCUGUGUUUUCUGUCCAAAGCUGUAUCCGAAGUUUGCUGGCUAUGGCAUCGCAAGCUAACUCAUCUCAACUUUCGGUACAUCAACAACCUCGUCACAGGAGAACUAGUCUGUGGUCUCCCAAUUCUGAAAUUCAGCAACGAUACCCUUUGUCCAGCGUGUGAAUGCGGUAAACAAUCAAAAGCAAGCCAUCCUCUGAUAACGUAUUCUUCUAUCUCUGAACCACUGGAGCUACUACACAUUGAUCUCUGGGGUCCCUCAACCGUAGCCAGUCUUCACCAAAAAAAGUAUAUACUGGUUAUUGUUGAUGACUAUACACGCUUCACAUGGGUCUUUUUUCUCAGACUCAAAUCAGAGACACCACAAAUCUUCAUUAACUUCAUCAAAGAAAUCAAACUUCAGAUCAAGCUUCCAGUCAGACGCAUCCACACUGAUAAUGGAACCGAGUUCACUAAUCAUCUUUUGAACAGUUUCCUAGUUUCCAAAGGCAUCUCUCACAAGUUUUCAGCACCCUAUACACCGCAACAAAAUGGUGUAGUAUAAAGAAGGAACCGCACACUCGUUGAAGCAGCCAGAUCCAUGCUUAACUUCACCCAACUUCCUUUCUACUUCUGGGCCGAAGCAGUAGCAACCGCAUGCUUUGUUCAAAACCGAAGUAUCGUGUGAAAGCGUCUAAAUAAAACACCAUAUGAAGGUCUUAACAAUCGCAAACCCAAUGUUCGUUUUUUUCAUAUCUUUGGAUAUAGAUGCUUCAUGAUCAAUAAUAGAGACCAACUCAACAAGUUUGCACCAAAGUCUGACGAAGGUAUCUUCCAUGGUUAUUCCUCUAACAAGGUUGCAUAUCGAGUGCUCAUCAGAAGAACAAGGUUGAUCAUUGAAAGAUUUGAUGUGAAAUUUAAUGACUCUCACAUACGCAUUGCACCUCUGUGCACCGAAACCACCGCAAUCAUGGAAAGUGACAUUCCAGCCGCUAUGGACCUCUGAAUCUAGUUGAAAUCAACUAUGAUGAUCUUUUUGAUCCCAUUGAAACGGCGAAACUAUCCGAAGUUCUAGUGUCACCCGCAGCUCAACAACAACAUGCCGACAUAUCUGGACCAUCUCUAUCUGAAGUAAUAUUGCUCAAUACUUCCACCUCUCCGGUUGAUGGGGAAAGCUCUACUCCCGAUCUUGUUGCAACCGUUGAGGUUCCAGUACCUGAUGCUGCUUACAUUCCAGCCUGAAGUGAAGCUUCACCAUCAAACGAACCUUCGGAGGACUCAGAUGACGAUUUUAUAGAGAAUAUUGACACUAGAUCCGAUCCUAGAAUUGUCACUCUCCCAUCUGCAUUCCAGGGGGAACCUUCUCAGGUUCCAGAGGAACUCCUAUCCACAUUCCAGGGUUAACCUCAACCUCUGCCGAUUCCUCAAGUAAAUUCUGGUCCAAUAGAUCAAGAUGAUUUAGCAGGAUGUUCUCAAGUCCAGGGGGAACUGCCAUCCCCAACCGCAGAUUCCUCUGACAUCCAAGAUAUCCCUUCUACCACAGUUGCUGAUCAUCUGAUCAUCUUCAUGUAUGGACAAAAGACCACCCACCAGGUCAAAUUAUUGGCAACCCAUCUGCACGUAUCUAGACUCGGUCUUCCAAGGACCAAUCUAAUCACUACCAUUAUGCAACAUUUAUGUCUUCGGUUGAACCUAGAACGAUCAAAGAAGCUUUGCUUGAACCAGACUGGAUAGCCGCAAUGCAAGAAGAAUUGGAAGAAUUUGAAAGAAACAAAGUAUGGAAACUUGUUCCUCUUCCACAAGGUCAUACUAUUGUUGGUACUGAUGGGUUUUGAGUAUUCUAACACUUCCUAAGUGAACAUGCAACCCUAAUAACCUUGGAUCUAUGUUUGUCUAAUUAUCAUGCAAAGUUGAAUUCCAAGGUUAUAUUCCUAUCUAGCAUACAUGGGGAACAAUUUUAACUUGAAUCAUAGAUAGAAUAACUUACCUUGUUGUUGCUUGUGUUCCUUGAAACCUUGUGAGCCUAGCACCCCAAGUGUGAUGCCUCAAAUGCUUCACACAACACCAAAUGCUCUUGGAAAGACUCUUGAGAUAACACACACUUCUCAAAAUCGGCCAAGCCCUCUAGUUUCUUAGUGUUCAACUUGUGUAGCCAAUUUUGUGGAGAAUGGGACUCUUAUAUAGUGUUGGCACAUCUAGGGUUACACCAUGUAAACCCUAAUGUGUCAUGACUCUUCAUUUCCAUGACCCAUGGGUUUGUAACUCCCAUGGAGCAUCCAUGGAGCAUCCUAUGGGUAGAACCCAACUUGAUAAUCCAUGGAGCCUCUUAGCCCACUAUACAAGAUAUGGAUGAUUUACAUAAUCAACCCAUAUAUUUAAUUAGUUAUCCUUUGAUCACUUAAUUAAUUCCAAAUUAAUUCUUUGAUCAACUAAUCAAAUAAUAUUAUUAAUAUAUUAGAACUUAUAAUAUAUUAAUAAUCUCCAAGUGUUAUUUCUCUCAUUUAGUCUAUCCAAUUGCAUGGUGCCAUGCAACCCAAAUGGACCAUGCCGGGUCGGGUCAAGUACAAGCCCGAAAUAGUUAUGGACUUAGACACCUUAUCCAACAGUCUCCCACUUGGAUAAGUCUAAUAACUAUAUCUCUAGUACUUCAGGAACCGACCGGCAAUCGUAGCUCUUUCAAGGUCUCUCGGAACUGAGAAGAUGAUGGUACGCCAUUUAAGAUAAGUGAUCAUAUAAUCCUCCGUUCUAGAUAUCAGCCGGACAAAUACAUGGAACAUUGUCUUGCUUAUUGUCCAGCAUUUGUUUCCCGAUUUCCGAUUUGUUUGACAUAGAACUUAAUUGAACACAUCAACUUAGUUCUGACCGGGCCCGGUACAUGGGUCAAAACAAAAUCAUCGAGGGGCCCAGAUAUCAGCUUCUAAUCCAAGAAGGAACAGAUAAACUUCGACUCAUAUGUUUGUUCUACCACUCAUUGAAUUACACACAAAAGUACGUUUUAUAACAUCGAGUUACCAAUGCGGUUUCGUACAGUCAAUGCAUAACCAACUUGUAAGUAACAAAUCAUAUCUCUAGGUUUGAAGACUUAUAUGAUAUUACCGUCUCACGAUCACUCGAGAUAGAAUUCCAUGAAGUGAUUCCAGUGAGCGUGGGUUGAGUCCAAUGCUCAGAACUUAUGAGCACUCAUGAUUGUUGUAGCCUUGUCCAACACCUUAGACCUCUACAACCCAUCAUGACAGUCUUGAUUCAUACCUACUUCCGACAUAUGACCGACUGUGGAGGUUUGAAUAAUAUGUUACACCAAACAAAAUUAUUCUGGAAGUCAAAACAUGCAAAAGAAAUAUAGUAAACGAUUGACAAGAGAUAGCAACACUUUACUCAUAAAUAAAACACCUUUUAUUCAUCAUCAAAUGUCAAUUACACUUUACAAAUUUCUGGGUUAUCUAACUACUAAA
rnacentral:lncRNA from 1 species